rnacentral:lncRNA from 1 species
AGCAGCAACAGGAUAUAACCAAAAAGGGUACAGUAGCAUAAUUCACAGUUUGUAAGAAGGAACUCAGCUACAAAAACAUCAUGUUUGCCACAAAAAAAAAGAGUAUGAUACAAACACAUCAUGUUUAUCUUGUAGUACAUCUGACGGGUUGCCUUUUUCAAAGACAAGCAGCUGAAUUAGUCACGGAAAACUAAAGUCAUGUCUUUCUUCAACUGUGUAUUUAUAAAGAAUGUCAACAGGUAACCAAUUAGGCACAAAGGAAGCAAACACAUUAGAUAGGAAAAAGGUUGAUCAUAUAUAUCAGUAUGACCGCUAGGUGGAUAUAUUCCCGGUCAAUGGCAAGACCAUAAUACUCACCAAAAUUAGUAAAAAUAAUAGCGGCAAGUAUCCGACCAUUGUAUCAGAGGCUCACAUAUCUGGUUAAAUUCUGAUACUUGGAUUUAACAACCCACAAAGCCAUAAUCAAGCUAACUAUACCAUAAUGCAUCAGAUAAUAAUAAAGGAGUAAUUAUUUGAAUUACAUCUCAAAUAAUAUUCUGCCGGAUUAAAGGAAGUACAUUUGAUUUGAUCAAAUACAGAUAAAUAUGUGCAAUAAAAGUGUAGAAUAGUUGAAAAGAUCAGGAGCGGACGGACUCACAUGUCAUUGUAAAGUGUGACAGGUUGAUGGAACAGAAUUCAACUCAUACCAAAUUAAUGAUAUCAGCUUAAUGACCAUCGCGCGGCACAAAAGGUAUCUACCAUGUGCUUGGGAUGGCAAUCCUAGAGAAAGCAAUCAGCAAGGUUUAUUUUCCUUAAACUCUGUUGUUUUCAUAACAUCAGAUAAAGCAGCAACUUAGAGAAUCAUAAAAUGCAAUCAGUUACAUCAGGUAAUCAUAAGCUCAUAGCACAUAUAACUAUAACCUUCUAUACCAUCCUAUCAUGUUAUCUUCAGGUGAAAUAAAAUGAAUGUGAAGUCUUUUCAGUAAGCCUACUAUUAAAACAAAUGAGGGGAAGUUAAUAGUGCACAUGUAAAAGUAUAGUUGUGAGUAAGAAGUACGUGUACAGUCAGCUUGUGUAGUCUCUUUCCCUUCAACGUAUCAGGGUAAACUGAGACAUAUUUUGGUUAUGCAUAUGGCAAUAGGGGCUGAGGAAAGGAAAAAACAGCUGGGCAGAAAAAGAAAUACAAGGGCGCUUGCGACCACACCGCCCAGCCACACGCGAAGCAUCAGCCAUCUAGAAGAAAAAUUUAAACAGCCAACCAUCACGAAACCAAGUAGAGUCAACAAAGGGUGCUUGGGUGCACAAAUGGCUACCACUAAUGAAUGGACAAUAGAAGCUGAACAAACUUAACAAAUUUCAGUGCGUGAGCAUCCAGACGCAAGCAAGGCAGUCUAAUCUUCUUCAAUAUUCCCCUCACAUGAAAACACUCACAGAUCUCUAAAGGAAGCAAUCGCAAUUUCUGACCGAAUUAAUAACGAGGCGUCAAUCCCCUGUCCCAAUCCACCAAACCUCAUGCAAACGCAUAAAUCGAUCCCACCGGCAGCCCCCAAAAUCGAGACCCAGAAAACCUAAGUUGGAACAAAAGGGAGGGGAAAGUACCAACCGGUCAACCACAGCCAGAACCAGGGCAAGACGCCGCAGGACAGACCAGGCGACAGCAAGAGGAAGAUGAUACGGAGCAGGGCCACGUUGCACAGACACCCUCCGCCACCAGAGAGAACAUACGCUGCAUUUGCCGGGCGCAGCCGUGAUCCCUCGUUUCCCAUCCUGCCACAACGACACUUGAAAGGAAAAAAUGCUAGAGUCUGGCAGGUGGGCCGCCCAGAGAGGAAACAAAGUCCAGAAGCGGACAGAGUUGGCCCACACCCUCCCCAAUGGCCCGACACAGGAGAGAGCCCCUUUUCCAGGGAGCAUAGUAACUGUAGGGAUGAACCAAACCCUGACAGCUAUUAUCUUUGCUAACAAAAUCUUGCGCAACUGAUUUGCCCCUUUUUUUGUAGCAAAUAUUCCUUGACAAAUUUGUCUAUCCUAAGAAAUAAGAAAUUCACCAUCUCAAUGCGAAGAAUGAUCUUUCAGGGUGACAUAAAAAUUUGUUCAUAACUUCCACUACCAUGACACAUGCACCAAUGCAUAGUUUGAAAGCACCUUCAGGACCACAAAAUUAAGCCAACAGAGCAUGAUCAGGUUUUGCAGCACAUAUGCAGGAUUAAGGGUUCGAUAUCUUCUGUAAAAGCUAAGCAUCAUGUGGCACAUUUCACAGGCAGUAAUGCAUGAUUAGCAGCACAGAUACAAGAUUAAGGGACACCUUUUUUCCUGUUUAAUUAGUGUUUAAGUACUCCAACCAAAUCCAUGAAUCAAGGAUCAGAAUAACAGCUGCACAACACAAGGACCUCAUAUGCAUCGUCAAAAAGAAGUGCACAUCACUAAAGCAUCAACCGAUUAAACCCAGAUUGCACUUUCCUGCCCGAUUUGUUUUCCUUUCUAGGGAUCGGUAUGAUUGAUUAACAAUGCUCCUGUCUAAAGAAAAACAAUGUUACACCACAAAAGAACUCUGCACAGAUAAUUUGCAGUAAUCAAAAUAUCUAUAACACAAAACAAAUGAACAAUAAUAUGCACAUUAGUAGAUCCUCCGUGAGCUUAAAUUCGAUAAACAAAAAAAAACACAAAAUUGAGUAGUGCCAACAAAAAGUGGCCGCAUGAACAAAAAAUCAUGCAGGAACUUGAUAAAACCAAGUACUCUGCUACCAGAAGAUUCAAAGAGUAGUACAAAAAUUGACUAUUCCCAUGGGAUGUGGCAAGAACCUGCCUGCAGCAAUUAAAAAUUCAGAACCAUCAAACACAUAUGCUCAUCAUUCAGAAAAAAAUAUCCACAUCAUACACGACGACAUGAAUUUUUGAUUACUCAAUUCUACCAAAAGCCUUCGAUAGGUCUAUUUUUAACAUAAAUGCUUUAUGUUUCCACAAGGACAAUUGGAUUUCUUGGGCAAUAAUAACAUUAUUUGAAAUUCUCCUACCCUGGAUAAAAGCUUGCUGAUUUUCAUGAAUAUGAUCAGGGAGGUGAUCUUUAAGCCUAUUUGCCAAAGUUUGACGAUUACAAGCUACAUUGCAUAUGCUAAUGGGUCUAAGGUCUUAGGGAGAAUUAGCAUUAACUUUUUUUCGGAAUAAGAGCAAUGUAGGUUUUGUUUAAACUAGGAUGAAGGCAUGAAGCAUACCUUGGCUGUAGAAAGUUUGAACCAGUUUGGUGAUGUUGUCUCCAAUCCAAUUCCAAGCCAAAAGGAAGAAAGCCACAUUAAGUCCAUCUGGUCCAGGUUCUCAAAUAAAAAAGUGAAAUCACUUUAAAAUAAUCACAAGUUCUCAAACUUAGAAGGUUUGUUAUAUUUAACAGCAUCCGGUUGGGAAAUGGUAAAAAUAGGAGCAUGGUCACUGUACGGGGAGUUAUAAACAGUAGUGUUGGAAAUCUAUGACAGCAUCCAGCAUUAACAAAGCACCAAUCCAUCAUCCGGAAACAAGAAAUGAAUUCGAAUUUUUGGAUAACGAAUCCUUCUAAUCCAGUCUAUCUACUGUCUUUUUGAGGAGCCAGAGGAAAUGCAUCUCAAGUUUAUCCCGCUAACUAGUUUGGCCAAAGGUUGAAACAACCUCACAAAACUCAUACUACAUCUCGACCUCCUUCUCAGUUCUCACUUGAAGCACUUAAGAAUCGCAGUGAAAACAGGAACCAAGCGAGAGAGCAACUUGUACAGCUUCUCAACCUUGUCGCACAUGGUAACUAAGUAGGCAGCCUCCGGGUUUUCCUUUGUGGCUAGAUAGCCAACCCCGAUACAGAAAGCCAUGAUACCAAGGUGGAAGCAGUUUCUCUUCACUUCGCCCCACACCUUUGGCCACCAUGGGAUCCAACUCGGCGAUUCCCUGGCGUCGGGCGGUGGAGGCAGAGAUGCGUCGGGCGGUGGAGGCAGAGAGGCGUCGGGCGGUGGCGGCAGCGAGGCGUCGGGCGGAGGCGGCAGCACGUCGGGCGGAGGCGGCGGCGCCUCGGGUGCACACCGCGAGGGGAGACGACGCGUAACCCGCAUCCCUCUUGCUGCGUGAGCGAGAGAGGAAGGGGAACUAUGAGGGGAGGGUGGAUGGACCUCGACAGAUGGAGGAGGAGAGGGGGAGGGGGGAGGCGGAGUAACCUGCGAGGCCGGGGCGCGCGACGGUCGAGCGCAAGGUGAUGAAGCGGACGACGGUGGCCCGCGGCGCCACGACGUAGGGACCUGCAUUCGCAGGCACGAUCCGGACGAGGGACAUCGCAGGCAGAUGUGGCGGCGAGGUCGCCGGCGAACUGCGCUUCUGCGCCGCCGCGGCGAACUCCCCCCCUCCCCCCUCUCCUUUUUUGCACAAAUGACCCUGAGCGCGAUCCUUUUCCUAUUUAGGGAUUUUCUUUUCUAUGGAUAUAAAUUGCAGGUUUUUUCUAUUUCUCCUUUCCCUGGUAUUUUAAGGCGCUGCUCUUUAACAAGCCGAGAGUUCCAAAUCAACACAAAAGGGAAAAACGUAGGGAUUGAGUUUUGUUUCCCCGCGAAGUGUUUUCCUCUCCUGUGCAAAGCGACCUCUCUGUCAUCGGUGGUGAGGGGGUCGCCGGAUUCCACGCGUGCGGAUUAGAUAGCUUUAGGUUUUAAGCCUCGGUAGUUUAGGCUUCAGGUCGCUAGACGUCUUGGCUUUGGCGGUGACGACGGCAACACCUAAUAAAGAAGCUUCAAUUCCUCUGGCGACGAGGCGGUCAACUCUAUAUCAUGGGGGAUGGAUUUGGGAGCUAGCCUGUUCAAGCGGGGAUGUUGUGGCGGCGGCGACGACAUCCUUGUGAUGACUUGUAUUCUCGGGCUCUGCCGUUGCGAUGACGUCUGCUCCAGCGUCGACCCAAUUCUUGGGAGAUAGUGAAGGAGCGGAUGCAGAUUGUGGUCUGCAUCAACGACUUCUAGGAAGCGGAUCGUGUGCUCGGUUCGUGGUUGAUGACUGGCAUAUAUGGUUUGCUCCUCCGGUGUCUUAGUUGUGUUGGGGGUGCCAAAUCUGUAAUUCGACGGCGUGUCCGGAGUGUUGCCCUGGUUUGAUUCGUUCAAAGAUAAUGGCUUCGUCUUUGGUGAGCCACCUUGAAAGUUCGUAAAGUUGCAAUUAAUGGUAGAGCAGCGUCAAACUCGGGUGAGAAGGUGAUCCAUCUUUUUUUUUUCUUUGGUAGCUGUUGUGGUUGUGUCAGAGGUAGGUGGCCGACGUUGGUAUUAAGCAUAGGAGAUUCUUCGAUCUUGAUUGUAAUUUUCUCUUUUGGCUGCUAUUUCUUCAUGCAAAGGCUAGCGUUUCGCUGUCUUGUAAGUUUUGCUAGGUCGAUUUUUCACGUGACUUAUACUAUGAUCUUUAUGAUAUACUAGCACAUAUGCCAAUGCAUUGCAACGGGAGAGAUUUUUUUCUGCGAGAAGCAACAGGAGACAUAAUUGAUGUGUCCACCAAAAACGGUCUCCACAGCGGUGGGCGACAAAGCGUCGAGCUCCCGUCUUCUCAUGGGUCAUGUUUGGCGCCAGAGGUCUUAAUAGUGGGAUUGGUCGGCGUGGCGGCGACCACCUAACUCGUUGUUUUUUCCUCUGGGUCCACCUCUGCCUCAGGAUUGUGGCUGACUCCUUAUUUGAUUGCUGCAUGGUGACCUCCGGGGCACGGUUGCUUUGACCACUCUCUCCUACGAUGACGUAACUGAAUAAAUUAUCAAUUGCAGCGCAUAAAUCUCAUUUUAUUAGCAUAAUCAGCGCAUAACCAGGCAUUAAUGUUCCUUCUUUAUCAUGGUUUAUUCUCUUUGAUUAUUCUAGUGCUCACGUGCCCACAAUUUUUAAAUUAAGGCAAACCAUCGUAUUCUCCUUUUUUGGCGUGUGCUCGUAAUUUCUUUCAAUUAUAGCCAACCAACAUAUUCUCUUUCAUCGGCACGUGCAAACUAUCACCAGCAAUAAUUUAUAGUCUCUCGUUUUGCUCAUGAUUCUGAAGACAACUUCCUUACUUUCAGACAACCUCCUUAUUUUCAGACAACCUAGGAACAUAUAAAAACUGGUGUGAUUUAGUAUAAAGCUUCAAAGUGGGACUAUUCCUAUCAUAAUUGCAAGCUAGCUGAGUUGGUUUUGUCCAUCGGCGCAAUAGGGAAUGUCCAUAGUUCAAUCCCCUCGCGUUUUAAAUUUUUUGUUGUUCGUCCAUCUGACAAAAAAAGAAAUGUGUGGUAGGCUCAAUUCGAUCCACCCAGGGGACAAACAAAACAAAUUCGGGAACUACGUGCGGAAUGGAUGGAACAAACUCUAUAUGUAUAUUUUUACUUUUUCUUGGGCCACCUGCAUGGGAGCUACUAUAUGAUGCUAGUUGCAUCAAAUAGCGUGUGAGACACACAACAGUUCGUGUUGGGCCAUCCCGCUGGAAGGCACUGAAUGACAUGUGUUUGUAAGGCACGAAUAAAUUUCCAAAAAAGCGACAUGUUGAAUGAUUGAACUCAAGACCUCAAAGAACCAACCACGUGUUGCUAGCCACUAGAUCAAACACGUAAUGCUAACCAGUGGCCAGAUAUUUAAGAACAUACUGCAACGUUAGAUUAAAAAAAUUAAUUUUUUAAACUUUUCAAACAAAAAAUAAUUAUGAAUUGCCGAAUAUUCUUGCAAACAUGAACAAUUUUUAAAUUACAUUUUUUUGUAAAAUUCUGAAUAUGUUUUGAAAAACAUGAACAAAAUUUGAAACAAGAUCUUUUUAAAAAUUUACAAACAUUUCUUGAAAACAUGAAGCCUUUAUGAAAACACAUUUUUUAAAAAUUUUGAAUAAUUUCUUCAAACAUGAAUAUAUUUUGAACAUUUAGAACAAUUUUAGAAAAUGUGUACUUUUAAACAUGAACAUUAUUUUGAAUUUGUAACACAUGAAUUUGAAAAUCUUGAUUUUUAUUGGAAAAUGCAAACAUUUUUUUGCAUUUUGAAUAAAUUUUGAAAUGAGGAAAAAAUUUAAAGUCCCAAACGUUUUUCAAAUCUGGAACACAAUUUUGGAAUUCUGAGUUUUUUUGAAAAUUUGAACAAAAAAUGAAAUUCUUAUUUUGAAAAUUUUGAAUUGGCCAAAAAAGGGAAAACAUAAAAAUAAAUUUGGAAGAGAAAAAAGGAGAAAGAAACAGGAAUGGAAAAGAGAAAAAACGGAAAAAGAGAAAAUAGAAACAGAACAGAGAAAAAACGGAAGGGUCGGCCCUGUCUUGGGCGCCUUUUGCGAAGCACCUAUUAUUUGCCGCGCCGUGCGACAAAGAGUUUCCUAACUGUGUGGGCAGAUAAAUAAGUGGGCUGGUUUCGCUGAGCUAUAGUGCGCGCAACCCACAUUCAAAUCAUGGAGAUGGACGCACAAAAUUUUAAUAUCACCUUGGAUAGAAAAAAAUCGACGACGAACAUAUGCAAAAAUCAAAGAAACACAACUUGCUUUAUUUUUAGUAGGUAGGUAUAGAUAUAGAUAUAAAUAUAGUUUUGUUUCCCCAUCUAGGGUUUUCUUCCUCUCAGACAUAGAUCACCUCUAUAGAGAGUUCCUUUUUCACUUCAAUUUGUGUUCAUCUUCUCCUUGACAUCGAUGUUUAAGCUGAGUAAAUUGUAUGGUGCUGCAUUUACAUGUGAGUACUGGUGAGGAAAUGUGUAUGUAUUUUGCUUUCAAGUUUAUAGAAUGAGCUGGUAUUUCCCUCUCAUUUAUGAUGAAUGCCCUACCUCAAGUAAGAUAUCUUAUAUAGCUUGUUCUUUUGUUAGAACGAAGGCUCAAGAAGAGUUCGAAUUUGAAUUAAUAAAGCCAUCAACCGGCCAGGAGUACAAGAACUAGGCCACCAAACUACAACGGCUGAAAGGUACAAGGGAGUUGUUAGGACAAUUUAGAAAGCUACACACAACCAGCAAACAGAGAAUUAUAGAACAACUAGUUGAGUAGAAGCCCUUUGCUCAAAGGCACCUAAAACGACUUCGGAUGAAGCCUCGAGGAUCAGCAAACCGCCUAAAGGAGUCGAGCACAAGACUGAAACCAGGGGCUAGAGAUGUCUAAGACACCUGCCUCCGCAAACGUCAAAGGGGAUCCCUUCCCUCGCUCACGCUCAAAGGUGUUGUUGGAAAUAUGCCCUAGAGGCAAUAAUGUUGUAUUAUUAUACUUCUUUUUUCAUAAUUAAGAAUUUUUAUUUUAUGCUAUAAUUGUUAUGAUCCUGGAAUAUGCGAUUCAGUGAAAAACUCAUAUGCACGUGUGGAAUGAUAAACGGUAAAAUAAGAUUCCUAGUCUCGUCUCUAAGACUAGCUCAAGUGUUGUUGGUGAUCACGUUUUUGAGAUCUUACGAUAUUGUUAAGUGUAACGAUAGUCCCAAAACAACAUUGAGAGUAUGACGUUAGAAAAAUGAUCAUAUCGAAACGACCUAAACGUGUUUGUUAUACUUUGAGAUAAUAUCAUCAUAAGUCAAUUGUUAUAACACGGAGUGUUAACAUGUGUUUUAGUUGUUAGACCAUGAGAGUAGCAUAGUCACUUCUUACCGUACGAUGCACUUUGAGGUUGUUCAAACAUCAUCUGUAACUAGGUGAUCAUAAUGACAACUUACAGGUGCAUCGAAAAGUUUGAAAUGGGACUAGAUAACUCAAGAGUGGAAUUUGCUCCUCCGACAGUGGACAGAUAUUCUUAAGGUCCUCUCACUGUCACGACAUCCAUUAUCGUCUGGCCAGACAUAGGUGGCAAUGUCACGGGGAUGCCGGAACACGUCAAAGAAAAAGAAGAACAAAACUGGUAACGAGGAGACCGGUAUAGUGAGCAUGUGUAUGACUCAAGAGAAUACUGAUAUAUCUCACCUUGGUUUUUGUAAAGUAUCACGAAGCAAAAGGAAAUCACAUGAUAACCAAAGGUUCACUUGAAUGUCAUUCAUGUAAUCGUAGGGAUUCAUAUGGAUGUCCAUGGUUCCGCUAUUGGUCAUUGAACGAAGGAGUUUCGUUGAUGUCUAUGUUUUACCGAACCUAUAGGGUCACAAUUUUAAGGUAAUCACGAUCUUCUGAGUGUUAGUAGGACGAGAGUAUCAAGAAUUUAUUUGUGAAUUUGUUUUAUUAAUAUUCAAAAUAGUUUUGAGAGGAUCUAGAAGCGUUUCAGGGUCAGCGCCUCAGCGGAAGGGUUCCAGAGUUUAUCGGGCAAUACCGGGUGUUACCAAUAAAUAAAACAUUCGGAUAUAUUCCCAUAUACGAGGGCGCGCUUGGUUCAUCGUAUUUCUUGCUUCGUAUCAUCAGACUCCAUGAACUCCAAGAAGAAAGACUACAGCCGAUGGCCACCACCACAUGUAUUCAACAGUGACUGCACGACCACGACACACAAUAGAUCAAUAGGAACACCUGCUAUCGCUGUCACCGGGAGCCUGAAUGCCACCAUGACGCAAGACGUCGUCGAUGACCACCAUCGUCCAUGGUUGUCCUCGCCUCAACUCAAAGGGCAACAGAAUCUCUAGCCAUGUGGACGUGCUCGCACCAGGGACUAGUGAGGCAGCUAGAUGCCCCACCAGGCCCGUGGUCCUUGGCACUUUGCUGUGGCGGAGUGAGUCCACGAUGGAUGCGGGUUCCGGCCACGACGGCGUUGGGAUGCAGUGGCGGCGCAUGGAGGCGCUUUCGCGGUGGCGCGUAAAGGCGCUUUGGUGACGGUGUUUGGAGAAGCUUCGGCGGCGGCGACGUUAGCCCAGAGCUCGGCGGGAUGGAGGCACCGAUGGUAGCGGAGGCGGAUGCUCGGCGUGGAUGGCGGGCCGCGGUGGUGGAGCAAUGACCAAUCAACAUACAACUAAACACACCCCACUCGGUACCACAAUGCAGCACUCAAGGCAAGAUAAAACGAUGAUAUAAACAUCUACUCCCUCCGUCCGAAAAUACUUGUCAUCAAAAUGGAUAAAAAAGAUGUAUCUAGAACUAAAAUACAUCUAGAUACAUCCCUUUUUAUCCAGUUUGAAGACAAGUAUUUCCGGACGGAGGGAGUACGAGAGAAGCCGUGAAUGACGAAACGAGAGCUCCAAGAUGACACCUUCAAACCGGAUACGAUACCGCGGUGCUGCCCGAUCCAGGGAUUAGGGUUUACCACGGAGCAACAGGGAGACAGAGAAGAGCCACGAGGACGCCUUCAAGAAGGGUAGAGACCAAAGGCGGCGCCGUCGUCGACCUGGUAGGGCCAGAUUUUCACCCCGGCAAGCCCUCGGCAUCUCCCAAACGGAGUACACCAAGCCACCACACGCCACACCACCACCAUUGUCCAUCGCACACUAACCACCACGCCGCCCGCACGAUCAUGGCAGCUAGUCCACGCCCGAGCCGCGAGCUCCACCCACGAGCACCGUGGCUGCCACCACCAAGGCCGCCGACCUAGCAUCCAAGACUCAGACACCACCCAACCCGAGACACGCAACUACAAUGAAUAAAGAGAGACGACUAGAAAGGACCCUCCUUUCCCACCCCUGGUUGGCCCCGAGACCCCCCUAGGCCGUCCAGAUCUGGCCGCCACUGCCUCGCCCUACCCCUCCUAGGCAAAGGAUGAGCUGCCCGGUGGCACACCACCAAUCGAUGGGAGGCAAGGAUGACUCUGUGGCCCUCCUGGCGGCGGGAUCGUCCCUAAAUGGUGGACGACGGCUGGGAGAGGACCAGCCCUCUAGCUAAGGCAAUACAUGUGUGACGAGGAAGAAGGCGAAGGCCAAUAUGGUCCGCCUGCAAGCGAGCCAACGUCAAAAAGCCGGCCGUCGCCGCAGCCGGAACCGCCGAGCUACCAUGUAACAUCGCGCCGCCGAAAAUAAUCUUCGUCGUUGCCCCCUUUGCAACAAACAUAGUGUUGCACUUGGCCUAUGCAAAAAGAGUCUUGUUGCAAUCACCCCAAACUGUUUUUCCCUUCCACAAACAUAACCUCUGUUGCAGAAACAAAAUCAAACACACCCUUCGCUAUAGUCGGGAGUCACUGGCUAGAGCGGCAUGGGGUGUGGCGUUGUGCGAUCGCGGGGUGCGAGCUCAUGUGGGAUGCCGUGAGGCAGGGAGGCCGACCGUGCUUGGCCUCUGUGGCCAUGGAGGCCAUAUCCAAGAGCUCAGACUUCGAGUGGAACAACGUUGCUAGAGUAGGGAUCGAUCAAAGAAGAGGGGGAAACAAAGGAGGGCCUCGCGUGGUCUCGUAGGCGUGGACGAGGUGGCCGGACACAGAUGAAAGGCGACAUAUUCAAUGAUGGACGGAGGUGAACCAAGGUGGAAAAAGAUAACGAAUUAGUCGAUAACCUGACAGCGACCUCACCUACUUGGACUGUAACAAACCCUGUAUUGUGCUUCAGGUCUUUGCAACAUAGCAUGUGCUGCAAAACCUGUUGAGUCAGCGCGUGGGAGCGAGUUGCCCAAGCGGUCGAUACACGAUCAAUUAUCAGUCAGGUGAGAUGGAGCAUUUCUGAAUACAUUUAUGAAAUCAUGUUUAUUCUUAAAUUUUGAAAAGUAGAUAAAAACACUUGGGCUCACACAAGGUGAAAUGGUCUUUAACCGCCCCAAUUGCCCUCCUCCCAUGCUCAUCUCAUGUGAGGCGCUCCCUUUUCCUACUACAAAGGCUAGGGUUAAGGGGCCCCAUUACCGACUGGGGUUUUACUUGCGUGCUCAGGACAUGGAGCGGCUGCCGGAGCUCGGAGCGAGUUGUAAUCGUCGACCUCGCCACCGCAAUGACGACCUUCAGGCUCGCUGCUCCUGCCGGCCUUUGGAAGGUGACAAGGCCGGUCCAUAGGCCGGGCAAAAAGGUAAUCCACCCUGGGCACCGAGAGCAUCAGGUCCCCAAAAUACUAAAAUAUUAUAGUAAUGAUCGUAUUAUCAUAUAUUAUAUUAGAAAUACAAGUGAAUAUCCAAGACAAGAUUAAAUUCUCAUGGGGGAAAAUUCACAACACAUACUAAUAGGGUGUGUUUGUUCCCUGGGAGGGCCCUAGCCUGCAUCGCAUGAAGGAGCUUGGCUAAGCCUAGCCUGGUUGAGAAGAUGCAAGAACAAGUAGAGAAGUGUGUUUAGUUGACUGCAUGAUAUGGGGAAGGCUAAGCUAAGAUUUUGUUUGGUAUUAGAUAGAGAUGCUACACAACCAAUGUUGUUUGAUAAUUUGCAUAUAUGUUGAUUCAAGGUGCUUGUACAUGUAUGUAAAAAUAAUUGGGAGGUUGUUUUGGUGAUAGAACUCCAACUCAAGUAUGUUUGAUGCUUGAAGUAAAAAAAAUAGGGUAAAAUAUAAUCACAUGUAUUCAAAAUGGCAGAGAUGGUUGAAGUUCAAAAAAUCACAUGUCUAUAUAUUAGCAAAAGCAAUGAACCAGAAUCAUGGGUGCACACAAAUAAUUAUGCAGUACAAUAAAAGUCCAAUAAGAGUGCGUAUUACAGUUUAACAAACAAGCAUUGAUACUCCACACAAUCUGGCUCACAUGGAAAAAGAGCAUCGAUACUCCAUUACAAUCCACACAAUCAGUCCAUACUAUAGUUAAACCAUCUCAAAUCCUUAGGGGAAAGGACGCCGAUAUCCGCCACACGUGUAGCAUGAGCAGGGGGUAGCCCACACGGGUUGUGUGUGGGCGAACAGUAGAAUUGCCCACACGUGUGGGCGCAGCUACUUCCUGCCACACGCCCAACAAGUACUACUCAUCCCCAACCCGCACGUGUGGCACGAAGCAAAUAUGCCCGCACGUCCUGGCGCAGCUACAAUACGUACCCGCGGGAUGACGAUUUAGUUGCCAUCCGGGAUGGCAGAUGUAGUUAUCCGGGAUGGCAAAUAUGGUUGUAAAAGCAUGGCAACUCUCUCUGUUUUGGUUAACUAUAGUUGCCAUGUCUAAUUUAUGGUAGUUGCCAUGUGUAACCAAACCAUAGUUGUUGUGUGUGAUUAACACUACAAAAAAAAGACACAUCCGUGACAUUUUGGGCCGAACAAUUUUUUUUUCUGUCAUACUUAUGACACUUCUAUGACGAUAAUUAUGACAAAACCCGGUACCAUCAUAGAUGUGGUGGGCUCCUACUUCUAUGACAAAAAAUCAUGACAGAAAAUGGGCUUUUUGUCCUGGGCGGGCCGGAGACGCAGCUGCAUGACAUUCUUUGGGCUGUCCAUGACGGAAAAAACCGUGGUAGAAGCGAGGGCGAGGAAAAAUUUGAGGAGUUCCCGGUUACGGUGGGUGGUCGGUGUGACACCCCAAAAUUUUAACCUUGUUUUGUUAAUUAAAAUUUUGCCAGGAAAUUAAAACUUUCAUUUUCUGGGCUCCCCUUUCCUUUUUGCAACAUUUCCUAUUUAACUUGGAGUUGUUUCCUUCAGUGAAAACCUUUCAAAUAUGUUAUUGAACUUGUUUAUCCUCUCAAGAAAAUCUUUUCUUUUAUCAGAGGAGUUAAUUAUAAAAUUAUUUCCCUGAUCUUUAUUCCUUUAAAAAUGGUUUUUCCAUGGUUUGUGGUCCUAUUUGAACUACAACCAUUUGAUAAGUUCUUUUAAAAAUCCCACCAAAAUUUGGAGAUGUCAUGAGAUGUUUCUAAAUCACUUUUAUGCAAAAAGAUAUUUCAUUCAUUGAAUAUUUUGAGCUCUACACUUUAUUUUCAAAUAUGGUCCAGUGGGCAGAUUUGCACUACAACCUAUUUAUUUAUUUCUUUAAAGCCUUCACCAAAAUUAUGGGAUGUUAGUAGUAGCAUAUGAUUCAACUUUAUGCAAAAACCCAGUGAUGCUCUUUGAAAUAUUUGAGUGAAUCAACCUCUUUUCCAUACUGGCCCAACUUGAAGAUUUGUACAACAACUACUUCUUAAGUUGCUCCUUUACCCAUGAUUUCUUAUUCUACUUGUAGUUCCCCCUACUAAACCUCUAAGUCCAGGAGCAUGCACCCAUUGGAUCAUUUUUGGUUCAUGAAAUGAUGCCAUUUACCUCCUGUCCAGAAUUGAAGUUUUGCAAAACUUGCACUAGCAAGUUUGAGAUUUGGGCAAACUAACCUCACCACCCUCUCAUCCAUCUAAAGAGACCCCACUCUGGAAGUUUUGGCCACCCCAAGAAAUGCCUAGGUGCCUGUGGCAUUUUAUCAAACACCUGGUGAGCAUGGACAGAUUUGGCAUGAGUUUUUUAUUUGCAUUAUGAACUUGAUCCCCUGACCAGACCAGCAUGUCCAAUGGUUUUGCCCUAGCCUAUAACCCCACCCUGCUAACCCUCUUGUGGUUUAGAGCCACCUAACAUGCCGUAGCAUUUCGUCGAGCACGUUCCGUGCGUGCUCUGGGCGCGAGCAGAAUGCGCGUAUUGCACGUGCCGCGCCCGAGCUGCCACAUCGCGCCCCUGGUUUUGCCCGCUCUGUAGAGCCACGCCACUCACUCCCCUCCUCACCGCAUCAUGCCAAGCAGCCCUGGCGCCCUACAGCACCACCGUCAGAGCCCUUGGCGGCACGCCGACGUCCGCAGCGCGCCCCUGCCUCAGGCGGUGCCGCCCAAGCCACCAGCGCUCGCCAGCUGCCCCGUUGAGCAUCUCCAGCUCAUCCGCAGCCUCGUCCCCUAGCACGCGUCGCCGCCACGUCGUCAUAACUACAGAAAGACGGUCGCCGGCAACCUUAUCCCCGGCCGCCACGGAACCGCCUUGGCGAGUCUAUUUAAGGAGCCCCGAGCUCAUCCCCACACGCAGGCAGCCUCUCACCAUCCUCCUAGUGCCCCCCGUUGCCGUCAAUUGAGGGGGAAGAGGCCGUCUUCACCGACUCCGGUCAGUUCGGCCACCGCCGCCUCUCGGCUCCGUUCGGCACAACCAGAGCCUCCCUGGCCCUCCCAAUGCCACCAAGCGACUCCACUACUUCUUGCGGUGCCACCCAGAACCCCAGCUGCGACGUAGAGCCACCAUAGCCGCAAACUCACUUUGCUCCCGAAGCCACCGGCCGCCGCGAAGCUCGUCGACGGCGAAUCCCUCCACCUCCAACAACCCUGCAACCACCGGAAGGAUCACCCUAGACCCGCGGAUCCGUCCCUGCCCUCAGCUCCCCGCAAGGACCCGCCGUUCGCCGGCGAUGGUCACCGAAGUUCCGCCCCACUCGGGCAGAGAAGGGAAAGGGGAGGGAGGACCAGUCAAACCUGACCAGUGGGCCAGGCAGGCCCACUCUCAGUGACUCGCGUACCGUCCACGCUGGAGUAAGUGGAAGCAUAAAUCCAAAAUACGCCUUCGACGUGUACGUAUAUUCGAAUUGUUUUCUUUUCUGUUUUAUUUUUAAAUAACAGAUUUUGACCAAAACUUUGACUGAGCUUAACUUUUUAAAUACAACUCCAAAUGAGUUGAUUCUUUUUCCUACCUCUCUCAAAUAUUGUCUAGUUUAUUUUAAGAUUUAUUUAAAAAAAAUUCAGACAACCUUUUGGUACUUUUUUUGAAACUAUAUAUUGAUUCAAAAAUAUUUUAAAUAGGAUUUUGGAGAGAGGAGAAAGCUUUCAAAAGUUUUGGAGUGCAUCAUGCCUUUCCACAACUUGAAGGCAAGCAUUCUGAACCCUGGCAUAAUAUUUUGCAUGCAUUGUUUGACAUGAUUAUGACACCACCUCAAUACGUGGAACUUGUUAUUUUAUGUGGUGAUGUGAUCUUUUGCAUGAAUACUUAUUGGAAAUUUCCUUGCUGUUGGAAAUGGACAUGCUUGGGAUAGUUAUCAUCCUUGUAUGCCUUUCGUGCCUACCGGAAGGAAAACGGGAAAGUCUCUGUCUUGGGUAGACCCGAGCUUGUCCCUAGUUCCUCGUCGAGACGAGUGUGUCCGACAUGGUAUGAAGGGUAUGAUGAGUGGUGAUUCUAUCUGUUGGAUGAAAUACAUUCAUUAUGCUAAUCAUGCAGGGAAAUUAUAAACCUCCUGAGUCGACCCUAGAUCGAGUCUUGUUCCAGUAACCCCCAUACUUGUUUCGUACUACCACUUGUCUCUACAACAAGCAGGGUACGGUUCAGUAAGUUGUUAACCCCUUUCUAGCACACACCGUACAGAGAGGCCAUGGUGGAAGAUACCGGUUGUAGCUGGUAGGCAGGCCACCUGGUCCGGGGGCAUGGGUGUUUCCGGUUGGGACCGAGAGGGGAGGCCACCCCUUAGAGCGCGUGAUAUAAAUUUGAUCCCAUGCUACGCGAGGUUGUAGCCUCCCCACUUAAAGUUUUGCUUGACGGGUGUCGUGGGUGAUUCCAGACACCGGUGAGUUAAGCUGGUGUGUGCAAGUUAGGUGAGUUCUCAACUAAAAGACCGUAGACGGAAUUAGUCCCGAUGGACUACAGGAAUCCGUUGCUCGCGGGUAAAGAGUACACCCUCUGCAGAGAUUAAACCUAUUCGAAUAGCCGUGUCCAUGAUUAAGGACUACAGUCUGGGAUGCGUCAAGUGUCGGUCUUCGUGUCGGUCUUCGGAGGAGAAACUACUAAGCCAGAAUGUGGAUCAUGACUGAUGACAUGUGAUAAUUAUGUUUAUCUUUAUUAUGGACUAACACAUUGUAAGGGCAUAUUUUUCCCUCAGGUGUUUUGCUGAUUGAUGACAAUGCAUUUGCGGACUAAUCGUGUGCCUUGAGUUUCUCAGGUUAUUCAUAUCUAGGCACGAGACGAUUCGGUGCCCCUUGGAGACUAUUGAAGUCGGCGUUGUUCUAUGUUUCUCUUUGGUGGAUUUGAGUCGUAGGAGAGCCGUACUAUUAAGAGGGGGUCUGUGUCGGAAAGGUUUGGGUGGAAUCAGCACGUACACUUGUUCCUCCUUUCCCUGCAGUUUGGAGCUUCCCUUUGUUAUCUUGGUUGUGCGGAAAUCUGACGACUACUGCUGUGCUUGCGGUAGUACCGCAAGUACACGCGGUAGUACUGCUGUGUGUCACGGUAGUACCGCUCAUCUGGAGCGGUAGUACCGCGGCUCCCUGGCCUUGUGCCGCUCCAGUGUGGUAGUAGGGGCGGAUGUAAUUUUUUACAUCCGCGCCCUCCACGAUAGUACCGCUCGUCCAGCGCGGUAGUACCGCGGAGGCCCACGGUAGUACCGCUCCCUAGGAGUCGUAGUACCGUGACCCUCCUACCUAGUACCGCAGUGUCGCGGUAGUAGGCGCGGAUGUAAUUUUUUACAUCUGCGCCCGCACGGUAGUACCGCACCUCGCGGGGCGGUAGUACCGCGUCGGAUUUUUGUACCUCCUCUGGUUCAGUGGAAGUAGGCACGGAUGUAAUUUAUUUCAUCCGCGCCCUUCCCAGGCCGUGACUUUCCUCCCUUGCGGUAGUACCACAGGUGGGUGCGGUAGUACCGCGCAAGCGGUAGUACUGCCCCCUUAUCAGGCUAGUUCCUGCCUGUGUUGCUGUCGCGGUAGUACUGUGGUUAGCCACGGUAGUACCGCACAGCCUCGCGGUAGUAACGCGCCCCUAGAGCGGUAGUACCGUGUGUCACAGGCUGAACAUGUGGAUAACGGUUGGAUUUUGUCCAUGACUAUAUAAGGGGUGUCUUCUACCUCUAGUUGACUACCUCUUCCAUCUCUAAGCUCCAUUGUUGCUCCAAGCUCCAUUUUCACUCGAUCUCUCUCCCUAGCCAAUCAAACUUGUUGAUUUGCUCGAGAUUGGGUGACAAGUGCCCGAUCUACACUUCCACCACAGGAUAUUUGAUUCCCCCCACUUAUCCCUUGCGGAUCUUGUUACUCUUGGGUGUUGAGCACCCUAGACGGUUGAGGUCACCUCGAAGCCAUACUCCAUUGUGGUGAAGCUUCACAGGAUUAUUGGGAGCCUCCAAGUGUUGUGGAGAUAGCCCCAAUCUUGUUUGUAAAGGUCCGGUUGCUGCCUUCAAGGGCUUCAAUAGUGGAAUCACGGCAUCUCGCAUUGUGUGAGGGCGUGAGGAGAUUACGGUGGCCCUAGUGGCUUCUUGGGGAGCAUUGUGCCUCCACACCGCUCUAACGGAGACGUACUUCCCCUUAAAAGGAAGGAACUUCGGUAACACAUCCUCGUCUCCACUGGCUCCACUCUUGGUUAUCUUAUCCCUUUACUUUUGCAAGCUUACUUGUGCUAUAUCCAUUGCUUGCUUGUGUGCUCAUUGUCUUUGCAUCAUAUAGGUUGUCCACGUAGUUGCACAUCUAGACAACCUAUUUCAUUGCAAGGUUUAAAUUGUUAAAGAAAAGUCUAAAAAUUGUUAGUUGCCUAUUCACCCCCCUCUAGUCAACCAUAUCGAUCCUUUCAAUUGGUAUCAGAGCCUCGUCUCUUUAUUAAGGACUUUGCCGUCCGAAGAGUAUGGUUGACGUCAACGACGGUGCGGAGGAACACUCCGGUGUGAAUCCCAUCUCGUCUUCGGCCGAAGGGGGAACCUCAGUCUCACGUGAGGAAUUCAAUGUGGCUUUAGACACAUUGAAAACCUCCAUGACGGCCGAGGUUAAAAGCAUGUUUGCUGAAUUUCUAGAGGGACUUAAACUAUCUACCUCACCAAUGAAAGUGGGUGAUCCCACUAACAAGGUGACGGAUGCUAACUCCGAUAAGGGGGAAGCUAACAAUGAAAAGAGUCCUUCUACUAGUGGUAGAAAUGGCACCGACUCUUUGCCCAUGUGGAACCCCCGGUGUAUAGAGGACCGAUCCCCUCUACUCAUUUGAAUCAUGCCGGCCCUCCUCCUAAAUAUGUGAAAAAUGAAGAUUAUGAUUCUUGGGUUUAUCGCUUCAAGCGUCAUCUAAAACAUGUGAAUACUAACCUUUGGAGAAUUAUUGAAGAAGGUUUCUAUCCUCAUGAUCCAAGCAACUUCACCCCUCGAGAAGAAGUGGACAAUCAAUUCAAUGAGAGUGCUCUCUUCAUCAUCCAAGAUGCUAUCCUUCUCGACGAUCUCCCUCAUCUUCGACCUCAUGUCAUGGAUAAAGAAGCAUGGAAGUGUGUCGAGCGUAUGUACAGAGGAAGUGCUAGCAUUCAAUGCUCCAACUAUGAAGUGGUGCAAGAUGAAGCCGAUGAGUUUGCAAUGAAAGAGGAUGAAGAACCUCGUGAGCUCUUUCGAAGAGUGACCAAACUUGCGGUCGCACUCCGAGAUCAUGGGAGUAAGGACACGGAUGACAACUGGAUCAAGCGCAAGUUCCUCAAGGCCAUGAUGCCCUACAACAAGGCCAUGUCCUCAGUCAUCCGCCAAAGACCGGACUUCCACUCCAUGACCUCUGGUGAAGUGUUGGAUGAGUUUGUUGCAAUUAACAUCUUGGAUAAGACCGCCGACAAUGCGGUGCUCCGUUCCCAAAGGGCAAAGAAGCCCAAUCUUGCCUUGAAGGCCAAGGUUAGUGUGGAAGAAGAAGAAGAAGAGGAAGAUGAGGAGAGCAACCCCGAGGACACGAAGUAUGAUUAUCAUGAGCACAUGGCUCUAGCCUCAAGACAAUUUUGGAGUAAGAAGACUACAAAACCCAACUUCAACAAGAACAACUCAAGUGGCCUCAAGGGGAAGCAUCAAGUUAGAACUUGUUUCAACUGUGGCAAUGUCAGCCAUUUUGUUGCGGAUUGUCCAUACGAGAAGCGGGAAGACAAUGGUGGCAAGUUCAUUCGAAAAGACAAAGCCAAGUCCUUCCCCAAGAAGAACAACUUCAUCAAGAAGACUCCUUCUCGCGGGUUGGUGGUUCAAGAAGAAUAUCGUGAGGAUGACGAUGAUGAUGACGAUGGUGAAACAAUGGCCAUGGCAUCUGUUGCCAUUGUCUCAACUCCUCGGGUGUCUCUCUUCGAUGCACCUAACGAGAACAUCACCGCCAAGUGCCUCAUGGCUAAGGCCACCAACAAGGUAACCCCCAACAUCAAAACCACCAUUAUUCCUAACCCUCCUUCAACGGAUGACCUUGAUAAUGGUAAGGGGUCUAAUGAGGAGAUAAAUGAAUUUGAGUCCUUCAUGAGUAAGCUCAAGGGCAAAUCCAAGAAGCACUUCGUUGCUCUCUUGGAACAACUUGGUGAAGCCAAUGACAUGAUCGAGGCUCAUGAAGAAACCAUCACUAAGAUGGAAAGUCACAGUCGUGACUAUGCCGAUGAGAUAUCGGAUCUCUCUAAUGCUCUUGAGGAAGAGCGUGAGCAUCGUUUGGCUCUUGAGGAGUCACACAACGAUGGUCAUGCUAAACUAAAGAAAGAUCUUGAUCAUGCUCUUGUUGUGUCUCGUGUUCUAGCUUCCGAGAAGGCUAAACUUGGGGUUGAUCAUGUUAGACUCACGGAGGAGUUUGAUGUACUUGACAAGGCCCACAAGGUCUUGAAAGAUGCUCAUGCCACCCUCAAGGAGUCUCAUGCUCAACUCCAAGUUAAGCUAACUAAGGAAAAGGCCACAUUUCCUCACAUGGUCUUAAUUGACAAUGCAAAUGCUACUAACCCAUGUUGUGAGCAUGUGCAUCUUGUGGAGGAAAAUGCCAAGUUGAAGGAACAACUCGAGAAAGGUCUUGUGUCAUGCAUACAAGGCGAGAAGAACCUAAAUGACCUUUUGAGCAAUCAAAAGGAAGUUGUGGGCAAGGAGGGAGUUGGGUUCGCACCCAAGUCCAAGAAGAAAAAGAAGAACAAGGAGAAGAAGAGCAAGACCAAUCGACCUCCUCUGCUCAUGCAAACCUUUGUGAAGGAGGGAGAAGGUGCUCCUAAGGAGAAGAAGAACAAUGGGAAGAAUGGUGAAGCCAAAGAGCGCAACGCCAUCUCUCCCAACAAAGCCGGCGACUUUAACCCCUCUUAUGUGUUGUGCCGUGCUAGUGAUGGACAUGUUUAUGCUAAAUUUGUUGGUUCUCCUUAUGAGUACAUUGAAUGGUCUAUUUAGGUUCCUAAGACCCUUGUUACUAACAUCAAAGGACCCAUUACUCAAUGGGUACCUAAAACCAAGCAUUGAUCUCUUGUAGGUGUUUGCUUCCGAUGGGGGAUCAUGGUUGCUCGAUAGUGGAGCAACAAAUCAUAUGACCGGGAGCAAGGACUUGGUGGUGGACGUGCACAAUAUCCCAUCUAUGCCCACCAAUGUCGAAUGGGGUGAUGCCUCAUAUUCUAAGGUAUUGGGUCUUCGCAAGGUUGUCAUUUCUCAUGAUCUAACGAUCGAGAAAGUCAUGCUUGUUGAGUCCCUUGCAUUCAAUUUACUUUCCGUUCGUCAACUCGCACUCAUGGGUUUUGCCACCUUCUUUGAUAUUGAUACCGUGGCCCUCUUGUGGAGCAAGACUCUUAAAGUAGCCUUUGUUGGGCAUGUCGAGAAUGGUCUCUAUGUGGUUAACUUCUCGGAGCAACCCACUAAGACCGCGACAUGCCUAAUGGCUAAAGUUGAUGUGAGAUGGCUUUGGCAUCGCCGUUUAGCCCACGUCAAUAUGAGAUCUUUGCAAAGUCUUCUCAAGGGGGACCAUGUUCAUGGACUAACGAAUGUUAGUUUUGCCAAAGAUCGUGUUUGCAGUGCUUGUAUCGAAGGAAAGCUUCAUGAGACGGCGCACCCUCCCAUGACUAUCAUCUACUCGAAGAGACCCUUGGAGCUCCUUCACAUGGACCUCUUUGGGCCCCCAUCCUUUGAUAGUCUUGGGGGUAGAAAGUAUUGCUUAGUGAUAGUGGAUGAUUAUUCAAGAUACACUUGGGUAUACUUCUUCAAGAGGAAGAGUGAGACCCAACAAACCGUCAUCGACUUUGCAAAUGAAGCUCAGCGUCAACACGAUGCAAAGAUCUUGACAAUAAGAAGUGACAACGGCACCGAGUUCAAGAACUACACCUUGGAUGAGUUUCUUAGUGAUGAAGGGAUCAAGCAUCAAUAUUCUGCACCAUAUACCCCUCAACAAAAUAGAGUUGCGGAGAGAAAGAACCGAACGUUGAUGGAUGCGGCAAGGACCAUGAUGGCGGAGUCCAAGUCUCCAUACAACUUCUGGGCCGAAGCCAUCAAUACAGCUUGUCAUGCAUCCAAUCGGCUCUAUCUCCGCAAAGGCUUGAACAAGACUCCGUAUGAGAUACUCACCGGGAACAAGCCCAAUCUCAAGUACUUCUGGGUGUUCGGGUGUAAGUGUUUCAUUCUCAAGAAAGGUGUUUGUUUGUCUAAAUUUGAAGCUAGAGCUCAUGAGGGCAUAUUUGUUGGUUAUGCUACAAACUCUCAUGCUUACCGUGUUCUCAACAAGUCCAACAGACUCAUUGAGGAGACAUGUAACGUAGAGUUUGAUGAAAAUAACGGCUCCCAAGUGGAGCAAAGUGGUACUUGUGAUGUAGGUGAUGAAAUUCCUCCCCAAGCCAUAAGAAGAAUGGGUAUUGGUCAUAUCCUACCCAUUGAGGAACCCCUUGUGGCUGAAGGAGAAGGACAAUGCUCCACUCAAGUGGAGCCAUCACCUCCCCAAGACCCACACGCUUCCGAAGAACAAAGUGAAGGCCCUCACCUUCAUGAACAAGACCAAGGGCAAGAUCAACCUCAAGAUGGAGGUGAACCUCUAAAUGAUGCCCAAGGUCAAGUUCUCCCCCUCGAGCAAGUUCAAGAUCAUGAGCAAGCUCAAGACGGCGCUCAAGAUGAUCAAGUUAACCUUCCUCCUUCCACACCCGAGGAAGAAUUAGAGCGUCGUGCCGCGAAGAUUGCUUCCAAACUCACCACCCAAGGCCAUCUCAUGGAAAACAUGGUUGGAAGUCUAAGAAAGGGGGUAAGCACUCGUAGACAAUUAGCUAACUAUUGUGAACAUCAUGCGUUUGUCUCUUGUGUUGAACCCCAAAAGGUCUAUGAGGCGCUCAAAGACUCGGAUUGGCUCAAUGCUAUGCAUGAAGAACUAAACAACUUCGAGUACAACAAGGUGUGGAGAUUGGUGCCAAGACCUUCGGGGAACCACAACGUCAUUGGAACAAAGUGGAUCUUCAAGAACAAGCAAGAUGCUCAUGGGAACAUCAUUCGCAACAAGGCAAGAUUGGUAGCACAAGGCUACUCCCAAGUCGAGGGCAUCGACUAUGGUGAAACCUUUUCUCCCGUUGCUCGUCUUGAAUCCAUUCGUUUGUUGAUUGCUUAUGCUUCCCAUCACAACUUUAAGUUGCAACAAAUGGAUGUGAAAAGUGCUUUUCUUAAUGGUCCCAUUAAUGAGUUGGUUUAUGUGAAGCAAACCCCCGGGUUCGAGGACCCCUACUUCCCGGAUCACGUGUAUCAACUCGAUAAGGCACUCUAUGGCCUUAAACAAGCCCCACGUGCGUGGUAUGACCACCUUACCGAGUUGCUACAAGAUCGUGGAUUUGAAGUAGGACAAAUCGAUCCCACUCUUUUUACUAAGAAGGUCAAAGGGGAGUUGUUUGUAUGCCAACUAUAUGUUGAUGAUAUUAUCUUUGGUUCUCCUAACAAAGCUUUCAAUGAGGAAUUUGCCGGUCUCAUGACCUCCAAGUUCAAGAUGUCUUCGAUGGGAGAAUUGAAGUUCUUCCUUGGUUUUGACAUCAAACAACGAAGAGAAGGAACCUUCAUCAACCAAGCCAAAUACACUCAAGACAUGCUUAAAAGAUUCAAGCUAAGUGAUGUCAAGCCGGCUUCUACACCAAUGCCUACCAAGUGCCAACUUGACAUCGAUCCCAAUGGUAAAGCAGUGGAUCAAAAGGUAUAUCGCUCCAUGAUUGGCUCCUUGCUUUACCUUUGUGCAUCUAGACCGGAUAUCAUGUUGAGUGUGGGGAUGUGUGCACGGUUUCAAGCCGCACCAAAGGAAAGUCACUAUGUGGCGGUCAAGAGAAUCUUUCGAUAUUUGGCUCAUACCCCAAACUUUGGCCUAUGGUACCCAAGAGGAGCAAAUUUGAAGCUUGAAGGUUUCACGGAUUCCGAUUGGGCGGGGGACAAAGUGGAUAGGAAGUCCACUUCCGAAGGGUGCCAAUUUCUUGGUUGCUCUUUGGUAAGUUGGUCUUCCAAGAAGCAAAGUUGUGUGUCCCUCUCGUCCACCGAAGCGGAGUAUGUGGCGGCCGGUAGUUGUUGUGCUCAACUCCUAUGGAUGAGGCAAAUUUUAAAGGAGUACGGUGUCAUUUGUGACAAAGUGCCUCUUUGGUGUGAUAAUGAAAGUGCCAUCAAGAUUUCUCUCAACCCGGUACAACACUUCAAGACGAAGCACAUUGAGAUUCGGUAUCACUUCAUCCGGGAUCACAUUAGGAGAGGGGAGAUCGAGCUCAAGUAUGUCAACACUCAUGAUAACCUUGCAGAUAUUUUCACGAAGCCCUUGGAUGAAGCAAGAUUUCGCGAGUUAAGGCAUGAGCUAAAUAUCAUUGAUUUGAGCAAUGUGACUUGAACCUGUACACCCCCACCACACUCAACGUGUUGUCUAGUUUAGGUGUAGGCAUGGACAUAGGGGGAGUGUUGUUCAAUCAAUGAACUCUCCCUCCCCCCAUUAUGCAUAAAUCGAUCACCUCUUUCACAUUAGCCAUUUUUAAUGGUACUUGUGCUUCAAAGACGAGUUUUGGUCAUGGGCCCAAGGAUAAUUCUUCGUGGUGCCAUACCAUCCAACUCAAACAUAGAUGGCUUCGGCCACCGCCCUCUCUCCUCAAGAGGCUUUGUCGCUUGGUGGUUUCUUGUUGUCUUUUUGCCUCUGGUUUGUGCGUGUUCUUGUGGUUUCUUGUGUGUGAAAAGUUUCCGUGCAAAGGCUUUUUCUUCUCUUUUUGAAACUUGCGGUGACUUGAGCUCACGGUACUACUGCGGCCAGCUACGGUACUACCACAGCAAGCCACGGUACUACCGCUUGCGGAAGCACGGUACUACCGUGACCACGCGACAGUAAUUUUUUACUGCCGCCUGGUUGAGCGGUACUACCGCCUCGGCGCGGUACUUCCGCCCGAGCGGUACUACCGCGAUGACACGCGGUACUACCGCGCCGGUUCAAGCGCAUGGGGAUAAGGAUGGGCAGGGGGAGUUUUAACUCCCCAUACCCAUUCGCUGUCCUCUCUCUCCACGUCGUCUCCUUCUCUCCCUCACUCAAGAACGCAGCCGGCGUUCGUCGCCGGAUCUCCUCCACCGGCUGCCCUCUUGUGAUUUCGACCGGUGGGAUCGUUCCCCACCACGUGCUCUUGCUAUGGACCAAGGUUUUUCCCCAACUUCCUCUCCGUGUUGAUUGUGUUUAGUGUUUCUAGGUUUUGGGGGAGGCUUGUGUGUUCUUGAGAUUCUUAGGCUUAAUCUCUGCAAGAGUAGGAUGAUGGAGCGUGGUAUUGCAUAGGAUUUAUACUUGUAUUGUUGUCUUGCGCUAGAUCGGAUCACCGUAGCACCGCCAUUGUUUCGCGGUUCUUUUCAGAUUCAAACCGCCCGUUGGAUCUGACGCAACGCGGUAUUACCGCCCGUCUGGCACGGUACUACCGCUUGCACGAUACUACCGCCCCUCGGGAGCGGUACUACCGUGCUCUAUGCGGUACUAAAAGUUUACUUCCGCCCCAACCACGGUACUACCGUGCCCUAGCACGGUACUACCGCGUUUGGAGCAGUACUAAUAUUUUAGUACCGCAAGCAGUAGCAGUUUUACCUUGGCUCACAUCUAUCGCAUGCCAACUUUCUCGUAUGCCUUCUAUGUGUUUCUUGUGCUUUUUCGUGGCCUUUUGCAUUGAUCUUCUCGCGUCUUUGGUGUUUUGCGUGUGUGUCUCAGGUGGUGGCUCUCGCCGGUCCAACCCCAGUCGUGACACUGUCUCCAAACGUCUGCGCAACCCAGGUGAAGUACCAGAAGGCUCGUCUGCCUCCAAGCGCAAUGUCAAGCACUCAGCUAGCAAGCACAAGGAGCCCGCUAAGGGCAUGGAUGAGAUAGCCCAAGCUGAUUAUGUCCGUCUAAGGCAGCUUCACCCUUAUGUGCAUCCGUGUGCCACCUUCAGAGGCUGUGAGCUGUUCUGGAACAAGCAACAGGUCAACAUCUAUCUGGAUGUCAUCAAGAACAAGCAGAAUACCUAUGUGGAGGUGAAGUGGAUUGAUAUGCAUCACAUGAGGAAGGACAAGUUUCGUGACUACUUUGGCGAGGCUCUGGACUUGGUGGAGCAGUUUGGCAUUGAGCAUGUGAUUACCUUCCACCUCGACUAUGACCCUGAGCUUAUCUGUCAGUUCUUUGCCUCAGUCUACUUUCACUCUGAUGAGGAACGGAGGAUGACCUGGAUGACCAACGGCCGUAAGCUGUCUGCUACCUGGAAGGAGUUCAUGGAUCUCCUCCAGGUUCCUGAUGAUGGACUCGACUCUCCAGUGGGUGUUCGCCCCCAUGCCAAUGCUGAUUCUGCCAGCAAGGACAGACUUGCCCCUUUCAUGGUUGAGAAGGCACUCGCCAAUGGCAAGACAACUUUGGUGCUCAACCCUUUCCUGGAUAUCAUGUAUCGCAUCUUCCGCAACUCCUUGUUCCCUCGCAUCGGUGACAAAGACAAGGUUCAUGCCUAUAUGGUGGACAUGAUGCUCAUCUGCGAGGAGGCUCGUUCGUCUCAGUCUCAGCCACUUGAUGUCUCACACAUCAUGUGGUGUGAGCUCCGGUUUGCAGUGUUCAACCGCAAGGUGCCUAUCUAUGGGCCCUAUCUGUUUCUGCUGAUUUCGAAGACUUGGGAGAAGAUGUUUCCUGAUGAUGAGUUUCUGGCUCCUGACUGGGUUCGCCAUGAGCCCAUCUGCCUGCGUAUCAAACCCAACUGGGCCAACACCACUACUCGCGCCGAGGCGACUGCUGCUAGGACUGCUGUUGAUGAGGAGGAUGCUGGCGCCGAGGAUGUUGCUGAGGGCCAUGCUGCUAGACCUUCCCAGAGUGCCUCUAUGCCAUCAUGGGCCAAGAAGCUGAAGGACAAGAUGAAGACUCUUUUCUGCAUGCAAGCCAAGGGGCAGUACAUGACUCACGUGGCAUCCAAGGAGAGUCGUCGCCGGGACAACAAGAUCUUCCAGCUCUAUGGUGAGGCAGUGUCUGGCGGGUCGGAGGAGCACAUCACUCCAGAAGCCGAGUGGAUGGAGAAGCAGGGUUACAUGUGGACUGAGUCUAAGGAGGGUGUCAAGGAGACCAUCCCUGCUGCCGAGGAGACCGACGGAGAGGGUUGGGACGAGUUCUCUGCUUGAGCCACCUCUUGUGUGUAGGUGUCCUCUCUGCCUUUUUGGCGUCUCGAUGCCAAAGGGGGAGAGAGUGUAGGGAUUUGUGAGUGUGUCGUGUGUUUGCUGCUUUCUCAUUUGUGUCGUGUGUUUGCUGCUUUCUCGGUUGAACCUCGGUAGCUUUACUUCGUAUGGUGUAAGACAUAUGCACUCUAUCUAUCCUAGCGAGCUUGUGUUAUAUUGUGCUAUAUUUAUGCUUUGCUAUGCUUAUUAUCAUGUCUUAGUCUCUAAAAUAUAGGGGGAGUGUUGAUCCUAGUCUGUGUGCUAUGCAGUCCAAAGCAUUCAUCUAAAGUUCACACAUCUAGGGGGAGCCCGUCUAUAUUUUAGAGAGGUGGGGUUUUCCCCUGCUCUAAAUUAUCUUAUCCAUAUGGAAAUCCCGUGUUGUCAUCAAUCCACCAAAAAGGGGGAGAUUGUAAGGGCAUAUUUUUCCCUCAGGUGUUUUGGUGAUUGAUGACAAUGCAUUUGCGGACUAAUCGUGUGCCUUGAGUUUCUCAGGUUAUUCAUAUCUAGGCACGAGACGAUUCGGUGCCCCUCGGAGACUAUUGAAGUCGGCGUUGUUCUACGUUUCUCUUUGGUGGAUUUGAGUCGUAGGAGAGCCGUACUAUUAAGAGGGGGUCCGUGUCGGAAAGGUUUGGGUGGAAUCAACACGUACACUUGUUCCUCCUUUCCCUGCAGUUUGGAGCUUCCGUUUGUUAUCUUGGUUGUGCGGAAAUCUGACGACUACUGAUGUGCUUGCAGUAGUACCGCAAGUACACGCGGUAGUACCGCUGUGUGUCACGGUAGUACCGCUCAUCUGGAGCGGUAGUAUCGCGGCUCCCUGGCCUUGUGCCGCUCCGGUGCGGUAGUAGGGGCGGAUGUAAUUUUUUACAUCCGCGCCCUCCACGGUAGUACCGCUCGUCCAGCGCAGUAGUACCGCGGAGGCCCACGGUAGUACCGCUCCUUAGGAGUCGUAGUACCGUGACCCUCCUACCUAGUACCGCAGUGUCGCGGUAGUAGGCGCGGAUGUAAUUUUUGACAUCCUCGCCCGCACGGUAGUACCGCACCUCACGGGGCGGUAGUACCGCGUCGGAUUUUUGUACCUCCUCUGGUUCAGCGGAAGUAGGCAUGGAUGUAAUUUAUUUCAUCCGCGCCCUUUCUAGGCCGUGACUUUCCUGCCUUGCGGUAGUACCGCAGGUGGGUGCGGUAGUACCGUGCAAGCGGUAGUACUGCCCCCUUAUCAGGCUAGUUCCGGCCUGUGUUGCUGUCGCGGUAGUACUGUGGUUAGCCACGGUAGUACCGCAUAGCCUCGCGGUAGUACCACGCCCCUGGAGCGGUAGUACCGUGUGUCACGGGCUGAACAUGUGGAUAACGGUUGGAUUUUGUCCACGACUAUAUAAGGGGUGUCUUCUACCUCUAGUUGACUACCUCUUCCAUCUCUAAGCUCCAUUGUUGCUCCAAGCUCCAUUUUCACUCGAUCUCUCUCCCUAGCCAAUCAAACUUGUUGAUUUGCUCGGGAUUGGGUGACAAGUGCCCGAUCUACACUUCCACCACAGGAUAUUUGAUUCCCCCCACUUAUCCCUUGCGGAUCUUGUUACUCUUGGGUGUUGAGCACCCUAGACGGUUGAGGUCACCUCGAAGCCAUACUCCAUUGUGGUGAAGCUUCGCGGGAUUAUUGGGAGCCUCCAAGUGUUGUGGAGAUAGCCCCAAUCUUGUUUGUAAAGGUCCGGUUGCCGCCUUCAAGGGCUCCAAUAGUGGAAUCACGGCAUCUCGCAUUGUGUGAGGGCGUGAGGAGAUUACGGUGGCCCUAGUGGCUUCUUGGGGAGCAUUGUGCCUCCACACCGCUCUAACGGAGACGUACUUCCCCUUCAAAGGAAGGAACUUCGGUAACACAUCCUCGUCUCCACCGGCUCCACUCUUGGUUAUCUUAUCCCUUUACUUUUGCAAGCUUACUUGUGCUAUAUCCAUUGCUUGCUUGUGUGCUCAUUGUCUUUGCAUCAUAUAGGUUGUCCACGUAGUUGCACAUCUAGACAACCUAUUUCAUUGCAAGGUUUAAAUUGUUAAAGAAAAGUCUAAAAAUUGUUAGUUGCCUAUUCACCCCCCUCUAGUCAACCAUAUCGAUCCUUUCACCCAUUAUUUAAAUUGAAUUAUUGAGUAUCCCUGGGACGGUUCUACCUCCUGGAUAUUCAUUGUGAUUAUUUACUUUAUAAGCCCUUUAUGUGGUGUCGCUGAGACGCCCUACUGUGGCAUUGCUUGUUAUUUAUUUACUUUAUAAGCCCUUUAUGUGGUGUCGCUGAGACGCCCGACUGUGGCAUUGCUUGUUAUUUAUUUACUGUAUAAGCCCUUUAUGUGGUGUCGCUGGGACGCCCGACUGUGGCAUUGCUUGUUAUUUAUUUACUUUACAAGCCCUUUAUGUGAUGUCGCACAGACGCCCGACUGUGGCAUUUUAUUUCCACUCCAUUAUUGCAUAUCAUGUUGUACAUAAAUAACCUGCUUGCAUGCAUAAAAGAUCUUUAUUUAUGACUGACGAUGUGAUCAUAGAAUAUUUCAGUGCAUGAUUUUCAGUAUAUUAUCCCAGUGUGCAUAAUGUUUGCGAGUACAUUCAAAGUACUCACUGGCUUAUCCCUGGCUAUUGUCUUGGCUAGAUUUCUUGCACGGAGAGGAGCGACGUGAUGACAGCCCCGGAACCUAAGCAACGGUGAUAGCAGCCUCACGAAGAUAGGAGUAAACCUGGUGCAAGGCGUUGGCUCUAACUGAACCCGAGCGAGGCGUUGGGCUCUAACUGAACCCGAGUGAUUGCACUACAGGCUACGCGUUACUGAAUCCGAGCGAUCGAUCGAUGGCUGUUAACUGAACCUGAUCGAGCGAUUCCUUCGCUACUGCUUGUAAGGGCAUAUUUAUCCCCAAGAUGUUUUGGUGAUUGAUGACAAUGCUUUUGCGGACUAAUCGUGUGCGUUAAGUCCUUUCAGAGAUUCAUCCAUUGGCACGAGACGAUUUCCUCCCCUCGAUGUGUCUUUCAAGACGGUGUAGCUCCUUCGUCUCUCUGUUGGUGGACUAGUUUCGUAGGAGUCACCGUACUAUCAAGAGGGGAUCCGCUUUGGUAAGGCUUGAAGGAAAUAUGCCCUAGAGGCAAUAAUAAAGUUAUUAUUUAUUUCCUUAUUUCAUGAUAAAUGUAUAUUAUUCAUGCUAGAAUUGUAUUAACCGGAAACAUGAUACAUGUGUGAAUACAUAGACAAACAUAUAGUCACUAGUAUGCCUCUACUUGACUAGCUCAUUAAUCAAAGAUGGUUAUGUUUCCUAACCAUAGACAUGUGUUGUCAUUUGAUUAAUGGGAUCACAUCAUUAGGAGAAUGAUGUGAUUGACAUGACCCAUUCUGUUAGCCUAGCAGUUGAUCGUUUAGUAUAUUGCUAUUGCUUUCUUCAUGACUUAUACAUGUUCCUGUAACUAUGAGAUUAUGCAACUCUCGUUUACCGAAGGAACACUUUGGGUACUACCAAACGUCACAACAUAACUGGGUGAUUAUAAAGGAGUACUACAGGUGUCUCCGAAGGUACAUGUUGAGUUGGCAUAUUUUGAGAUUAGGUUUUGUCACUCCGAUUGUCAGAGAGGUAUCUCUGGGCCCUCUCGGUAAUGCACAUCACUAUAAGCCUUGCAAGCAAUGUGACCAAUGAGUUGGUUACGGGAUGAUGCAUUACGUAACGAGUAAAGAGACUUGCCGGUAACGAGAUUGAACUAGGUAUUGGAUACCGACAAUCAAAUCUCGGGCAAGUAACAUACCGAUGACAAAGGGAACAACGUAUGUUGUUAUGCGGUUUGACCGAUAAAGAUCUUCGUAGAAUAUGUAGGAACCAAUAUGGGCAUCCAGGUUCCGCUAUUGAUUAUUGACUGAGAAUAGUUCUAGGUCAUGUCUACAUAGUUCUCGAACCCGUAGGGUCCGCACGCUUAAGGUUUCGAUGACAGUUAUAUUAUGAGUUUAUGAGUUUUGAUGUACCGAAGGAGUUCGGAGUCCCGGAUGAGACCGGGGACAUGACGAGGAGUCUCGAAAUGGUCGAGACGUAAAGAUCAAUAUAUUGGACGACUAUAUUCGGAGUUCGGAAAGGUUCCGAGUGAUUCGGGUAUUUUUUGGAGUACCGGAGAGUUACGGGAAUUCGCCGGGGAGUAUAUGGGCCUUAUUGGGCCAUACGGGAAUAGAGGAGAGAGGCCGAAAGGAAGGAGGCGCGCAGCCCCCCUCUGGUCCGAAUUGGACAAGGGGUGCGGCCCCCCUUUCCUUCCUCCUCUCCCCCUCUUUCCCCCUUUCUCCUACUCCAACAAGGAAGGAGGGAGUCCUACUCCCGGUGGGAGUAGGACUCCCCUUGGCGCGCCCCUCCUAGGCCGGCCGCCCCCUCCCCCCUUGCUCCUUUAUAUACGGGGGCAGGGGGGCACCUCUAGGGACAACACAAGUUGAUCUAUGGAUCGUUCCUUAGCCGUGUGCAGUGCCCCCCUCCACCAUAUUCCACCUCGGUCAUAUCGUCGCGGAGUUUUAGCGAAGCCCUGCGCCGGUAGAGUAUCAUCAUCGUCACCACGCCGUCGUGCUGACGAAACUCAUCCCCGACACUUUACUGGAUCGGAGUCCGGGGAUCGUUAUCGAGCUGAACGUGUGCUGAACUCGGAGGUGCCGUACGUUCGGUACUUGGAUCGGUCGGAUCGUGAAGACGUACGACUACAUCAACCGCGUUGUCAUAACGCUUCCGCUUACGGUCUAAGAGGGUACGUGGACAACACUCUCCCCUCUCGUUGCUAUGCCAUCACCAUGAUCUUGCGUGUGCGUAGGAAAUUUUUGAAAUUACUACGUUCCCCAACAGUGGUAUCAGAGCCAGGUUUUAUGCGUAGAUGUUAUAUGCACGAGUAGAACACAAGUGAGUUGUGGGCGAUACAAGUCAUACUGCUUACCAACAUGUCAUACUUUGGUUCAGCGGUAUUGCUGGAUGAAGCGGCCCGGACCGACAUUACGCGAGACUGGUUUUACCGCCGUGCUUUGCACAAAGGUGACUAGUGGGUGUCAGUUUCUCCAACUUUAGUUGAACCGAGUGUGGCUACGCCCGGUCCUUGCGAAGGUUAAAACAACACCAACUUGACGAACUAUCGUUGUGGUUUUGAUGCGUAGGUAAGAACGGUUCUUGCUCAGCCCGUAGCAGCCAUGUAAAACUUGCAACAACAAAGUAGAGGAUGUCUAACUUGUUUUUGUAGGGCAUGUUGUGAUGUGAUAUGGUCAAGACGUGAUGAGAUAUAAGUUGUUGUAUGAGAUGAUCAUGUUUUGUUGAAGUUAUCGGCAACUGGCAGAAGCCCUAUGGUUGUCUCUUUGUUGCAUAAGAUGCAAGUGCCAAAUAAUUGCUUUACUUUAUCGCUAUGCGAUAGCAAUAGUUGCAAGAGCAAUAGUUGGCGAGACGACCACGUAACGACACAUUGAUAUAGAUCAAGAUGAUGAAGAUCAUUGUGUCGUGCCGGUAACGAUAGAGAUCAUGACAGUACUUUGGAGAUGGAGAUCAAAGGCGCAAGAUGAUCAUGGCCAUAUCAUGUCACAUAUUUUGAUUGCAUAUGAUGUUUAUCUGUUAUACAUCUUAUUCUGUUUUGUUUGACGGUAGCAUUUUAAGAUGAUAUCUCACUAAUUAUCAAGAAGUGUUUUCCCUGAGUAUGCACCGUUGCGAAAGUUCUUUGUGCUGAGACACCACGUGAUGAUCGGGUGUGAUAGGCUCUACGUUCAAAUACAACAGGUGCAAAACAGUUGCACACGCGGAAUACUCAAGUUAAACUUGACGAGCCUAGCAUAUACAGAUAUGGCCUCGGAACACGGAGACCGAAAGGUCGAGCAUGAAUCAUAUAGUAGAUAUGAUCAACAUAUUGAUGUUCACCGUUGAAACUACUCCAUCUCACGUGACGAUCGGACAUGGUGUAGUUGAUAUGGAUCAUGUAAUCACUUAGAGGAUUAGAGGGAUGUCUAUCUAAGUGGGAGUUCUUAAGUAAUAUGAUUAAUUGAACUUAAAUUUAUCAUGAACUUAGUCCUGGUAGUAUUUUGCAAAUUAUGUUGUAGAUCAAUAGCUUGCGUUGUUGCUUUCAUAUGUUUAUUUUGAUAUGUUCCUAGAGAAAAUUGUGUUGAAAGAUGUUAGUAGCAAUGAUGCGGAUUGGAUCCGUGAUUUGAGGUUUAUCCUCAUUGCUGCACAGAAGAAUUAUGUCCUUAAUGCACCGCUAGGUGACAGACCUAUUGCAGGAGCAGACGCAGACGUUAUGAACGUUUGGCUAGCUCAAUAUGAUGACUACUUGAUAGUUUAGUGCACCAUGCUUAACGGCUUAGAACCGGGACUUCAAAGAUGUUUUGAACGUCAUGGACCAUAUGAGAUGUUCCAGGAAUUGAAGUUCAUAUUUCAAGCAAAUACCCGAGUUGAGAGAUAUGAAGUCUCCAACAAGUUCUAUAGCUUAAAAGAUGGAGGAGAAUCACUCAACUAGUAAGCAUGUGCUCAGAUUGUCUGGGUACUUCAAUCACUUGAAUCAAGUGGGAGUUAAUCUUCCAGAUAAGAUAGUGAUUGACAGAAUUCUCUAGUCACCAUCACUAAGUUACUAGAAAUUCGUGAUGAACUAUAGUAUGCAAGGGAUGACGAAAACAAUUCCCGAGCUCUUCGUGAUGUUGAAAUCGAUGAAGGUAGAAAUCAAGAAAGAGCAUCAAGUGUUGAUGAUUGACAAGACCACUAGUUUCAAUAAAAGGGCAAAGGGAAAGAAAGGGAACUUCAAGUAGAAUGACAAGCAAGUUGUCACUCCCACGAAGAAGCCCAAAGCUGAACCAAAGCCUGAAACUGAGUGCUCACACUGCAAAGGAAAUGGUCACUGGAAGCGGAAAUGCCCUGAAUAUUUGGUGGAUAAGAAGGAUGGCAAAGUGAACAAGGGUAUAUUUGAUAUACAGGUUAUUGAUGUGUGCCUUACUAGUGUUUAUAGUAGCUCCUGAGUAUUUGAUACUUGUUCGGUUGCUAAGAUUAGUAACUCGAAACAGGAGUUACAGAAUAAACAGAGACUAGUUGAAGGGGAAGUGACGAUGAGUGUUGUAAGUAGUUCCAAGAUUGAUAUGAUCAUCAUCGCACACUCCCUAUACUUUCGGGAUUAGUGUUAAACCUAAAUAAAUGUUAUUUGGCAUUUGCGUUGAGCAUGAACAUGAUUUGAUCGUGUUUAUUGCGAUACGGUUAUUCAUUUAAAGUUAGAGAAUAAUUAUUAUUCUAUUUACAUGAAUAAGACCUUCGAUGGUUAUACACCCAAUGAAAAUAGUUUGUUGGAUCUCGAUCGUAGUGAUACACAUAUUCAUAAUAUUGAUGCCAAAAGAUGCAAAGUUAAUAAUGAUAGUGCAACUUAUUUGUGGCACUGCCAUUUGGAUCAUAUCGGUGUAAAGCGCAUGAAGAAACUCCACAAAGAUGGAUUUUCGGAAUCACUUGGUUAUGAAUCAUUUGACGCUUGCGAACCGUGCCUUUUGGGCAAGAUGACUAAAACUCCGUUCUCCGGAACAAUGGAACAAGCUACUGACUUAUUGGAAAUAAUACAUACCGAUGUAUGCGAUCCAAUGAGUCUUGAUGCUCGUGGCAAGUAUCGUUAUUUUCUGACCUUCACAAAAUGAUUUGAGCAGAUAUGGGUAUAUCUACUUGAUGAAACAUAAGUCUGAAAUAAUUGAAAAGUUCAAAGAAUUUCAGAGUGAAGUGGAAAAAUCAUCGUAACAAGAAAAUAAAGUUUCUACGAUCUGAUCGCAGAGACGAAUAUUUGAGUUACGAGUUUGAUCUUCAAUUAAAACAAUGUGGAAUAGUUUCACAGCUCACGCCACCUGGAACACCACAACGUUAUGGUGUGUCCGAACGUCGUAACCGCACUUUAUUGGAUAUGGUGCGAUCUAUGAUGUCUCUUAUCGGUUUUACCACUAUCAUUUUGGGGUUGUGCAUUAGAGACAACUGCAUUCACAUUUAAAAAGGGCACCAUCUAAAUCCAUUGAGACGACACCGUAUGAACUAUGGUUUAGCAGUAAACCUAAGCUGUCGUUUCUUAAAGUUUGGAGUUGCGAUGCUUACAUAAAAAAGGUUUUCAACCUGAUAAGCUCGAACCCAAAUCGGAGAAGUGCGUCUUCAUAGAAUACCCAAAGGAAACUGUUGGGUACACCUUCUAUCACAAAUCCAAAGGCAAAACAUCUGUUGCUAAGAAUGGAUCCUUUCUAGAGAAGGAGUUUCUCUUGAAAGAAGUGAGUGGGAGGAAAGUAGAACUUGAUGAGGUAACUGUACCUGCUCCCUCAUUUGAAAGUAGUUCAUCACAGAAAUCUGUUCCUGUGACUACUACACCAAUUAGUGAGGAAGUUAAUGAUGAUGAUCAUGAAACUUCAGAUUAAGUUACUACAGAAUCUUGUAGGUCUUACAGAGUAAGAUCCGCACCAGAGUGGUACGGUAAUCCUGUUCUGGAAGUUAUGUUACUAGACCAUGACGAACCUACGAACUAUGAAGAAGCGAUGGUGAGCCCAGAUUCCGCAAAAUGGCUUGAGGCCAUGAGAUCUGAGAUAAGAUCCAUGUAUGAAAACAAAGUAUGGACUUUGAUUGACUUGCCCAAUGAUCGGCGAGACAUUGAGAUUAAAUGGAUCUUCAAGAGGAAGACGGACACUGAUAGUGUUACUAUCUACAAAGCUAGAAUUGUCGCAAAAGGUUUUCGACAAGUUCAAGGUGUUGACUACGAUGAGAGUUUUUCACUCGUAUCUAUGCUUAAGUCUGUCUGAAUCAUGUUAGCAAUUGCCGCAUUUUAUGAAAUCUGGCAAAUGGAUAAACAAAACUGCAUUCCUUAAUGGUUUUCUUAAAGAAGAGUUGUAUAUGAUGCAACCAGAAGGUUUUGUCAAUCCUAAAGGUGCUAACAAAUUGUGCAAGCUCUAGCGAUCCAUCUAUGGACUGGUGCAAGCAUCUCGGAGUUGGAAUAUAUGCUUUGAUGAGUUGAUCAAAGCAUAUGGUUUUAUACAGACUUUUUGAAGAAGCCUGUAUUUACAAGAAAGUGAGUGGGAGCUCUGUAGCAUUUCUAAUAUUAUAUGUGGAUGGCAUAUUGUUAAUUGGAAAUGAUAUGGAAAUUCUGGAUAGCAUGAAAGGAUACUUGAAUAAGAGUUUUUCAAAGCAAGACCUCGGUGAAGCUGCUUACACAUUGAGCAUCAAGAUCUAUAUAGAUAGAUCAAGACGCUUGAUAAGAUUUUUCAAUGAGUACAUACCUUGAUAAAUUUUUGAAAUAGUUCAAAAUGGAAUAGCCAAAGAAGGAGUUCUUGCCUGUGUUACAAGGUGUGAAGUUGAGUAAGACUCAAGACCCGACCAUUGCAGAAAAUAGAAAGAGAAUGAAAAGUCAUUCCCUAUGCCUCAGUCAUAGGUUCUAUAAAGUAUGCUAUGCUGUAAACCAGACCUAUUGUAUACCUUGCUCUGUGUUUGGCAAAGGAAUACAAUUUUGAUCUAAUAAGUAGAUCACUGGACAUGGGUCAAGAAUAUCCUUAGUGAGGACUAAGGAGAUGUUUCUCGAUUAUGGAGGUGAUAAAAGAGCCCGUCAUUAAAGUUACAACGAUGCAAGCUUUUACACCAAUCCAGAUGACUCUAAGUCUCAAUCUGGAUACAUAUUGAAAGUGGGAACAAUUAGCUAGAGUAGCUCCAUGCAGAGCAUUGUGGACAUAGAAUAUUUGCGAAAUACAUACGGCUCUGAAUAUGACAGACCCGUUGACUAAGCUUCUCUCACGAGCAAAACAUGAUCAUACCUUAGUACUCUUUUGGGUGUUAAUCACAUAGAGAUGUGAACUAGAUUAUUGACUCUAGUAAACCCUUUGGGUGUUGAUCACAUGAUGAUGUGAACUAUGGGUAUUAAUCACAUGCAGAUGUGAAUAUUGGUGUUAAAUCACAUAGCGAUGUGAACUAGAUUAUUGACUCUAGUGCAAGUGGGAGACUGAAGGAAAUAUGCCCUAGAGGCAAUAAUAAAGUUAUUAUUUAUUUCCUUAUUUCAUGAUAAAUGUUUAUUAUUCAUGCUAGAAUUGUAUUAACCGGAAACAUGAUACAUGUGUGAAUACAUAGACAAACAUAUAGUCACUAGUAUGCCUCUACUUGACUAGCUCAUUAAUCAAAGAUGGUUAUGUUUCCUAACCAUAGACAUGUGUUGUCAUUUGAUUAAUGGGAUCAUAUCAUUAGGAGAAUGAUGUGAUUGACAUGACCCAUUCCGUUAGCCUAGCAGUUGAUCGUUUAGUAUAUUGCUAUUGCUUUCUUCAUGACUUAUACAUGUUCCUGUAACUAUGAGAUUAUGCAACUCCCGUUUACCGGAGGAACACUUUGGGUACUACCAAACGUCACAACGUAACUGGGUGAUUAUAAAGGAGUACUACAGGUCUCUCCGAAGGUACAUGUUGAGUUGGCAUAUUUCGAGAUUAGGUUUUGUCACUCCGAUUGUCGGAGAGGUAUCUCUGGGCCCUCUCGGUAAUGCACAUCACUAUAAGCCUUGCAAGCAAUGUGACCAAUGAGUUGGUUACGGGAUGAUGCAUUACGUAACGAGUAAAGAGACUUGCCGGUAACGAGAUUGAACUAGGUAUUGGAUACCGACAAUCAAAUCUCGGGCAAGUGACAUACCGAUGACAAAGGGAACAACAUAUGUUGUUAUGCGGUUUGACCGACAAAAAUCUUCGUAGAAUAUGUAGGAACCAAUAUGGGCAUCCAGGUUCCGCUAUUGGUUAUUGACCGAGAAUAGUUCUAGGUCAUGUCUACAUAGUUCUCGAACCCGUAGGGUCCGCAUGCUUAAGGUUUCGAUGACAGUUAUAUUAUGAGUUUAUGAGUUUUGAUGUACCGAAGGAGUUCGGAGUCCCGGAUGAGAUCGGGGACAUGACGAGGAGUCUCGAAAUGGUCGAGACGUAAAGAUCGAUAUAUUGGACGACUAUAUUCAGAGUUCGGAAAGGUUCCGAGUGAUUCGGGUAUUUUUUGGAGUACCGGAGAGUUACGGGAAUUCGCCAGGGAGUAUAUGGGCCUUAUUGGGCCAUACGGGAAUAGAGAAGAGAGGCCGAAAGGAAGGAGGCGCGCAGCCCCCCUCUGGUCCGAAUUGGACAAGGGGUGCGGCCCCCCUUUCCUUCCUCCUCUCCCUCUCUUUUCCCCUUUCUCCUACUCCAACAAGGAAGGAGGGAGUCCUACUCCCGAUGGGAGUAGGACUCCCCUUGGCGCGCCCCUCCUAGGCCGGCCGCCCCCUCCCCCCUUGCUCCUUUAUAUACGGGGGCAGGGGGGCACCUCUAGGGACAACACAAGUUGAUCUACGGAUCAUUCCUUAGCCGUGUGCGAUGCCCCCCUCCACCAUAUUCCACCUCGGUCAUAUCGUCGCGGAGUUUUAGCGAAGCCCUGCGCCGGUAGAGCAUCAUCAUCGUCACCACGCUGUCGUGUUGACGGAACUCAUCCCCGAUACUUUGCUGGAUCGGAGUCCGGGGAUCAUCAUCGAGCUGAACGUGUGCUGAACUCGGAGGUGCCGUACGUUCGGUACUUGGAUCGGUCGGAUCGUGAAGACGUACGACUACAUCAACCGCGUUGUCAUAACGCUUCCGCUUACGGUCUACGAGGGUACGUGGACAACACUCUCCCCUCUCGUUGCUAUGCCAUCACCAUGAUCUUGCAUGUGCGUAGGAAUAUUUUGAAAUUACUACGUUCCCCAACAAGGCUUGGGUGGAAUCAACAUGUACACAUCCGUUUCACACCCAAUGUCUUCCUUCCCGCUUCGAUGGAGUAGUUCUUCCUUCCGUGUUCCUGCCCUGUCCUACCCCAGCGGUAGUACCGCGGUCCUCAGCGGUAGUACCUCCGAAGCUCUCUAGCGGUAGUACCGCUCCUGGAGCGGUAGUACCGCUCCCCCGAGCGGUAGUACCGCUUGAGGACUUCGUCCGUAGUACCGCAAUUGGUCCACGCUAGUACCGCUUCGAUUCUCGACCGAUGUUUUUCGUGUCGGGUUUUGCGUACUAGGAGCGGUAGUAGUGGCGGUAGUACCUCUCCAAGUGGUAGUACCGCUCUUACUCACGCGGUAGUACCACUCUGGGGCCAGGGCCCUGUCUUCCUCGUCAGCGCGGUAGUACCACUGGGUAGGAGCGGUAGUACCGCCCUCGGCGGUAGUACCGCCCUGCCCAAGUGGUAGUACCGCUCUGUGCGGGGCUGCUCAGUGGGGUAACGGUUGGAAUAGUUCUCCCACUAUAUAAAGGUGUCUUCUUCCUCCAAGUUGACCUACGUCUUUCCCCCAAAGCUCCAUUGUUGGUCCAAGCUCCAUUUUCGCCCGGUCUCUCUCCCUAGCCAAUCAAACUUGUUGAUUUGCUCGGGAUUGGUUGAGAAGGCCCAGAUCUACACUUCCACCAAGAGAAAUUUGAUCCCCCCCACUUAUCCCUAGCGGAUCUUGUUACUCUUGGGUGUUGAGCACCCUAGACGGUUGAGGUCACCUCGAAGCCAUACUCCAUUGUGGUGAAGCUUCGUGGUGUUGUUGGGAGCCUCCAAGUGUUGUGGAGAUAGCCCCAAUCUUGUUUGUAAAGGUUCGGUCGCCGCCUUCAAGGGCACCAAUAGUGGAAUCACGGCAUCUCGCAUUGUGUGAGGGCGUGAGGAGAUUACGGUGGCCCUAGUGGCUUCUUGGGGAGCAUUGUGCCUCCACACUGCUCUAACGGAGACGUACUUCCCUUCAAAAGGAAGGAACUCCGGUAACACAUCCUCGCCUCCACCGGCUCCACUCUUGGUUAUUUCGUGCCUUUACUUUUGCAAGCUUACUUGUGUUGCAUCUAUUGCUUGUUUGUGUGCUAGGUGUCUUUGCAUCAUAUAGGUUGUUCACGUAGUUGCACAUCUAGACAACCUAUUUCGUUGAAAGUUUUAAAUUGUGAAAGAAAAGCCUAAAAAAUGUUAGUUGCCUAUUCACCCCCCCUCUAGUCAACCAUAUCGAUCCUUUCAAUUGGUAUCAGAGCCUCGUCUCUUUAUUAAGGACUUUGCCGUCCGAAGAGUAUGGUUGACACCAACGACGGUGCGGAGGAACACUCCGGUGUGAAUCCCAUCUCGUCUUCGACCGAAGGGGGAACCUCGGUCUCACGUGAGGAAUUCAAUGUGGCUUUAGACACAUUGAAAACCUCCAUGACGGCCGAGGUUAAAAGCAUGUUUACUGAAUUUCUAGAAGGACUUAAACUAUCUACCUCGCCGAUGAAAGUGGAUGAUCCCACUAACAAGGUGAUGGAUGCUACCUCCGACAAGGGGGAAGCUAACAAUGAAAAGAGUCCUUCUACUAGUGGUAGAAAUGGCACCGGCAUCUUUGCCCAUGUGGAACCUCCUAUUUAUAGAGGACCGAUCCCCUCCACUCAUUUGAAUCACGCCGGUCCUCCUCCUAAAUAUGAGAAGCAUGAAGAUUUUGACUCUUGGGUUUAUCGCUUCAAGCGUCAUUUAAAACAUGUGAACACUAACCUUUGGAGAAUCAUUGAAGAAGGUUUUUAUCCUCACGACCCAAGCAACUUCACCCCUCGAGAAGACGUGGACAAUCAACUCAAUGAGAGUGCUCUCUUCAUCAUCUAAGAUGCCAUCCUUCCCGAAGAUCUCCCUCAUCUUCGACCUCAUGUCAUGGCUAAAGAAGCAUGGAAAUGUGUCGAGGGUCUCUAUCGAGGAAGUGCUAGCAUUCAACGCUCCAACUAUGAAGUGGUGCAAGAUGAAGCCGAUGAGUUUGCAAUGAAAGAAGAUGAAGAACCUCGUGAGCUCUUUCGAAGAGUGACCAAACUUGCGGUCGCACUCCGAGAUCAUGGAAGCAAGGACACGGAUGACAAUUGGAUCAAGCGCAAGUUCCUCAAGGCCAUGAUGCCCUACAACAAGGCCAUGUCCUCCAUCAUUCUUCAAAGACCGGACUUCCACUCCAUGACCUCAAGUGAAGUGUUGGAUGAGUUCGUUGCAAUGAGCAUCUUGGACAAGACCGCCGAUAAUGAGGUGCUCCGUUCUCAAAGGGUAAAGAAGCCCAACCUUGCUUUGAAGGCCAAGGUUAUCUUGGAAGAAGAGGAAGAAGUGGAAGAUGAGGAGAGCAACCCCGAAGACACCAAAUUUGAUUACCAUGAGCACAUGGCCCUUGCUUCAAGACAAUUUUGGAGCAAGAAGAAUUCAAGACCCAACUUCAACAAGAACAACUCAAGUGGCGUCAAGGGCAAGCAACGAGUUAGAACUUGCUUCAACUGUGGCAAUGUGAGCCAUUUCGUUGCGGAUUGUCCUUAUGAGAAGCGGGAAGACAAUGGUGGCAAGUUCAUCCGAAAAGACAAAGCCAAGUCCUUCCCCAACAAGAACAACUUUUCCAAGAAGACUCCCACUCAUGGGUUGGUGGUUCAAGAAGAAUACCAAGAGGAUGGCGAUGAUGAUGAAAAUGAGGAAGCAAUGGCAAUGGCAUCCGUUGCCAUUGCUACUACUCCCCGGGUGUCUCUCUUUGAUUCACCCAACGAGAACAUCACCGCCAAAUGCCUCAUGGCUAAAGCUUCAAACAAGGUGUUUGCUUCCGGUGGGGGAUCAUGGUUGCUCGAUAGUGGAGCAACAAAUCAUAUGACCGGGAGCAAGGACAUGGUGGUGGACGUGCAAAAGAUUCCAUCUAUGCCCACCAAUGUCGAGUGGGGUGAUGCAUCACAUUCUAAGGUAUUGGGUCUCGGCAAGGUUGUCAUUUCUCAUGAUCUAAUGAUCGAGAAAGUCAUGCUUGUUGAGUCCCUUGCAUACAAUUUGCUUUCUGUUCGUCAACUUGCAAUCAUGGGUUUUGCUACUUUCUUUGACAUUGAUACCGUGGCCCUCUUGUGGAGCAAGACUCUUAAAGUAGCCUUUGUUGGGCAUGUCGAGAACGGUCUCUAUGUGAUUAACUUUUCGGAGCGACCCACUAAGACCGUGAUAGGCCUAAUGGCUAAAGUUGACGUGGGAUGGCUUUGCCAUCGCCGUUUAGCUCACGUCAAUAUGAGAUCUUUGCAAAGUCUUCUCAAGGGGGACCAUGUUCGUGGACUAACAAAUGUUAGUUUUGCCAAAGAUCGUGCUUGAAGUGCCUGUAUUGAAGGAAAGCUACAUGAGAAGGCUCACCCUCCCUCAACACAUCUACUCGAAGAGACCCUUGGAGCUCCUUCACAUGGAUCUCUUUGGGCCUCCAUCUUUUGAUAGUCUUGGAGGAAGAAAGUAUUGCUUGGUGAUUGUGGAUGAUUAUUCAAGAUACACUUGGGUAUACUUCUUCAAGAGGAAGAGUGAGACUCAACAAACCAUCAUCAACUUUGCAAAUGAAGCUCAACAUCAACAUAAUGCAAAGAUCUUGACAAUCAGAAGUGACAACGGCACCGAGUUCAAGAACUACACCUUGGAUGAGUUUCUUAGUGAUGAGGGGAUCAAGCACCAAUAUGCUGCUCCAUACACCCCUCAACAAAAUGGUGUGGCGGAGAGGAAGAACCGGACAUUGAUGGAUGCGGCUAGGACCAUGAUGGCGGAGUUCAAGUCUCCAUACAACUUUUGGGCCGAAGCCAUCAACACUGCAUGUCAUGCAUCCAAUCGGCUCUAUCUCCGCAAAGGCUUGAACAAGACUCCAUAUGAGAUACUCACCGGCAACAAGCCCAACCUCAAGUACUUCCGGGUGUUCGGUUGUAAGUGUUUCAUUCUCAAGAAAGGUGUUCGUUUGUCUAAAUUUGAGGCUAGAGCUCAUGAGGGCAUAUUUGUUGGUUAUGCUACAAACUCUCAUGCUUACCGUGUUCUCAACAAGUCCACCGGACUCAUUGAGGAGACAUGUAACGUGGAGUUUGACGAAAAUAACGGCUCCCAAGUGGAGCAAAGUGGUACUUGUGAUGUAGGUGAUGAAAUUCCUCCCCAAGCCAUAAGAAGAAUGGGUAUUGGUCAUAUUCUACCCAUUGAGGAACCCCUUGUGGCCGAAGGAGAAGGACAAUGCUCCACUCAAGUGGAGCCAUCACCUCCCCAAGACCCACACGCUUCUGAAGAACAAAGUGAAGGCCCUCAACCUCGUGAACAAGACCAAGGGCAAGAUCAAUCUCAAGAUGGUGGUGAACCUCUAAAUGAUGCCCAAUGUCAAGUUCUCCCCCUCGAGCAAGUUCAAGAUCAUGAGCAAGCUCAAGAUCAAGAACAAGCUCAAGACGGCGCUCAAGAGAAUCAAGUCAACCCUCCUCCUUCCACUUCCGAGGAGGAAUUAGAGCGUCGUGCCGCGAAGAUUGCUUCCAAGCUCACCACCCAAGGCCAUCUCUUGGAAAAUGUGGUUGGAAGCCUAAGAAAGGGGGUAAGCACUAGUAGACAAUUAGCAAACUAUUGUGAACAUCACGCGUUUGUCUCUUGUGUUGAACCCCAGAAGGUCUAUGAGGCGCUCGAAGACUCGGAUUGGCUCAAUGCCAUGCAUGAAGAACUCAACAACUUCGAGCACAACAAGGUGUGGAGAUUGGUGCCAAGGCCAUCGGGGAACCACAACGUCAUUGGAACCAAGUGGAUCUUCAAGAACAAGCAAGAUGCUCAUGGGAACAUCAUUCACAACAAGGCAAGAUUGGUAGCACAAGGCUACUCCCAAGUCGAGGGUAUCGACUACGAUGAAACCUUUGCUCCCGUUGCUCGUCUUGAAUCCAUACGUUCGUUGAUUGCUUAUGCUUCCCAUCACAACUUUAAGUUUUAACAAAUGGAUGUGAAAAGUGCUUUCCUUAGUGGUCCUAUUAAUGAGUUGGUCUAUGUCAAGCAACCCCCGGGGUUUGAGGAUCUUUACUUCCCAGAUCAUGUGUAUCAACUCGAUAAGGCACUCUAUGGCCUUAAACAAGCCCCACGUGCGUGGUAUGACCACCUUACCGAGUUGUUACAAGAUCGUGGAUUUGAAGUGGGGCUAAUCGAUCCCACUCUUUUUACUAAGAAGGUCAAAGGGGAGUUGUUUGUAUGCCAACUAUAUGUUGAUGACAUUAUCUUUGGUUCCCCUAACAAAGCUUUCAAUGAGGAAUUUGCCGCUCUCAUGACCUCCAAGUUCUAGAUGUCUUCAAUGGGAGAGUUGAAGUUCUUCCUUGGUUUUGACAUUAAACAAAGAAGAGAAGGAACCUUCAUCAACCAAGCCAAAUACACUCAAGACAUGCUAAAAAGAUUCAAGCUAAGUGAUGUCAAGCCGGCUACUACUCCAAUGCCCACCAAGUGCCAACUUGACAUUGAUCCCAAUGGUAAAGCGGUGGAUCAAAAGGUAUAUCGCUCCAUGAUUGGCUCCCUUCUUUACCUUUGUGCAUCUAGACCGGAUAUCAUGUUGAGUGUGGGGAUGUGUGCACGGUUUCAAGCCGCACCGAAGGAAAUUCACUUUGUGGCGGUCAAGCGAAUCUUUCGAUAUUUGGCUCAUACCCCAAACUUUGGCUUAUGGUACCCAAGAGGGGCGGAUUUCAAGCUUGAAGGAUUUACGAAUUCCGAUUGGGCGGGAGACAAAGUGGAUAGGAAGUCCACUUCCAGAGGGUGCCAAUUUCUUGGGUGCUCUUUGGUGAGUUGGUCUUCCAAAAAGCAAAGUUGUGUAUCUGUCUCAUCCACCGAAGCGGAAUAUGUGGAGGCCGGUAGUUGUUGUGCACAACUCUUAUGGAUGAGGCAAACUUUAAAGGAAUACGGUGUCAUUUGUGACAAAGUGCCUCUUUGGUGUGACAACGAGAGUGCCAUCAAGAUUUCUCUCAACCCGGUGCAACACUUCAAGACGAAGCAUAUUGAGAUUCGAUAUCAUUUCAUCCGAGAUCACAUUAGGCGAGGGGAGAUCGAGCUCAAGUAUGUUAACACUCAUGAUAACCUUGUAGAUAUUUUCACGAAGCCCUUGGAUGAAGCAAGAUUUCGCGAGUUAAGGCAUGAGCUAAAUAUCAUUGAUUCGAGCAAUGUGACUUGAACCCUUGCACAUCCCACCUCACUCAACUUGAUGUCUAGUUUAGAUGUAGGCAUGGACAUAGGGGGAGUGUUGUUCUCUCAAUGAACUCUCCCUCCCCCCAUUAUGCAUAAAUCGAUCAACUCUUUCACAUUAGCCAUUUUUUAUGGUACUUGUGCUUCAAAGACGAGUUUUGGUCAUGGGCCCAAGGAUAAUUCUUCGCGGUGCCAUACCAAUUGACUCAAACAUAGGUGGCUCCGGCCACCAUCCUCUCUUGAGAGAGGACAGAGCUCGCUCUGUUUCGUGUGGUUGUUUUUGUUUGAGUGGUUUCUGGUCCGUUGCUUGUGUGUGUGCUGCCUUGUUGGUCUUCUUUUUCUCUUGGGUUUCUUUUCCGUCUUUUUGGAGCUUUAGCAUUUGGUCUAGAAGUCGUGCGGUUGCUGAAGCGAUACUACCGCUGGUGGCGAGCGGUACUACUGCUCCUAGUGGUACUAUCGCCCUCCAGUGCGGUACUACCGCGGUGAGGUGCGGGCAGGGGGUUAUAUCGGGGGCAAGUGGAGUUUCUUCUCCCCCAUACCCAUUCGCUCGCCCCCUCGUCUGUUCCUCUCUCUCUUCAGCAACCGGCGCCGCGGGAGGGCUCCGGCGGAUCUCCCUCUCUGGGGCGCUCCUCUCCAUUUCCUUCGGUGGAGUCAAUCCCCACCUUGUCCUCUUGCCAUGGAUGACGGUAUUGCCCCCGUUCCCUGUUUCCUUUUGUCUAGAUUUCCAAUAUAGCGUCUUAGGGGCAAUAGCAGUUGCAUCUCUAGAUUUUUGGCCAGAUCUAGGCUUGAGUAGGAUGGAGAAUGCUUCUAGACAGUGUGGAUUAGUGUUUGGUUGGAGUAUUUUUGAAUUUGGUAGGACGGUAGUACUGGAUCUGACCAUGGCAGUUGGAACCGACUAUUUCCCCGCCUCGAGCGGUACUACCGCUCUCCCCAGAGCGGUACUACCGCUUGGAGCGGUACUACCGCUUGGAGUGGUACUACCGCUCAGAGGUCGCGGUACUACCGCCCUCUACCAAUUUCCACCAUAUUCCUACCUUUCAGUGAUCCUUUUUGCUCGUGUUUUGUGGCUUAUGCUCGUUCUUUCUGGUUGUUUGUGUGUUCUUGUGUGUGGUUCUAGGUGAUGAGGUCCCUAAGCAUCAGGCUCGUCGUGUCAACCUCGGUCGUGCCACGUCCAAGUGCUACCGCACCACCGAGCCUGUCGGAGGUUCUUCAAGUGCUCCACCUCCACCUCAACUCCAGAAGAAGCCUGGGGUCAAGCCAAAGCUAGGCAAAACCGUGCCAGAAAUGCCGCCCAAGGAGUUCUGGGCAAGGCGCCGCCGCAACCCAUAUGAGUUAGACCAAGAUCCCACUUUGGUCAACCGUCCGUUCUGGAACAGGUUCCAGUUUGCCAUCUUCUUUGAUCUUCUCAAAGCCAAGAAGAAUCUCUAUGUCAACGUACACUCCAUCGACACCGACCAUAUGGAGAAUGAUCCUGAAUACUUUGGUGAAGCUCUUCAGAUGUGCACUUGACUGAACAUUCUUGGGAUCAUGCAAUUCAACAAGGACUAUGAUGCUGAUAUUGUGGCCCAAUUCUAUGCCACGGUUCACCUUGGGACUGAUGAGGACAUGACACUGACUUGGAUGACCAAUGGCAAGUUGCUUUCAGUCAAGUGGAAAGCUUUCAUGGAGUUGAUUGGGGUGCAAGAUCUAGGUCUUGAGUCUUCUGUCGGCUUUCGCCCCACAGCCGCCCCAAUGCCACUCACAAGCAAGCUCUAUGGCCCUAUUGCACUUUGAAGAUCAACCAUGAGACGAAGAAGGAAACCUAUGAGCUGCCUGCCUAUCUGGAUAUCCUUCACCGUAUCUUCAGAGAGACUCUUUUCCCUCGUAUCGGGAAUCUGGACCAGGUUCACUCCUAUCUCGUGGACAUGCUUCUCUUCUGCCAGCGUGAGAAGGGACACCGGAGAGUCCUUGGAUAUCUCUCAUGUUAUGUGGUCUGAGCUGCUAUCUGCUAUCUCCGAGCGCAAGUGCCCGAUUUAUGGUCCAUUCAUCAUGCUGCUCAUUGAGAAGGCCUGGGAUCGUGUCUGUCCCCAGGUGUUACUGGAGACUGGAGAGUUGGUCUCUCAUGAUGUCAAGCGUCUAAGGAAGAAGGAUAACUGGGGCACUCAGGCCCCUUGGACUGGAGUUCCUUCAUUUGCUACUGCCAUGGAGACCGAGGAGGAGACUGGGGCUGAGGAUGAUGAUGAUGACUACGUGCCUUCUGAGGCAGAGCCCUCUUGGGCAAAGAAGCUCAAGCUCAAGAUGAAGAAGUUGUUCUGCAUGGAGUAUCACGGUCUCAUGUGACUGAGAAGAAGGCCCGAGGUCACCACAAGGAGCUCAUGCGUCAGUUGGGUGCUACAGUUAUCAGUGGGUCUGAGGACCAGCUUACCGAGGAGGAGGAGUGGAUUCAGCAGCACUGCCCAUGGACCGAUUCUGAUGCCCAGCACUUCCAGACUGAUGAUGGUGGCGCCGAUGAUCCCGUUGAGCUCUGAUGUGUGUGUCCCUUGUUUGCUCUCACCUGGAGCCGUAGCAUCACUCCCUCUCCUUUUUGGUGUCUCGAUGCCAAAGGGGGAGAGAGUUUAGGGAUUUGCGCUUUGUGUCUUCCGUCUCUUGUGUUCAUGUUUUCCUCGCUUUUGCUUUGUUUGGUUUGUCCGUGAGACCUAAGUUCGAGUCAUAUGGUGUGAGACAUAUGCUACCUUAUCUUUCCAGUUUCAUUAUCUAUGUCACUAUCUAGCUUAUGAGUUGCUUGCUUAUCCUGUUAAGUCAUCUAUGCUGCUCUCAUAUAUCUUGCUUAGAUUGUUGGUCUCUAAAAUGUAGGGGGAGCAUUGAUCCUAGUAUGUGUGCCGUGCAGUCCAAAGAACUUAUCUAGAUAGCACACAUCUAGGGGGAGCCCAUCUACAUUUAGGAUGGUGGGGUUUGUGCGCUUACUCUAUAUCAUGUUUGUGCAAAUCCCGUAUUGUCAUCAGUCCACCAAAAAGGGGGAGAUUGUAAGGGCAUAUUUAUCCCCAAGAUGUUUUGGUGAUUGAUGACAAUGCUUUUGCAGACUAAUCGUGUGCGUUAAGUUCUUUCAGAGAUUCAUCCAUUGGCACGAGACGAUUUCCUCCCCUUGGAGUGUCUUUCAAGACAGUGUAGCUCCUUCGUCUCUCUGUUGGUGGACUAGUUUCGUAGGAGUCACCGUACUAUCAAGAGGGGAUCCUCUUUGGUAAGGCUUGGGUGGAAUCAACACGUACACAUCCGUUUCACACCCAAUGUCUUCCUUCCCUCUUCAAUGGAGCAGUUCUUCCUUCCGUGUUCCUGCCCUGUCCUACCCCAGCGGUAGUACCGCAGUCCUCAGCGGUAGUACCGCAGAAGCUCUCUAGCGGUAGUACCACUCCUGGAGCGAUAGUACCGCUCCCCCGAGCAGUAGUACCGCUUGAGGACUUCGGCCGUAGUACCGCAGCUGGUCCGCACUAGUACCGCUUCGAUUCUCGACCGAUGUUUUUCGUGUUGGGUUUUGCGGUACUAGGAGCGGUAGUAGUGGCGGUAGUACCACUCCAAGCGGUAGUACCGCUCUUACUCCCGCGGUAGUAUCGCUCUGGCGCCAGGGCCCUGUCUUCCUCGUCAGCACGGUAGUACCGCUGGGUAGGAGUGGUAGUACCGCCCUCAGCAGUAGUACCGCCCUGCCCAAGCGGUAGUACCGCUCUGUGCGGGGCUGCUCAGUGGGGUAACGGUUGGAAUAGUUCCUCCACUAUAUAAAGGUGUCUUCUUCCUCCAAGUUGACCUACCUCUUUCCCCCAAAGCUCCAUUGUUGCUCCAAGCUCCAUUUUCACCCGAUCUCUCACCCUAGCCAAUCAAACUUGUUGAUUUGCUCGGGAUUGGUUGAGAAGGCCCAGAUCUACACUUCCACCAAGAGAAAUUUGAUUCCCCCCAGUUAUACCUAGCGGAUCUUGUUACUCUUGGGUGUUGAGCACCCUAGACGGUUGAGGUCACCUCGAAGCCAUACUCCAUUGUGGUGAAGCUUCGUGGUGUUGUUGGGAGCCUCCAAGUGUUGUGGAGAUAGCCCCAAUCUUGUUUGUAAAGAUUCGGUCGCCGCCUUCAAGGGCACCAAUAGUGGAAUCACGACAUCUCGCAUUGUGUGAGGGCGUGAGGAGAUUACGGUGGCCCUAGUGGCUUCUUGGGGAGCAUUGUGCCUCCACACCGCUCUAACGGAGACGUACUUCCCUUUAAAAGGAAGGAACUCCGGUAACACAUCCUCGUCUCCACCGGCUCCACUCUUGGUUAUUUCGUGCCUUUACUUUUGCAAGCUUACUUGUGUUGCAUCUAUUGCUUGCUUGUGUGCUAGGUGUCUUUGCAUCAUAUAGGUUGUUCACGUAGUUGCACAUCUAGACAACCUAUUUCGUUGCAAGUUUUAAAUUGUUAAAGAAAAGCCUAAAAAUUCUUAGUUGCCUAUUCACCCCCCUCUAGUCAACCAUAUCGAUCCUUUCACUGUUGCUAACUGAAGCCGAUUGAUUGGAUGAACAGUGAGUGUUGUGGAGGGGGGGGGGGUUGGAUGAACUGUGAGCGGUGGGGGUGGAUGCAGGACCCCGAGGCGUUGCCUCUGGAUGAACAGGACAACCCCGUGGAGGGCUGGAUGAACAGUAGAUAAUGAAGGGGUGCCCAUCGAGGGGUGGUUGAACAGUAGCCGGUGGAGUAGUGCACGGUUGAGGCUGGAUGAACAGGAGCCUGUGGAGGCUAGAGGAGGUCGAUGGUAGCCCGUGGAGGCUGGAGGAGGUUGACGGUGGAGAUGAACAGUAUCCCGUGGAGUCCUGUUUUGUGGUACGCCACACCCCUCCCGAUGAACAGGACCCCCAUUUCGACCGUCGUGCUCAAACACAAGUCCGUUUAGUCCAUUUUGCGGUACGCCACACCCCUCCCGAUCAACAGGACCCCCGUUUCGACCUUAGGGGGUCCAUUUCCUCCGUUUUGCGAUACGCCAGACCCCUCCCGAUGAACAGGAUCCCGUUUCGAACGUGGCCGAUCGAACACAUGGCCGUUUCCUCCGUUCUGCGGUAUGCCAGGCCUCGUUUCCAUCGCCUGUUCCGUCCAAGCCCUCCCGAUGAACACGACGACGCAUUCUGUUCCGACCUAGCCGGUUGGCUCCCCAUGAACACGACGACGACGCUGUUUCUCCGUUCCGACCCAGCCAUAUACACGAGCCCUGGCCGUACGUAUGCGCGAGUAGGCGUUUGAGACCCCGCCCGUAUGUACGUAUGUGGCCGUAUUUUCUUUCUUGCACCCUGGCCGUUGUACGUAUGUGUACAUGCUACAUGCGCACCUCUACUACGACAUGUGCGCGCCUCUACUAUGACACGUGCGCGCCUCUACAUCCACUAGUAUGUACAAACAUGUUGGCGACCAGAAUGACAACGCUAUGUAUGCUUCGACCAAGUGGGUCCCGACUGUCAGGCACUUCCUUGCCUGCAAAGAUGUAGCUGGUGGGUCCCAGCAGUCAGGGGGGUGAAUCAUUUUUUUGCCCGGACGCACUUCCUUGCGUGCGAAGAUGUAGCUGGUGGGUCCCAGCAGUCAGGGGGAACGUUUUUUUCGUGAAAUACGGUGGCCCGUCCGGUGGGUCCCCGCUGUCAGGCGGAGGAAUAAUUAUUUUGCUCAUAAUAAGGAGGCACUUCCUUGCUGCGGCCGUGGACCCAGCUGUCAACCUCUCCACGUACAGUCCAUGUCCGAUGGAAGCCGUUCCUUGACCAUGUUGACCACGCCGCGCCGAGAGAACCAGGGCGGUGGACGAUGGCGAGGCCUAGGAUGGGGACGACACGGAGCCAGGGAAGACGCGGUAGUGGAAGCCCACGCGUAGAGGAGUACGAGGGUUCACUGGUUCGCUGUGGUGUAAGGCUGUCGUCGCCGCAGAAUAACAGGGGAUGUGGGUGGGUAGAGGGAUGGCCUGGCCAGCGGUGGGAGUAGUAGGGGCGGUGAGGCCUCCGCCGCAUCGCAGCCGGCCACGGGAGGCAGGAGCAUGAGGCACGACCGGCACUGGUUUGGGCGGCUGGAGCAAGAAGACCAGAGGUUGAAGAAGCACUACGACCGUUGGAUGGACAUCGUACGGUCACUGGAGCUAGAAUCGUGCAUAUUGACUAAGUUGACAAAGCCCUCCGUCCCCGUCAACUUAGUAGGCCCACAAGUCAGCCUGCCACUAUACUGGGUCCCAGCUAACAGGGGGAGUAUUCAUUUUUUUUGUGCGUAAUAAGGAGGCACUUCCUUGCGUGCGAAGAUAUAGCUGGUGCUUCCGAGCUGUCAGCGGCGGUAAUAUUUUUUUCGCGAAAUACAGAGGCCCUUUCAGUGGGUCCCUGAUGUCAGGUGGAGGAAUCAUUAUUUUGCGCGUAAUAAGGAGGCAUUUCCUUGCGUGCGGCUGUGGACCCAGCUGUCGGCCUCUCCAUGUACAGUCUACUUUAGAUGCAUGUUGGUCGUUGACAAUGUUGACCAGGCCAUGCUAAGAGCACCAGGGCGGUGGACGACGGCGAGGCCUAGAAAGGGAACAACACAGAGGCAGGGAAGACUCGGCAGUUGUUUCCCACGCGGAGGGGAAUAUGACUGUACGAGGGUUUACUGGUUCGUCUGCCGUCGCCGGAGAAUAACAGCAGGUGUGGGUAAGUAGAGGGAUGGCUAGGCCAACGAUGGGAGUACGGUGGGGCGGUGAGUCCUGCGCGGCAGCAUGAUACGUCUCCAACGUAUCUAUAAUUUUUGAUUGUUCCAUGCUAUUAUAUUACCCCUUUUGGAUGUUUAUGGGCUUUAUGUUACACAUUUGUAUCAUUUUUGGGACUAACCUACUAACCGGAGGCCCAGCCCGUAUUGUUUUUUUGCCUAUUUCAGUAUUUCGAAGAAAAGGAAUAUCAAACGGAGUCCAAACAGAAUGAAACCUUCGGGAGAGUGAUUUUUGGAACGAACGUGAUCCAGAGGACUUGGAGUGCAAGUCAAGAAGCAGCCGAGGCGGCCACGAGAGGGUAGGGCGCGCCCCCCUGUCUCGUGGGCCCCUCGUGCGGCCACUGACGUACUUCUUCUUCCUAUAUAAGCCUACGUACCCCGAAAACAUCCAGGGAGCCAACGAAAUACAAUUUCCACCGCCGUAACCUUCUGUAUCCGCGAGAUCCCAUCUUGGAGCCUUCGCCGGUGCUCCGUCGGAGGGGGAAUCGACCAUGGAGGGCUUCUACAUCAACACCAUAGCCCCUCCGAUGAGUUGUGAGUAGUUUACCACAGACCUUCGGGUCCAUAGUUUUUAGCUAGACGGCUUCUUCUCUCUUUUUGAUUCUCAAUACAAUGUUCUCCCCCUCUCUCGUGGAGAUCUAUUCGAUGUAAACUCUUUUUGCGGUGUGUUUGUCGAGAUCCUAUGAAUUGUGAGUUUAUGAUCAAGUUUAUCUAUGAGAAAUAUUUGAAUCUCCUCUGAAUUCUUUUAUGUAUGAUUGAGUUAUCUUUGCAAGUCUCUUCGAAUUAUCAGUUUGGUUUGGCUUACUAGAUUGAUCUUUCUUGCCAUGGGAGAAGUGCUUAGCUUUGUGUUCAAUAUUGCGGUGUCCUUACCCACUGACAGAAAGGGUUACAAGGCACGUAUUGUAUUGUUGCCAUCGGGGAUAACAAGAUGGGGUUUAUAUCAUAAUGCUUGAGUUUAUCCCUCUACAUCAUGUCAUCUUGCUUAAUGCGUUAUUCUGUUCUUAUGAACUUAAUACUCUAGAUGCAGGCAGGAGUCGGUCGAUGUGUGGAGUAAUAGUAGUAGAUGCAGGCAGCAGUCGGUCUACUUGUCACGAACGUGAUGCCUAUAUACAUGAUCAUGCCUAGAUAAUCUCAUAAUUAUUCGCUUUUCUAUCAAUUGCUCGACAGUAAUUUGUUCACCCACCGUAAUACUUAUGCUAUCUUGAGAGAAGCCUCUAGUGAAACCUAUGGCCCCCGGGUCUAUCUUUUAUCAUAUUUGCUUUCAAUCUACUUUUAUUUGCAUCUUUACUUUUUGCAUCUAUAUUAUAAAAUACCAAAAAUAUAUUUAUCUUAUCAUACUAUCUCUAUUAGAUCUCACUUUCGCAAGUGGCCGUGAAGGGAUUGACAACCCCUUUAUUGCGUUGGUUGCGAGUUCUUUGUUUGUUUGUGCAGGUGCGUGGGACUUUUGAGGAUCCUCCUACUGGAUUGAUACCUUGGUUCUCAACAAUUGAGGGAAAUACUUAUGCUACUAUUGCUGCAUCACCCUUUCCUCUUCAAGGAAAACCAACGCAAGCUCAAGAUGUAGCAAGAAGGAUUUCUGGCGCCGUUGCCGGGGAGGCUUCCACCAAGUCAAGUCAAGAUUCGACCUCCCGCCAACGUGCGAUUUCUGGCGCCGUUGCCGGGGAGGUCUUCGCUCAAGUUAAGACAUACCAAGUACCCAUCACAAACUCAUCUCCCUCACAUUUACAUUAUUUGCCAUUUGCCUCUCGUUUUCCUCUCCCCCACUUCACCCUUGUCGUUUUAUUCGCCCUCUCUUUCCCAAUCUCUUCUCUCUUUUGCUUACCCUUUCGUUUGCUCGUUUGGUUGGAUUAGAUGAUUAUAUAUUGCUAAACAGAACCUAAGAUCUAUGGAUCAUCAUCCGCUUGCUAAUCUUUUUAAGAGAUCCAAUUAUGAUGAACCAAUUGCUAGUGAGUUUUGUGCACUAGAUUAUCUUUAUAAAGCUUUGCUUGAAAUUUGUGAAUCUGAAAAUUAUGAUGAAGAAAUUUAUGAAGAGAUUCACGAUAAGUCUAUGAAUAAAAAGCAUGAUUGCAAUGAUUUUACUAUAAAUUCUCUUGAUGUCAAUUGUGCUAAUAAUAUGCAAAACCCUAAGCUUGGGGAUGCUAGUUUUUCUAUGUCUACUACUUGUUGCAAUAAUCAUGAUUGGGGUGAUUCUUUUUAUGAUCUUGAGAAUUUAUUUAAGCCCCAUGAUGAAUAUGAGAUUGAUAAUAGUGUUUGCAAUAUUAUUAAAAGUGGGUUUAGAAGAGUGUCAACUUUAGAUCCCACAUAUUUGGAUAAUGUUCAAUCUUAUGAAGUUUUUGAGAAAAGUGGGUUUGGAGAGGUCAUGACUUUAGUUAAUGAUAAUCCCACUAUUUUGGAAGAGUGUCAACUUUGCAUGCAUGUGGAUCGUGUUGAGAAUAUGUUAUGUGAUAGCUAUUUUGUUGAAUUUUCCUAUGAUCCUACAUGUAAUUAUUAUGAGAGAGAGAAAUAUGGUUGUAGAAAUUUUUAUCUUAUUAAAUUACCUCUCGUCAUGCUGAGAUUGCUAUCGUCUCUUUCUUCUUCCUUUCAUAUGCUAGCUUUUGCUUGCCUUGAAAAAUUGUUUGCUUAUAAUAUGCCUAUAAAUAGGAAGUAUGUUAGACUUAGAUGUGUUUUGUCACAUGUUUCAUGAUGCUUUCUUUGCACUUCAAUUCUUGUCUUUCAUGUGAGCAUCAUUCAAAUUAUCAAUGCCUAGCUAAAAGGCUUUAAAGAAAAGCGCUUGUUGGGAGACAACCCAAUAUUUUUUCUUGCUGUUAUUUAAUAAAUUUUUUCAUCUACCUUCUGUUUAGAUGUGUUUUUAUCUUUUAAUUAGUGUUUGUGCCAAGUAGAACCUAUAGGAUAACCUAUGAUGAUAGUUGAUUUGAUUCUGCUGAAAAACAAAAACUUUGUGCGCACGAAUUUAGUUUUGUUAAAUCACAGAAACGUUCUUUUGCGUUGAUUAUUUUCGAUGCUGAUCAAUAGAUAAAUUUUCCAGGACAUAUUAUUUUGGUAGGAUUUAUAAAGUUCCAGAAGUUUGCGUUAGUUACAGAUUGCUACAGACUGUUCUGUUUUUGACAUAAUCUGUUUUUCGUGUGUUAUUUGGUUAUUUUGAUGCAUCUAUGGAUAGUAAAAUAGUUUAUAAACCAUAGAGAAGUUCUAAUACAGUAGGUUUAACACCAAAAUAAAUAAAUAAUGAGUUCAUUACAGUAGCUUAUGUGGUGGUUUUGUUUUCUUUCACUAACGGAGCUUAUAAGAUUUCCUGUUGAGUUUUGUGUUGUGAAGUUUUCAAGUUUUGGGUAAAGCUUUUAUGGACUAUGGAAUAAGGUGUGACAAGAUCCUAAGAUUGGGGAUGCCCAUGGAACCCCAAGAUAUUCAAGGAUAGCCAAAAGCCUAAGCUUGGGGAUGCCCCGGGAAGGCAUCCCCUCUUUCGUCUUUGUUCAUUGGUAACUUUACUUGGAGCUAUAUUUUUAUUCGCCACAUGAUAUGUGUUUCGCUUGGAGUGUCGUGUAUUAUAUUAGUCUUUUCUUUUUAGUUUACCACAAUCAUCCUUGCUGUACACACCUUUUGGGAGAAGCCUACUUUUUUAGAAUUUGCUAGAAUACUCUAUGUGCUUCUCUUAUAUCUUUUGAGAUUGAUAGUUUUUGCUCUAGUGCUUCACUUAUAUCUUUCAGAGCACGACGGUGGCUUAAUUUUGAAGAAAUUGCUAGUCUCUCAUGCUUCACUUAUAUAUUUUUGAGAGUAUUUUAGAACAGCAUGGUAUUUGCUAUGGUUGCAAAGUUGGUCCUAGAAUGAUGAGCAUCCAAUUUGGGUAUAAUAAAAACUAUCAUAGAAAGUGAAUUGGAUGCUAUGAUCAAUUUGAUGCUUGAUAAUUGUUUGAGAUAUGGAGGUAGUGAUAUUAGAGUCAUGCUAGUUGAGGUGAUUAUGAAAAAUACUUGUGUUAAGGUUUGUGAUUCCCGUAGCAUGUACGUAUGGCGAACCGCUUUCUGAUGAAGUUGGAGCACAAUUUUAUUUAUUGAUUGUCUUCCUUAUGAGUGGCGGUCGGGGACGAGCGAUGGUCUUUUCCUACCAAUCUAUCCCCUAGGAGCAUGCGCGUAGUACUUUGUUUUUGAUGACUUCUAGAUUUUUGCAACAAAUAUAUGAGUUCUUUUGACUAAUGUUGAGUCCAUGGAUUAUACGCACCCUCACCUUUCCACCAUUGCUAGCCUCUCUUGUGCUACGCAACUUUCGCUGGUACCAUACACCCACCAUAUACCUUCCUCAAAACAGCCACCAUACCUACCUAUUAUGGCAUUUCCAUAGCCAUUCCGAGAUAUAUUGCCAUGCAACUUUCCACCAUCCCGUUCAUAUGACACGCAUUACUUUUGUCAUAUUGCUUUUUGCAUGAUCAUGUGGUUGACAUCGUAUUUGUGGCAAGGCCACUUUCAUAAUUUUCAUACAUGUCACUCUUGAUUCAUUGCAUAUCCCGGUACACCGCCGGAGGCAUUCAUAUAGAGUCAUAUCUUGUUCUAGCUUUGAGUUGUAAUUCUUGAGUUGUAAAUCCAUAAAAGUGUGAUGAUCUUCAUUAUUAGAGCAUUGUCCUAGUGAGGAAAGGAUGAUGAAGACUUUCCCCCACAAGUCAGGAUGAGACUUCGUACUUUACAAAAAAAGAGAAAGGCCAAAAAAAAGGAAAGGCCAAAAAAAAGAAAAAAAAAGAAAAAAAAGAAAAGAAAAAUAAAUAAAAAUAAAAUGAGAGAAAAAUAGAGAAGGGACAAUGCUACUAUCUCCUUUUCCACACUUGUGCUUCAAAGUAGCACCAUGAUCUUCAUGAUAGAGAGUCUCCUAAGUUGUCACUUUCAUAUACUAGUGCGAAUUUUUCAUUAUAGAACUUGGCUUGUAUAUUCCAAUGAUGGGCUUCGUCAAAAUGCCCUAGGUCUUCGUGAGCAAGCAAGUUGGAUGCACACCCACUUAGUUUCUUUUGUUGAGCUUUCAUAUAUUUAUAGCUCUGGUGCAUCCAUUGCAUGGCAAUCCCUACUCACUCACAUUGAUAUCUAUUAAUGGACAUCUUCAUAGCCUGUUGUAUGCCUAGUUGAUGUGAGACUAUCUUCUCCUUUUUUGUCUUCUCCACAACCACCAUUCUAUUCCACAUAUAGUGCUAUGUCCAUGGCUCACGCUCAUGUAUUGCAUGAAAGUUGAAAAAGUUUGAGAUUAUUUAAGUAUGAAACAAUUUCUUGGCUUGUCAUCGGGGUUGUGCAUGAUUAAAUACUUUGUGUGAUGAAGAUAGAGCAACAGCCAGACUAUAUGAUUUUGUAGGGAUAACUUUCUUUGGCCAUGUUAUUUUGAGAAGACAUGAUUCCUUUGAUUAGUAUGCUUGAAGUAUCACUAUUUCUUAUGUCAAUAUGAACUUUUAUUUUGAAUCAUUUGGAUCUGAACAUUCAUGCCACAAUAAAGAAAAUUACAUUGAGAAUUAUGCUAGGUAGCAUUCCACAUCAAAAAUUCUGUUUUAUCAUUUACCUACUCGAGGACGAGAAGGAAUUAAGCUUGGGGAUGCUUGAUACGUCUCCAACGUAUCUAAAUUUUUUGAUUGUUCCAUGCUAUUAUAUUAUCCCUUUUGUAUGUUUAUGGGCUUUAUUUUACAAAUUUAUAUCAUUUUUGGGACUAACCUACUAACUGAAAGCCCAGCCCGUAUUGCUGUUUUUUUGCCUAUUUCAGUAUUUCGAAGAAAAGGAAUAUCAAACGGAGUCCAAACGGAAUGAAACCUUCGGGAGAGUGAUUUUUGGAAUGAACGUGAUCCAGAGGACUUGGAGUGCAAGUCAAGAAGCAGCCGAGGCGGCCACGAGAGGGUAGGGCGCGCCCCUGUCUCGUGGGCCCCUCGGGCAGCCACCGACGUACUUCUUCGUCCUAUAUAAGCCUACGUACCCCGAAAACAUCCAGGGAGCCAACGAAACACAAUUUCCACCGCCGUAACCUUCUGUAUCCGCGAGAUCCCAUCUUGGAGCCUUCGUCGGUGCUCCGUCGGAGGGGGAAUCGACCAUGGAGGGCUUCUACAUCAACACCAUAGCCCCUCCGAUGAGUUGUGAGUAGUUUACCACAGACCUUUGGGUCCAUAGUUUUUAGCUAGACGGCUUCUUCUCUCUUUUUGAUUCUCAAUACAAUGUUCUCCCCCUCUCUCGUGGAGAUCUAUUCGAUGUAAACUCUUUUUGCGGUGUGUUUGUCGAGAUCCUAUGAAUUGUGAGUUUAUGAUCAAGUUUAUCUAUGAGAAAUAUUUGAAUCUCCUCUGAAUUCUUUUAUGUAUGAUUGAGUUAUCUUUGCAAGUCUCUUCGAAUUAUCAGUUUGGUUUGGCUUACUAGAUUGAUCUUUCUUGCCAUGGGAGAAGUGCUUAGCUUUGGGUUCAAUAUUGCGGUGUCCUUACCCACUGACAGAAAGGGUUACAAGGCACGUAUUGUAUUGUUGCCAUCGGGGAUAACAAGAUGGGGUUUAUAUCAUAUUGCUUGAGUUUAUCCCUCUACAUCAUGUCAUCUUGCUUAAUGCGUUACUCUGUUCUUAUGAACUUAAUACUCUAGAUGCAGGCAGGAGUCGAUCGAUGUGUGGAGUAAUAGUAGUAGAUGCAGGCAGGAGUCGGUCUACUUGUCACGGACGUGAUGCCUAUAUACAUGAUCAUGCCUAGAUAAUCUCAUAAUUAUUCAUUUUUCUAUCAAUUGCUCGACAGUAAUUUGUUCACCCACCGUAAUACUUAUGCUAUCUUGAGAGAAGCCUCUAGUGAAACCUAUGGCCCUCGGGUCUAUCUUUUAUCAUAUUUGCUUUCAAUCUACUUUUAUUUGCAUCUUUACUUUUUGCAUCUAUAUUAUAAAAUACCAAAAAUAUAUUUAUCUUAUCAUACUAUCUCUAUUAGAUCUCACUUUCGCAAGUGGCCGUGAAGGGAUUGACAACCCCUUUAUUAUGUUGGUUGCGAGUUCUUUGUUUGUUUGUGUAGGUGCGUGGGACUUAUGAGGAGCUUCCUACUGGAUUGAUACCUUGGUUCUCAAAAAUUGAGGGAAAUACUUACGCUACUAUUGCUGCAUCACCCUUUCCUCUUCGAGGAAAACCAACACAAGCUCAAGAUGUAGCACAACACAGCCAGCCGCGGGGAGGAGGGGGCAGGCAGUCUCGCAGGCGCUUGUUUGAGUGGCUGGAGCAGGAAGAGCAGAGAUUGAAGAAGCACGACGGCUGUUGGAUGGACAUCCAACAGUCACUGCUUGUGCGUCAACCUUUUUUUAGGAAAGCCUCAAAUAUGUGGAAAACAGCAUACAACCCAUCUGCCAUUAUUUCUAAUAAUUUACAACUCAUUUGCUAAUUCUUAAGGUUUUUCUUGGAACCCAUAUUCAUUUUGUUAGCAUUACAACCCAUAUUGUGGCCAUUGUUAAAAUAUUAUACGAAAUUUUGCAUUUUUCGUUGCGGUCCGAACUGUUUUUAAUCCCGAAAUUUCGACUCACAUUCAAACUGAUUUUAAAAAUAAAUGUAUAUCAAUAUAAAACCCAACAAAUUCUCCACGCAUAAAAAUUAAUGUAAUUUAAAAUCUCGAAAUGAAAAAAAGAUAUUUGAAACUAAUUGCCGGUUUGAUGUGUUUUAAAAGUGUACAACCCAUUUCUCAUUACUGAUGGGCCAUUUUCUCGGCCAGCCUAAUGGAAGCUCUCUUUGUCUUGAAAGAUUUGCAGCCCAACAGGCCUGACAAAGCGACUUACUUGGCAAAUCACAAAAAACUGGGAUGUGGCCAUGGACCCAGCUGUCAGCCUCUCCAUCUACAAUACUCUCCCGAUGGAAUGUCAUUGACCACAUUGACCACGCCGCGCCGAGACCACAAGGCGGUGGACGAGGCGAGGCCUAGGAAGGGGACGACGCGAAGCCGGGGAAGACGCGGCAGUGGAUGCCCACACGGAGAGGAGUACGAGGGUUCACUGGUUCGGCUGCGGUGUGAGGCUGCCAUCGCCGCAGGGCCUGGCUAGCGGUGGGAGUAGUAGGGGCGAUGAGGCCUCAACGACAGCACAACCGGCCACUGGACGCAGGAGUAGGCGGUCUCGCAGGCGCUGGUUUGGGCGGCUGGUGCAAGAAGAGGAGCGAUUGAAGAAGCAGCAGCAUGACUGUUCGAUUCAAAUCCAACGGUUAAUGCUGCUAGAAUCGUUUGUUGACUAAGUUGACAAGCCCUACGUACGCGUCAAGUUAGUAGGCCCACAGGUCAGCCUCCCAACCGGUGCACCCCAGAUGUCAGUGGGAGGAAUCAUUUUUUUCACGCAAUAAGGAGGCAGUUGAUUGCGUGCGGCCAGGCCAGCAGAGGGAGUAGGGUGGGCCGGGGAAGCCUGCGCGGCAUCAUAGCGGGCCACAAGAAGAGGGAGCAGGCAGUCCCGCCGGUGCUAGUUUAGGCGGCUGGAGCUGGAAGAUCAGAGAUUGAAAAAGCACGUCGGCCGUAUGAUGGACUUCCAACAGUCACUGCUGCUAGAAUCGUGUGUUCACUGACAAAGCCUUGCGUAAACAAGUCAGCCUCAAAAUCUGUGGCGUGUACAACCCAUUUGCUAUUAUUUUUAUAACUUUUACUCAUUUUCUAAUUCAUAUGGAGUUUAUUGCAGCCCGUUUUCCGUUUUUAGAAUUGCUGGCCAUUUUGUGGUCAGUACUAGGGUCAAAAAUUAACUAAAUAUGUGGGAAAUUUUGAAAAUUCGCAAAUUUUUGCCGGGGAACGAAAUAUUCUUAAUCCAAAAAUUACUAGCCAUACUAAAACAAAUUUAAAAAUAAAUUAGUACUAUGUCAUGUUAAAUCCAAUGAAAUACGUAUAAGAUAUCAGUGGAGAACAAAAACAAAAAAGAAACUAAUAUCCCAUUUGCUAUAAUUUUUUUUUGGAAUUUUCACCCCCUUUUGAUAUUACUUUUAACAUACACUGACCAUACUCUUUGGCCAGGCCGGAAUGCAUCCCUCCUCAUCUUGAAAGAUUUGCAGCCCAGUAAUUUAGAGAAAACAAAUAGGCCUAGCUUGGGUAUUCUUAAAAAAAAUACUGGGCUACCUAUUUUCACAAAGAACUGGUGCAUGAUCAUUUAGCUUUAUUUAUUUAUUUACUUAUUUAAGUUUAGGGGACCAUGAGCAUGUACCUGGGCCGGAUUCAUGUGAGAGCCUCCCUUCUAGUUAAUUAUGGGCUUCUCUAUUGGGCCUUCAUCAAUGGGCUGCAUGUUAUCAACAAGUGGAAAAUGUGUUCCGUAUGAAAAUAGUAUGCGCUACAUACGGUACGGGGCACUAAAGGAUCGAACCAUGCAACGACUUCCAAAACAUUGUGUUUGUCGUUCUAACAACACAUUUAUUCAACCAACAGACGAAAUAUACUACUGAUUGUACAUUGAAAACAGCAGCAACAGCAACCAGGGCUGGGGGUGCAACAGAAGCAGUAAGCAGUCCAGAAGAGUGAAGACGCAGCUCUCUCUUCCAAACCAAACAUCAGCCAUCAUUACAAAAGGGCUACCAAAAAAGAACAAGUGUAUGCAUCAAACUAAAUAAAGAUCCUACUACACCAAGUGUACGCAUCUAACUAACUGGCUUAGUUAGACAUUACUAUUUAUUAAGCUGUGGAGAUUGGCUGACGGCUUGAACCAGAUGGGUGCUUGACGGGGGAAACUCCAGCCAGCAGGUCGAAGUCUGAUACUUGCGACCCUCUCUCCUACUUUGGGCUGCAGAGCAUGGCAGCACAUAUCAGGGUAUGGUGCAUGUAGAGACGCAUGGUACGCUGUGUACACACAGUUUUGCCUGAUGAACAAAAUCGCGCUGCCAUCAUGAUCCUUGCCGUCGGUUAUCUCCUGGUUAAUCGGAUAAUUCAGUCCGACAAACAGAGAGCGUGUACCAAGGCUACUUACCAGCCUCCAGUCAAAAAUUCCUGAAGGCCCAGAGAAGCUGGUAUCCUGCUCAAAGACCUUGCAGUGACUGUGAUUGUAUUCCGUGAAACAACACGUCCAGUACGUGUGAACGAUCAUCAAUCGUUCGCCAUCGUCUGAUCGAGCCAGGAACCACCUGCAACUGCCAUGCCACUUUUCUUUGAAAGGUUUUGGGAUUAGGAAGGGUAGGGACACCCGGCGGCCUACAACAUCAUAUCAAGUUCGAGUCAAAUAAAAAAGGGCUCUUGAUUUAGUCAAUCUUAAGAAUAGCAUGUUAUGAGCAUGAAUAUUUUUUCAGUAAAUGUUGACAGUAAUAUAAGCAAGCCAUCAUGAUAUCAUAUGAAAGUAACAUACUGCUGUAACAGCCGUUUGUAGCGAUGACUGGAGUAGGCCAGCAAUACAUCCAGCCAUAGAAGGAGUCGACAGCGUAAAUGAAGCCCUUGUGUUCAAUGGCAUUGAUACGUCUCCAACGUAUCUAUAAUUUUUGAUUGUUCCAUGCUAUUAUAUUACCCCUUUUGGAUGUUUAUGGGCUUUAUUUUACACAUUUAUAUCAUUUUUGGGACUAACCUACUAACCGGAGGCCCAGCCCGUAUUGCUGCUUUUUUGCCUAUUUCAGUAUUUCGAAGAAAAGGAAUAUCAAACAGAGUCCAAACGGAAUGAAACCUUCGGGAGCGUGAUUUUUGGAACGAACGUGAUCUAGAGGACUUGGACUGUAAGUCAAGAAGCACUCGAGGCGGCCACGAGAGGGUAGGGUGCGCCCACCCCUACAGGGCGCGCCCCCCUGUCUCGUGGGCCCCUCAGGCUGCCACCGACGUACUUCUUCCUCCUAUAUAAGCCUACGUACCCUGAAAACAUCCAGGGAGCCAACGAAACACAAUUUCCACCGCCGUAACCUUCUGUAUCCGCGAGAUCCCAUCUUGGAGCCUUCGCCGGUGCUCCGCCGGAGGGGGAAUCGACCAUGGAGGGCUUCUACAUCAACACCAUAGCCCCUCUGAUGAGUUGUGAGUAGUUUACUACAGACCUUCGGGUCCAUAGUUAUUAGCUAGAUGGCUUGUUCUCUCUUUUUGGAUCUCAAUACAAUGUCCCCCCCUCUCUUGUGGAGAUCUAUUCGAUGUAAACUCUUUUUGUAGUGUGUUUGUCGAGAUUCAAUGAAUUGUGAGUUUAUGAUCAAGUUUAUCUAUGAGAAAUAUUUGAAUCUCCUUUGAAUUCUUUUAUGUAUGAUUGAGUUAUCUUUGCAAGUCUCCUCGAAUUAUCAGUUUGGUUUGGCCUACUAGAUUGAUCUUUCUUGCCAUGGGAGAAGUGCUUAGCUUUGGGUUCAAUCUUGCGGUGUCCUUACCCAGUGACAGAAAGGGUUGCAAGGCACGUAUUGUAUUGUUGCCAACGAGGAUAAAAAGAUGGGGUUUAUAUCAUACUGCAUGAGUUUAUUCCUCUACAUCAUGUCAUCUUGCUUAAUACGUUACUCUGUUCUUUAUGAACUUAAUACUCUAGAUGCAGGCGGGAGUCGGUCAAUGUGUGGAGUAAUAGUAGUAGAUGCAGGCAGGAGUCGGUCUACUUGUUGCGGACGUGAUGCCUAUAUACAUGAUCAUGCCUAGAUAAUCUCAUAAUUAUUCACUUUUCUUUCAAUUGCUCGACAGUAGUUUGUUCACCCAUCGGAAUACUUAUGCUAUCUUGAGAGAAGCCUCUAGUGAAACCUAUGGCCCCCAGGUCUAUCUCUUAUCAUAUUUGCUUUUAAUCUACUUUUAUUUGCAUCUUUACUUUUUGCAUCUAUAUUAUAAAAUACCAAAAAUAUAUUUAUCAUACAAUCUCUAUUAGAUCUCACUUUCGCAAGUGGCCGUGAAGGGAUUGACAACUCCUUUAUUGCAUUGGUUGCGAGUUGUUUGUUUGUUUGUGUAGGUGUGUGGGACUUUUGAGGAGCCUCCUACUGGAUUGAUACCUUGGUUCUCAAAAACUGAGGGAAAUACUUACGCUACUAUUGCUGCAUUACCCUUUCCUCUUCAAGGAAAACCAACGCAAGCUCAAGAUGUAGCAAGAAGGAUUUCUGGCACCGUUGCUGGGGAGGCUUCCACCAAGUCAAGUCAAGAUUUGACCUCCCGCCAACGUGCGAUUUCUGGCGCCGUUGCCGGGGAGGUCUUCGCUCAAGUCAAGACAUACCAAGUACCCAUCACAAACCCAUCUCCCUCGCAUUUACAUUAUUUUCCAUUUGCCUCUCGUUUUCCUCUCCCUCACUUCACCCUUGCCGUUUUAUUCGCCCUCUCUUUCCCAAUCUCCUCCUCUCUUUUUUGCUUUCCCUUUUUCUGUUUGCUUGUGUGUUGGAUUACUUGUUGCCAUGGCGCAAGAUAAUACCAAAUUGUGUGAUUUCUCGAAUACCAAUAAUAAUGAUUUCCUUAGUACUCCGAUUGCUCCUCUUAAUGAUGUUGAGCCUUGUGAAAUCAAUACUGCUUUGCUGAAUCUUGUUAUGAAAGAUCAAUUCGCCGGCCUUCCUAGUGAAGAUGCUGCUACUCAUCUAAACAACUUUGUUGAUUUGUGUGAUAUGCAAAAGAAGAAAGAUACGGAUAACAAUAUUGUUAAAUUGAAGUUAUUUCCGUUUUCACUUAGAGAUCGUGCUAAAGUUUGGUUUUCGUCUUUGCCUAAAAAUAGUAUUGAUUCUUGGAACAAGUGCAAAGAUGCUUUUAUCUCUAAGUAUUUUCGUCCUGCUAAGAUUAUCACUCUUAGGAACGAUAUUAUGAAUUUUAAACAACUUGAUCAUGAGCAUGUUGCCCAAUCUUGGGAAAGAAUGAAACUGAUGAUUUGCAAUUGCCCUACUCAUGGUUUGAAUUUAUGGAUGAUCAUACAAAAAUUUUAUGCCGGUUUGAACUUUGCUUCUAGAAAUCUCUUAGAUUCGGCCGCGGGAGGCACAUUUAUGGAAAUCACGUUAGGAGAUGCUACAAAACUUCUUGAUAAUAUUAUGGCAAAUUAUUCUCAUUGGCACACCGAAAGAUCUUCUAGUAAAAAAGUGCAUGCUAUAGAAGAAAUCAAUGUUUUGAGUGGAAAGAUGGAUGAACUUAUGAAAUUGUUUGCUACUAAGAAUACUCCUCUUGAUCCCAAUGAUAUGCCUUUGUCUUCUUUGAUUGAGAAUAAUAAUGAAUCUAUGGAUGUGAAUUUUGUUGGUAGGCAUAGUUUCGGAAACAAUGCUUAUAGAGGAAACUUUAAUGCUAGACCAUUCCCUAGUAAUUCCUCUAAUAAUUAUGGAAAUUCCUACAGUAAUUCUUAUGGUAAUUUUAAUAAGAUGCCCUCUGAUUUUGAGAAUAGUGUGAAAGAAUUUGUGAUUUUUCAAAAGAAUUUUAAUGCUUUGCUUGAAGAAAAAUUGCUCAAAGUUGAUGAUUUGGCUAGGAACGUUGAUAGACUUUCGCUUGAUGUUGAUUCUCUUAAAAUUAGAUCUUCUUCUCCUAAGCAUGAUAUCAAUGAGUCCCUCAAAGCAAUGAGAAUUUCCAUUGAUGAGUGCAAGGAAAGAACCGCUAGAUUGCGUGCUAAGAAAGAUAGCUUUAUAAAGGCGUGUUCUUCUAGUUUCCAUGAAAAUAAUGAUGAAGAUCUUAAAGUUAUUGAUGCGUCUCCUAUUGGAUCUUUGUUUUGCAAUAUGAAUCUUGAUAAUUAUGGGACUUAAGAUGAGUCAACUUUACCUAGAAUGCGUCCCAAGAAUUCAGAGUUUUUAGAUUUUGAUGCUAAAUUUGGUAAAAGUGGGAUUGGAGAGGUCAUGACUUUAAAUAGUAUUGAACCCACUAUCUCAGAUUUCAAGGAAUUUGAUUAUGAUAAUUGUUCUUUAGACGGUUGUAUUUCCUUGUUGCAAUCCGUUGUUAAUUCUCUCAUGCUUAUAGUCAAAAUAAAGCUUUUACCAAACAUAUCGUUGAUGCCUUGAUGCAAUCUUAUGAUGAAAAACUUAAUUUGGAAGUUUCUAUACCUAGAAAACUUAAUGAUGAGUGGGAACCAACUAUAAAGAUUAGAAUUAAAGAUCAUGAUUGUUUUGCUUUGUGUGAUUUGGGUGCUAGUGUUUCCACGAUUCCGAAAACUUUAUGUGAUAUUCUAGGUUUCCAUGAUCUUGAUGAUUGCUCUUUAAAUUUGCACCUUGCGGAUUCCACCAUUAAAAAGGCAAUGGGAAGGAUCAAUGAUGUUCUCAUUGUUGCAAAUAGAAAUUUGGUGCCUGUAGAUUUUAUCGUUCUUGAUAUAGAUUGCAAUCUUUCUUGCCCUAUUAUUCUUGGUAGACCUUUCCUUAGAAUGAUUGGUGCGAUUAUUGAUAUGAAGGAAGGGAAUAUUAGAUACCAAUUUCCAUUAAAGAAAGGCAUGGAGCACUUUGCAAGAAAGAAAGUCAAAUUACCUUAUGAAUCUAUCAUGCGAGCUACUUACGAAUUUAGUGCCAAAGAUGGCACUACUUAGAUAUAUCUUCGCUUUUAUGCCUAGCUAGGGGUAUUAAACGAUAGCGCUAGUUGGGAGGCAACCAAAUUUUCAUUGUGUUUUUUGUUUUUGCUCCUGUUUAGUAAUAAAUUUUGCAUCUACCUUCUGUUUGGAUGUGUUUUUAUCUUUUAAUUAGUGUUUGUGCCAAGUAGAACCUAUAGGAUAACCUAUGAUGAUAGUUAAUUUGAUUUUGCUGAAAAACAGAAACUUUGCACGCACGAAUUUAGUUUUGUUAAAUCACAGAAACGUGCUUUUGCGUUGAUUCUUUUUGCUGCUGAUCAAUAGACAAAUUUUCCAGGACUUCUUAUUUUGGUAGGAUUUUAAAAGUUCCAUAAGUUUGCGUUAGUUACAUAUUGCUACAGACUGUUCUGUUUUUGACAGAUUCUGUUUUUGGUGUGUUGUUUGCUUAUUUUGCUAGUAAAAUAGGUUAUAAACCAUAGAGAAGUUGGAAUACAGUAGGUUUAAAAUCAAAAUAAAUAAUUAAUGAGUUCAUUACAGUACCUUAUGUGGUGGUUUUGUUUUCUUUCACUAACGGAGCUUAUAAGAUUACCUGUUGAGUUUUGUGUUGUGAAGUUUUCAAGUUUUGGUUAGAGCUUUUAUGGACUAUGGAAUGAGGAGUGGCAAGAGCCUAAGCUUGGGGAUGCCCAUGGCACCCCAAGAUAUUCAAGGAUAGCCAAAAGCCUAAGCUUGGGGAUGCCCCGGGAAGACAUCCCCUCUUUCGUCUUCGUUCAUUGGUAACUUGAUAUGUGUUUUGCUUGGAGCGUCGUGUAAUAUAUUAGUCUUUGCUUUUUAGUUUACCACAAUCAUCCUUGCUGUACACACCUUUUGGGAGAAGCCUACUUGUUUAGAAUUUGCUAGAAUACUCUAUGUGCUUCACUUAUAUCUUUUGAGAUUGAUAGUUUUUGCUCUAGUGCUUCACUUAUAUCUUUUAAAGCACGACGGUGGCUUAAUUGGGAAGAAACUGCUAGUCUCUCAUGCUUCACAUAUAUAUUUUUGAGAUUCUUUUAGAACAGCAUGGUAUUUGCUAGGGUUACAAAUUUGGUCCUAGAAUGAUGAACAUCCAAGUUAGGUAUAAUAAAAACUAUCAUAGAAAGUGAAUUGGAUGCUAUGAUCAAUUUGAUACUUGAUAAUUGUUUUGAGAUAUGGAGGUAGUGAUAUUAGAGUCAUGCUAGUUGAGGUGAUUAUGAAAAAUACUUGUGUUAAGGUUUGUGAUUCCCGUAGCAUGCACGUAUGGUGAACCGCUUUGUGAUGAAGUUGGAGCAUAAUUUUAUUUAUUGAUUGUCUUCCUUAUGAGUGGCGGUCGGGGACGAGCGAUGGUCUUUUCCUACCAAUCUAUCCCCCUAGGAGCAUGCGCUUAGUACUUUGUUUUUGAUGACCUCUAGAUUUUUGCAAUAAGUAUAUGAGUUCUUUUGACUAAUGUUGAGUCCAUGGAUUAUAAGCACCCUCACCUUUCCACCAUUGCUAGCCUCUCUUGUGCCGCGCAACUUUCGCCGGUACCAUACACCCACCAUAUACCUUCCUCAAAACAGCCACCAUACCUACCUAUUAUGUCAUCUCCAUAGCCAUUCUGAGAUAUAUUGCCAUGCAACUUUCCACCGUUCCGUUCAUAUGACACGCAUUACUUUUGUCAUAUUGCUUUUUUGCAUGAUCAUGUAGUUGACAUCGUAUUUGUGGCCAGGCCACUUUCAUAAUUUCCAUACAUGUCACUCUUGAUUCAUUGCAUAUUCCGGUACACCGCCGGAGGCAUUCAUAUAGAUUCAUAUCUUGUUCUAGCUUUGAGUUGUAAUUCUUGAGUUAUAAAUCCAUAAAAGUGUGAUGAUCUUAAUUAUUAGAGCAUUGUCCUAGUGAGGAAAGGAUGAUGAAAACUAUGAUUCCCCCACAAGUCGGGAUGAGACUUCGGACUUUACAAAAAAAAGAGAAAGGCCAAAAAAAGAAAAUAAAGGCCAAAGAAAAAAAAGAAAAAAGAAAGAAAAAAAAGAAAAGAAAAAAAUAAAAAUAAAAUGAGAGAAAAAGAGAGAAGGGACAAUGCUACUAUCUCCUUUUCCACACUUGUGCUUCAAAGUAGCACCAUGAUCUUCAUGAUAGAGAGUCUCCUAAGUUGUCACUUUCAUAUACUAGUGCGAAUUUUUCAUUAUAGAACUUGGCUUGUAUAUUCCAAUGAUGGGCUUCCUCAAAAUGCCCUAGGUCUUCGUGAGCAAGCAUGUUGGAUGCACACCCACUUAGUUUCUUUUGUUGAGCUUUCAUAUAUUUAUAGCUCUAGUGCAUCCGUUGCAUGGCAAUCCCUACUCACUCACAUUGAUAUCUAUUAAUGACAUCUUCAUAGCCCGUUGUACGCCUAGUUGAUGUGAGACUAUCUUCUCCUUUUUUGUCUUCUCCACAACCACCAUUCUAUUCCACAUAUAGUGCUAUGUCCAUGGCUCACGCUCAUGUAUUGCGUGAAAGUUGAAAAAGUUUGAGAUUAUUAAAGUAUGAAACAAUUUCUUGGCUUGUCAUCGGGGUUGUGCAUGAUUAAAUACUUUGUGUGAUGAAGAUAGAGCAACAACCAGACUAUAUGAUUUUGUAGGGAUAACUUUCUUUGGCCAUGUUAUUUUGAGAAGACCUGAUUACUUUGAUUAGUAUGCUUGAAGUAUCACUAUUUCUUACGUCAAUAUGAACUUUUAUUUUGAAUCAUUUGGAUCUGAACAUUCAUGCCACAAUAAAGAAAAUUACAUUGAUAAUUAUGCUAGGUAGCAUUCCACAUCAAAAAUUCUGUUUUUAUCAUUUACCUACUCGAGGACGAGCAGGAAUUAAGCUUGGGGAUUCUUGGUACGUCUCCAACGUAUCUAUAAGUUUUGAUUGUUCCAUGCUAUUAUAUUACCAUUUUACACAUUUAUAUCAUUUUUGGGACUAACCUACUAAGCGGAGGCUCAACUCGUAUCGUUUUUUGCCUAUUUCAGUAUUUCGAAGAAAAGGAAUAUCAAACAGAGUCCAAACGGAAUGAAACCUUCGGGAGCGUGAAUUUUGGAACGAACGUGAUCUAGAGGACUUGGAGUGCAAGUCAAGAAGCAGCCGAGGCGGCCACGAGAGGGUUGGGCGCGUCCCUUGUCUCGUGGGCCCCUUGGGCGGCCACCGACGUAUUUCUUCCUCCUAUAUAAGCCUACGUACCUCGAAAACAUCCAGGGAGCCAACGAAACACAAUUUCCACCGUCGUAACCUUCUGUAUCCGCGAGACCCCAUAUUGGAGUCUUCGCUGCGCUCCGCUGGAGGGGGAAUCGACCAUGGAGGGCUUCUACAUCAACACCAUAGCCCCUCCGAUGAGUUGUGAGUAGUUUACCACAGACCUUCGGGUCCAUAGUUAUAGCUAGAUGGCUUCUUCUCUCUUUUUGGAUCUCAAUACAAUGUUCUCCCCCUCUCUUGUGGAGAUUAUUUGAUGUAAACUCUUUUUGCAGUGUGUUUGUCGAGAUCCGAUGAAUUGUGAGUUUAUGAUCAAGUUUAUCUAUGAGAAAUAUUUGAACCUCCUCUGAAUUCUUUUAUGUAUGAUUGAGUUAUCUUUGCAAGUCUCUUUGAAUUAUCAGUUUGGUUUGGCCUACUAGAUUGAUCUUUCUUGCCAUGGGAGAAGUGCUUAGCUUUUGGUUCAAUCUUGUGGUGUCCUUACCCAGUGACAGAAAGGGUUGCAAGGCACGUAUUGUAUUGUUGCCAUCAAGGAUGAAAAGAUGGGAUUUAUAUCAUAUUGCAUGAGUUUAACCCUCUACAUCAUGUCAUCUUGAUUAAUGCGUUACUCUCUUCUUUAUGAACUUAAUACUCUAGAUGCAGGCAGGAGUCGGUCGAUGUGUGGAGUAAUAGUAGUAGAUGCAGGCAGGAGUUGGUCUACUUGUUGCGGACGUGAUGCCUAUAUACAUGAUCAUGCCUAUAUAAUCUCAUAAUUAUUCGCUUUUCUAUUAAUUGCUCGACAAUAAUUUGUUCACCCACCGUAAUAUUUAUGCUAUCUUGAGAGAAGCCCCUAGUGAAAUCUAUGUCCCCCGGGUCUAUCUCUUAUCAUAUUUGCUUUCAAUCUACUUUUAUUUGCAUCUUUAUUUUUUGCAUCUAUAUUAUAAAAUACAAAAAAUAUAUUUAUCAUACUAUCUCUAUUAGAUCUCACUUUCGCAAGUGGCCGUGAAGGGAUUGACAACCCCUUUAUUGCGUUGGUUGCGAGUUCUUUGUUUGUUUGUGUAGGUGCGUGGGACUUUUGAGGAGCCUCCUACUGGAUUGAUACCUUGGUUCUCAAAAACUGAGGGAAAUACUUACGCUACUAUUGCUGCAUCACCAUUUCCUAUUCAAGGAAAACCAACGCAAGCUCAAGAUGUAGCAGGCAUCAGAGAACCAUGGAGGAUGUAUGAUCCUACGAUGGACGUGCAGAUUUAUCCACUUACCGCAGUGACCUGUCAGAUAGGCGAGACCGCGGUUGAAGAACGCAAUUAGCCUGAAGUCUUUAUAAUUCGCAGAUCUUGUGGGCACUUGGCAGAUUACAACCUUGAGCAAAUCAAACUUGGUAUCAUGUUGGCUACUGUAAGAUUCUGAGUAUUCUGGGCCGCGGUGCCAAAGCAGUGCAGUGUUAAUCGAAGGAAGGGGGAUCAAUCGCCGGGUGUAGACCUCCACGAGCAUCCAGCUGCCACGACCGUCGACGAGCACUAUCCAAGACGUGUUCAUGCCGACCCAGUACAUACCGUUAAUGUAGUUGAGGCUGAUAGGGAUCGGAUCGCAGUCAAGGGGGUUGAUGCUCGCCACCCUAGGAUCGUUAUGCUGCGUGACAUGCCAUUUCUGAAGAUCAGGCAGCAUCAGCAAGCAAGGAGCUGGCUCAAAAAGCUCCGGCCUGAGGGCUUUGAGUAAACGGUACAGCCCCGAUGAGCACGCGGCGAGCGGCAUGGUACUGAGAUUGUCCCCACGUGAAACAAUGAGCUUGAUUACCUCUCUGGGGAGCGAAUUCCAGCUACUCUUUCGGCGGACGCUGCUCGGUUCUGCCAUUGUUAGUGCUUGGGUUCCGGACGAGGGGGAGGCACCUUACCGGGGAUGGAAGAGCAGACAAAGAUGGAGAAGCGAAUAUGUGCUGCAGGAAGUGGACAGGUGAUGAUGACUACAACACGCCGCUUGACUUACGAGACACAUACCAUCAGCGUAGGGUCAUAUGAAGUCAGACAACUUACUUGAGUGAUCAUAGUACUGGUACUCCCUAUAGUACCUGCUACUAUGCCCUAACUUGCUUGAGUAGAGUAGUAUAGUGGAGUAGGACUCUGCUCUACUACUAGCACCAGAGGAGUAGUAUGUUCUAAUCUAAAAUAGUUACAAACUUCAAUGCCCGAGCGUGGAACGACUACGAACCACCAUCGGUGCUAACUUCAAUCCUGCAAGUCAUGGAUUUGUUUCUUUUUAACUUUCUGUAUGAAUCUGUAGCCAGCCUGCAAGUCAUGUACACUAUACUGACUAUGGAACCCACAGAGUACUUAGAAUACAAGAUUAAGGGUGCAAUUAACUUUUUAUAGAGGGAGAAUCAUACACGCAAUUAAAUCAAAUGGAUUGGACGUGACUCUAUUAUUCUCCAACGGCAACCGGCAAAUUUCCUCCCGUGGGCCGGAGUAGGUUUCUCGGUUUGUAUGCGGGUUUAACGGAGGGGUUUGAUGGAGGCGAGGAGGCGUGUUCAGCUGGGCGUGCAGUGGACGGUGCAGUACUAUUCGAUUUGACAACUACAACUAGUAUAUUAUAAAAAACAAAGAAGAGUAGUAGAGAUAGAGAUAAGAUUAGAGACUAGGGAGGAGCACCAUCUACUGCUUCGUGGGCAACUCCUAUGCUCCAUUCGGUGGCCGCAACAUCCCCUACAGCCACUCCCUCCUGCGCUCCAUUCGGCAGGCGCUGUUGACAUUUGGGGAGUGCACUCUCGCGACUGCUAGCAGCGACGACUUCACCGAUGAUGAAUUCUUCCCCGACCUCGGUAACCUCUUCCUCAACGACAUGGGUGACAACCUCAACGCCAAUGGUGCUGCUCCCGUUGCACCAUAUGUGUUUCUGUCCUUCCUGUUCAAAAUCGUGGUAGAAUUCAUGUUUCUAGUCUGUGUCCUAGACUCGAUCUGUUCAUCUACUAUGCUAGUCCGCAUGAUUAGUUUAAUCUCUGUUAUAGCCGUCAUGAUUUAUUUUGUAGUAAAUCUCAUUGUAACUUGCUCAUAUAUUCAACUGGCGGAACGUCCCCUACCGCCACUCCCGUUUCAUGGACGGCCUGGUCGAUGCCUCCAAGGAGCCCUUCAUCUACUGCUAUGAGUGCCCGGUGCCAUUUUGGGGCUCAUCGGCGGACAUCGUGCAUGACCUAACGCAGGCGUGUGGCGAUCACUACUAGCCCUUGGCAAAGAACAUCAAGUACGAGACGUGCUACCUAUUCACCGUGCCGGAGUCGCUGGAGGAUCAGCGCCGCCUGCUAGUCUCGGAGGAGGACGACAACGUCUUCCUCUUGAUCGUGGCCACCGGCGAGGCCCGCGCAGGCCGCCGCCACAUAUCUGUAGUGUGCGUCAGGGGCGACGAUGCUAAUGCUGACACUGACACGAGGCUGAUGUACGGCUGCGUGCUCACUAUUACUACCCCUCGGAGGUACGUGGGCGGCGACAUUGGCUACGUCAGGCUGACUUGGACUCUGUCGAGUUGGGACCUUCCCGCCAAUGUGGACAUGGAAGACGCAUGGUAUUACUUGACCCCCAACAAUGUGCAUGGGGACUCCAAGGAGGUUCACCUGGACAUCUGCAUUACUAAGUUAAAUGUUGAUCAUUAGUCUUUGCUCAAUGUAAUCCGCUGUCUAAGCAUGUGGAGACUUCCAUGCAUGAUGUUGCUCUAUUGGAGUAUCGCGCAUGAAUAAAAGUGUAUCCAUUUAUAUUUUAGUCUAGAAUCUUCCAUGUAUGAAUUUUUAUUACAGUACUGUGAUACGUCUCCAACGUAUCUAUAAUUUUUGAUUGCUCCAUGCUACUUUAUCUACUGUUUUGGACUAUAUUGGGCUUUAUUUUCCACUUUUAUAUUACUUUUGGGACUUACCUAUUAACCGGAGGCCCAUCCCAGAAUUGCUGUUUUUUGCCUUUUUCAGUAUUUCGAAGAAACAGAAUAUCAAACGGAGUCCAAAUGGAAUGAAACCUUCGGGAUCAUGAUUUUCCAACCGAACGUGACCCAAGAGACUUGGACCCUACUCCAAGAAGCGCCAGAGGCGGUCAUGAGGGUGGAGGGUGCCCCCCUACCUCGUGGGCCCCUCGGAGCUCCACCGACGUACUCCUUCCUCCUAUAUAUAUACCUACGUAUCCCCGAACGAUCACAAGAGGAGCAAAAACCUAAUUCCACCGCUGCAACUUUCUGUAUCCACGAGAUCCCAUCUUGGGGCCUGUUCCGGAGCUCUGCCGGAGGGGGCAUCCACCACGGAGGGCUUCUACAUCAUCACCAUAGCCCCUCCGAUGAAGUGUGAGUAGUUUACUUCAGACCUUCGGGUCCAUAGCUAGUAGCUAGAUGGCUUCUUCUCUCUUUUUGGAUCUCAAUACAAUGUUCUCCCCCUCUCUCAUGGAGAUCUAUUCGAUGUAAUCUUCUUUUUGCGGUGUGUUUGUUGAGACCGAUGAAUUGUGGGUUUAUGAUCCAGUAUUAUCUAUGGAAAAUAUUUGAUUCUUCUCUGAAUUCUUUUAUGUAUGAUUGAGUUAUCUUUGCAAGUCUCUUCGAAUUAUCUUUUUGGUUUGGCCAACUAGAUUGGUAGUUCUUGCAAUGGGAGAAGUGCUUAGCUUUGGGUUCAAUCUUGCGGUGUCCUUACUCAGUGACAGAAAGAGUUGCAAGGCACGUAUUGUAUUGUUGCCAUCGAGGAUAACAAGAUGGGGUUUUUAUCAUAUUGCAUGAAUUUAUCCCUCUACAUCAUGUCAUCUUGCUUACGGCGUUACUCUGUUUUUACUUAAUACUCUAGAUGCAUGCUGGAUAGCGGUCGAUGAGUGGAGUAAUAGUAGUAGAUGCAGAAUCGUUUCGAUCUACUUGUUUUGGACGUGAUGCCUAUAUACAUGAUCAUCGCCUAGAUAUACUCAUAACUAUGCUCAAUUCUGUCAAUUGCUCAACAGUAAUUUGUUCACCCACCGUAGAAUACUUACGCUCUCGAGAGAAGCCACUAGUGAAACCUAUGGCCCCCGGGUCUAUUCUCAUCAUAUCAAUCUAUAUCACUUUAUUUACUUGCUUUGUUUUUACUUUGCCUUUACUUUUCACUUUGCAUCUAUCUAUCAAAAAUACCAAAAAUAUUAUCUCUAUUUCUUGUAAGUGACCGUGAAGGGAUUGACAACCCCUAAGCGUUGGUUGCGAGUUGCUAUCGUUUUGUGUAGGUACGAGGGACUUGUGCAUGGUCUCCUACUAGAUUGAUACCUUGGUUCUCAAAAACUGAGGGAAAUACUUAUGCUACUUUACUGCAUCAUCCUCUCCUCUUCGGGGAAAUCCAACGCAGUGCUCAAGAGGUAGCAUACUGGUGAAAAACUUAUGAUGAACCAUUUCCUGCAAAGCACAAUAAGAGUUAUUUCUUCACAAGUUUUGGAUGCAGGUUGAACAGUUGAAUGCUUUUGUUUGCAAAAGAUACUUUUUUAUCUAUUUCACCCGGAUGUUUCUGAGCUCUAGAGAUGAAAUAAUAUCCGAAGAAACCUAUCGAUACCUAUUACACAUGAGAUGACCCCCACAUCCUUUGUCAAAAUAAACAACUCCCCGAUCAAUGCAUUUCACUCUUCCGUGCAACGCACGGGCACCUUACUACUAUAGAUUAGUACGACCAAAAAUUGAACUAAUAUUAUAUAUAGUAUGAUAAAUGAUGAUGCAUGUCACCUAAAAUUAUAUCAUUGAAAACUAUGUUCAAAUACGAUAUUGUUUUUGUUGACAUGCACUAACAUUUUGUCAGUUAAAUCUUUAGUCAAAUUCAAUGGCGGAUAAACCACGACCUAUGUAGUAGUACUAGUGUAGAAGGCGGCGCUGCACGGGAGUCUCACCUCUCACCCCGGUCGUGGCGCGGCAGUAAAGCCGUCAUAUCACAAAACCCAACCACUCUCAGUAUAAGUGGCCUGGUAAAAUAAAAGGACAAGCAACCAUCACACCCCUCCGUCUUUUUUGCAUUUCAUCUCUCUGCAUUUACUUUCUCCGGUUCAUCUCGCACACUCGAUCCGUAGCUACUAUUCCUAGGGCCAGUUCUUUUGGCGUCUUCCCCAGCUUUUCCCAUAAGACUAGUCACAGUGGAGAGUAAGGCUGCUUCCAAUGCACUGGUGCUUACGUGAGGUGCUAAGCGCAUUUAAAACCUUAGCAACUAGUCUCCCCAGUGCAUUAGUGCUUAGCUUUUGUAUCUAAGCCUCCCUCAUUGAAUUGUUUAACAAUUAAACUCCAUCAUUCAUUGGUUGAUAGUCAUUUUGCAUAGGUUCACGCGCUUAGCACCAUUUCCUCCUAGGGUCACCCUAAUGCUCUCUCUCUUCUUUAAUUGCUUUGCCACAUCAUUUUCUUGCCUAUGUGGCACCCUUAGCACUCAUUUAUUUGGGCUUCUAAAUUAGUACUAGUAGUACAGUACCUCUGUCCUGGUUUAUUCCUCACCAUUGUAAUUUGUGCUAAAUUUUGACCAAAGAUUUAACUGAUAAAAUGUUAGUGCAUGUGACAUGCACUAACAUUUCAUUAGUUAAAUUUAUGAUCAAAAUUUGACACAGAUUACAAUGGGGACCAAUAAACCAGGACGAAGGUAGUAGUUAUGGGAUUACUAAUCUAGAAGCCUAAAAGAACUGGCCCCUGGUACUCCUACUAGUAGUAGUACUCAAGUUGGAAUUCCAAUUGCACGGCACAACUUGUUAGGCAAAAAAUUCGAUUCAGGGUGUAGGAAGGGUUUUGGGAAUUUGCAUGCCUUUCCAACCAGUGAGAUACUCUGUACAAAGAGAUAGAGAGAAGUAAAAAAUACACUUAUAGCCAACCUUAUGGCCAACCUUGUUGUAGUAUGAGUGACUAAGUGAUGACUAUGUAUGACAUGCCAACAUCAGAUAGCCUAACGCACCAUGUUAAAUCUCCAAGGGCGCGACCGCGCGAGCGACGCGACAGUCAUGGUAGGCGCGACCAUGAUACGGGCUGCUAGUAGCCCUUGGAUCUGAGAUCAAACAGUCGCAUGCUAAGUUGCUAAAAAUUUGCAGAAUAACCCUCCAAGAUAGGAUAUUCACCCAUAGGUCUAGAAUCACGCCAUGCAACCGUUCUAUCUUAGAUCCAAGGGCUCUCCGAAGCCUGUAUCAUGGGAGAAUGGAAAUCCACUACCCUGCCGUUCGCACACUGGCAGUUUGCUCCUACUCGUCCCCGCACGUCCUUCAAUACUACGGCGGUUCGCUCCUAGUCGUCCCGUCCUUUCACAUUACGGUAGUUCCACUAAUCCUAACCCUCCUCCCAAAUCCAUGGCGUCCCAAAUCUCCAUGAUCGGCGGUGAGUACAAGGUUAGAACCAUCACCAGCGAUGAGUUCGACGUCAUCUACACUCGUUCUUUCGCGAUGGUGAAAGGAUGCCUUUCUCGCUUCAGACGCAUGUUCGAAAACUCAGAUGAUGAGUGGGUCGCUAGGCUAGAUGUUGAGUACACCAUAGUCCUGGGACGAGAGAAGGAUCUAAAGGACGAAGAGAGGAAGAAGCCCGCCAUGGUCCAGGUUUGCGUGCAUCACUUAUGCUUGGUCUACCACAUAUGCCAUGCCGAUGUUGAAUGCCUGGAUUUUAAGAACUUCCUCGAGAGCAACCUAGUCAAAUUCGUCACUGUAGACUUUACGAACGACAAAGAAGUCCUGGGUCGGAUAGACCUUGUUGUAGGCAACCCCUUCGACCUCCAGAAGAAUCGGUUGCUGCCCUCUCAUCAGCCUUCAAUGCUGACCCUGGCAGGAGCCAUGGUUCAUCCUUCGUAUGGUAAACUGGAGAAACCUCCAUACAUGUUUCAUCGUUAUGCAUGGCAGCGGAAUGUACUAGGUAUAUGCCACAUCCACUAUGCUGCAAUGGAUGGCUACCUUUGUUUCAAUAUCUACAAGGGUUGGAUGAAGAGCAAGAGCCAAGUGUGCGGUUCAAGCAAAGAAGUAUCGGCCAAGAGGAAGAGGGACAAGGAUGAAGUCGGGGACAUGGACGAGGACUCGGGUAAGGUGGCAGUGUCAUUGCUCAUGGUGGUUCUAAUACAGUGCCUACCGGAAUAGUUGCAAAGUUUCAUUUCAGGUGUGCUUAAUUUAAUUUGAGGGGUCUGUUGUGCUGAGCCCCCAGCAAAACUAUGUUAUGUUUCUUCUCAUUACUUUAACUCUCCAGUACAUACAUACUAGUAUUUCUUACAUUUUAUCUUUUAGUUGGUAUAGUACUACCACUCGUUUCUUCACAUUAUAUACGUACAAUAUAUAUGACCAACAUCAUAUAGCUAGCUGUUUAGUUGUCAAAGAAUUUCAGGGUGCUUAGUUUUGUCAAAGAAUUUCAGGAUGCUUAGUUUUAUUUGAGGGGUGGGUUGUGCUGGACACCAUUAUUGUGACUAGCCUUUUUAAUAGUACUAUAUGCAUAAUUUGGGAACGAGCGCUCUCUAUAUGUACCACCUUUUUUUAAAAUUUCAAGUUUUUGCUCCAUGGCGCAAUCCAUCGAUACUAUUACUGUAAAAAAGUAUACAUUUUUUAAAAGGCUAGAGGGUGGGGCAGUCUAGCUUGGUCGGUUUCACGAGAGGCGAGGGCCUUUGUGAUUUAACGGCUCAUUGCUGCUAGAAGGCGGGGCCUUGUGAUUUGACUGCUCGUAUAAAUGCGCCAACGACUUGAGGAGGAGCAAAGAACCGUGCGGUAUACUCAAGUUUUCCACUGGAGUAGUACUACAACGGAGGAGCACGAAACACAGCAGCCCAGUGCCAUAUGGCGAUAAAAAAUGAUCUAAUUUGCUAGUCAUCUCAUUGUUAGCAUUGUUCUAUUCAUUCCCUAAAAAAGCAUUGUUCUAUUCAUGCCUCGCAAAGAACAUGACACGUGCGGCGAAACACCCGAAGCAAAAGAUGAAACACAGGAGCAAAAGAAUAAGGAAGAUUAUCACCCCAAAUGACCUAAUUCAUCGCAGAGUCGUAAUUGCUUCUUCAUCGCCUCCACGACCUCCAUCUCCUUGCGCGUCUCCUCCGCCAUCUUCUUCAUUCUUUCCAUGACGCGGGAUUUCUCGAUGCGAUCCUUCCUCAUCUGUUCCACGGCCGCAUUACGUACCUUGACAGCAGCCGGGUGCUCGAUGCGGAGCUUCGCCAACUCCUCCUUCUGUUCCAUGACGAGGGCUGAUACGUCUCCAACGUAUCUAUAAUUUUUUAUUGUUCCAUGCUAUUAUAUUACCCCUUUUGGAUGUUUAUGGCUUUACUUUACACAUUUAUAUCAUUUUUGGGACUAACCUACUAACCGUAGGCCUAGCCCGUAUUGCUAUUUUUUUUGCCUAUUUCAGUAUUUCAAAGAAAAGGAAUAUCAAACGGAGUCCAAACAGAAUGAAACCUUCGGGAGCGUGAUUUUUGGAACGAACGUGAUCCAGAGAACUUGGAGUGCAAGCCAAGAAGCAGCCGAGGCGGCCACGAGAUAGGAGGGCGCGCUGAUGUCUACUACACAACCUUCUUCUUGUCGACGUUGUUGGGCCUACAAGUGCACAAGUUUGUAGGAUAGUAGCAAAUUUCCCUCAAGUGGAUGACCUAAGGUUUAUCAAUCCGUAGGAGGUGUAGGAUGAAGAUGGUCUCUCUCAAGCAACCCUACAACCAAAUAACAAAGAGUCUCUUGUGUCCCCAACACACCCAAUACAAUGGUAAAUUGUAUAGGUGCACUAGUUCGGCGAAGAGAUAGUGAUACAAGUGCAAUAUGGAUGGUAGAUAAAGGUAUUUGUAAUCUGAAAUAAUAAAAACAGCAAGGUAACAAGUGAUAAACAUGAGCGUAAACGGUAUUGCAAUUAUAGGAAACAAGGCCUAGGGUUCAUACUUUCACUAGUGCAAGUUCUCUCAACAAUAAUAACAUAGAUAGAUCAUAUAACAAGCCCUCAACAUGCAACAAAGAGUCACUUCGAAGCCACUAAUAGCAGAGAACAAACAUAGAGAUUAUGGUAGGGUACGAAACCACCUCAAAGUAUUCUUUCGGAUCAAUCUAUAAAAGAGUUCGUACUAGAAUAACACCUUAAGACACAAAUCAACCAAAAUCCUAAUGUCACCUAGAUACUCCAUUGUCACCUCAAGUAUCCGUGGGCAUGAUUAUACGAUAUGCAUCAGACAAUCGCAGAUUCAUCCAACCAACACAAAGUACUUCAAAGAGUGCCCCAAAGUUUCUACCGGAGAGUCAAGAACGUGUGCCAACCCCUAUGCAUAGGUUCCCAAUGUCACAAAACCCACAAGUUGAUCACCAAAACAUACAUCAAGUGGCACAUGAUAUCCCAUUGUCACCACAGAUAAUCAUGACAAGACAUACAUCAAGUGUUCUCAUAAAAGACUCAAUCCGAUAAGAUAACUUCAAAGGGGAAACUCAAUUCAUCACAAGAGAAUAGAGGGGGAGAAACAUCAUAAGAUCCAACUACAAUAGCAAAGCUCGGGAUACAUCAAGAUCGUGCCUUAGAGGAACACGAGAGAGAACACGAGAGAGAGAGAUCAAACACAUAGCUACUGGUACAUACCCUCAGCCCCGAGGGUGAACUACUCCCUCCUCGUCAUGGAUAGCACCGGGAUGAUGAAGAUGGCCACUGGUGAUGGGAUCCCCCUCCGGCAGGGUGCCGGAACAGGGUCCCGAUUGGUUUUUGGUGGCUACAGAGGCUUGUGGCGGCGGAACUCCCGAUCUAUCUUCUGUUCUGGAAGUUUUAGGGUACGUAGGUAUAUAUGGGUGAAAGAAGUACGUCGAUGGAGCCACGGGGGCCCCACGAGGUAGGGGGCGUGCCCGGGAGGGGGGGUGGGUGGGCGCGCCCCCACCCUCGUGGGCAGCCCAUAUCUCCCCUGACGUGCACUCCAAGUUCCCUGGGUUGCUUUCCUUCCAAAAAUAACUUCUCUAGUUGAUUUCGUUCCGUUUUGACUCCGUCUGAUAUCCCUUUUCUUCGAAACACUGAAAUAGGCCUAAAACAACAAAUCUGGGCUGGGCCUCCGGUUAAUAGGUUAGUCCCAAAAAUAAUAUAAAAGUGGAUAAUAAAGCCCAAUAUUGCCUAAAACAGUAGAUAAAGUAGCAUGGAGCAAUAAAAAAUUAUAGAUACGUUGGAGACGUAUCAAGCAUCCUCAAGCUUAAUUCCUGCUCGUCCUCGAGUAGGUAAAUGAUAAAAAAGAAUUUUUGAUGCGGAGUGACACUUUGGCAUAAUUUCAAUGUAAAUCUUCUUAAUUGUGAUAUGAAUAUUCAGAUCCGAAAGAUUGAAGACAAAAGUUCAUAUUGACACAAAAAUAAUAAUACUUCAAGCAUACUAAUAAAAGCAAUCAUGUCUUCUCAAAAUAGCAUGGCAACAGAAAGUUCAUCCCUACAAAAUCAUAUAGUUAGGCUAUGCUUCAUUUUCGUCACACAAAGAUGUUCCCAACUUCUAUACCCCCGAUGACAAGCCAAACAAUUGUUUCAUACUUAAAUAAUCUCAAACUUUUUCAACCUUCAUGCAAUACAUGAGCGUGAGCCAUGGAUAUAGCACUAUGGGUGGAAUAGAAAUGAUGAUGGGGAUUGUGUGGAGAAGACAAAAAAGGAGAAAGUCUCACAUUGACAAGGAUAAUCAACGGGCUAUGGAGAUGCCCAUUAAUUGAUGUCAACAUGAGGAGUAGGGAUUGUCAUGCAACGGAUGCACUAGAGCUAUGAAUGCUCAACAAAAGAAGACUAAUGGGUGUGCAUCCAACUCGCUUGCUCAUGAAGACCUAGGGCAAUUUGAGGAAGCCCGUCGUAGGAAUAUACAAGCCAAGUUCUAUAAUGAAAAAUUCCCACUAGUAUGAAAAGACAAAUUAUGAGACUCACUUACAUGAAGAACAAGGUGCUACUUUGAAGCACAAUAUAUGAGACUCACUACAUGAAGAACAAGGUGCUACUGUGAAGCACAAGCGUGGAAAAAGAGAUAGUAGCAUUGCCCUUUUUAUUUUUUUUAUUUUUUUGGGCCUUUCUCUUUUUUGGCCUUUUUUGGGCAAUGCUCUAAUAAUGAUGAUCAUCACACUUUUAUUGAUUACAACAUAAGGAUUACAACUCGAAACUUAGAACAAGAUAUGACUCUAUAUGAAUGCCUCCGGCGGUGUACCGGGAUGGUGCAAUGAAUCAAGAGUGACAUGUAUGAAAAAUAAUGCAUGGUGGUUUUGCCACAAAUAUGAUGUCAACUACAUGAUCAUGCAAUGGCAAUAUGACAAAAGUAAUGUAUGUCAUGACGAUGAUGAUGGAAGUUGCAUGGCAAUAUAUCUCGGAAUGGCUAUGGAAAUGCCAUGAUAGGUAGGUAUGGUGGCUGUUUUGAGGAAGAUAUAAGGAGGUUUAUGUGUGAUAGAGUGUAUCGUAUCACGGGGUUUGGAUGCACCGGCGAAGUUUGCACCAACUCUCAAGGUGAGAAAUGGUAAUGCAUGGUACCGAAGAGGCUAGCAAAGGCGGAAAGGUGAGAGUGCGUAUAAUCCAUGGACUCAACAUUAGUCAAAAGAACUCAUAUACUUAUUGCAAAAAUUUAGAAGCCAUCAAAAAUCAAGUACUGCGCGCAUGCUCCUAGGGGGAUAGAUUGGUAGGAAAAGACCAUCGCUCGUCCCCGACCGCCACUCAUAAGGAUGCACAAGCCAGGUACACCUCAUGUUUCAAAUUUGUUACACAACUUUAACCAUACGUGCAUGCUACGUGACUUGAAAACUUCAACACAAGCAUUUCUCAAAUUCACAAUUACCCAACUAGCAUGAUAUUAUCACCUUCAUAUCUCAAAACAAUUAUCAAGCAUCAAACUUAUCUUUGUAUUCAACACACUCAUAAGAAAGUUUCACAUAUCUUAAAUACCAAGUAUAUUAACAUUAAGCAAAUUACCAUGCUAUUUAAGACUCUCAAAAUAAUCUAAGUGAAGUAUGAGAGUUCAUCUAUUUCUUCAAAGUAAAACUACCACCAUGCUCUAAAAGGUAUAAGUGAUGCAUUACGAGCAAUAACAAAAACUACUCCGAAAGAUAUAAGUGAAGAUCAAUGAGUAGCUAAAUAAUUAUACAACUAUGCGAAGACUCUCUCUCAUUUAAUAAUUUCAGAUCUUGAUACUUUAUUAAAACAGCAAGCAAAGCUAAAGAAAACUACAUUGCAAGGAUAUCAUAACUCAUGUGAAGAAGCAAAAAUUUAGGCUCAACCGAUACUAUACAAUAGUUGUUGAAGAAGAAAGGUGGGAUGCCUACCGGGGCAUCCCCAAGCUAAGAUGCUUGAGACUUAUUGAAAUAUUAUCUUGGGUUGCCUUGGGAAUCCCCAAGCUUGAGCUAUUGUGUCUCCUUAAUUCCUCUCAUAUCAUGGUUUCUCUUUUUAUCAAAAGCUUCAUUCACAACAAACUCAACAAGAACUCGUGAGAUAGGUUAGUAUAAACCAAUGCAAAACCUUAUCAUUUUCUACUGUAACAAAUCACUUAAAUAAUUAUUCAACAUUUCAUACCAAAUGACUCUGCAUAUUUAAUACUCCUAUCCUCAAAUAGAAUCAUUAAUCAAGCAAACAUAUGCAAACAAUGCAACCAUAACAGCAAUCUGCCAAAACAGUACAGUCUGUAAAGAAUGCAAGAGUAUCACUGACUCCAAAAAUUAUGAACUAAAAUUCCCACUGUAAUAAAUUUAUCAGAGCUCAAUAUUCAAAAAGAUUCAACAUUAUACCACUCUCUGACUUUUCUAGGGAAUUUUUGCAACAGCGGUAAACUUUCUGUUUUUCAAACAGCAACAUGUAUACUAGCAAAAUAAGCAUGGGAAAGGCUAUCCUUGACUUCUUUAUUGAAACUAAAGAUGCAAAACAUUAUUCUAAAUAACAGCAAGCUAAUACUAACAAAAGAAAAUGACACUCCAAGCAAAACACAUAUAAUGUGGUGAAUAAAAAUAUAGCUCCAAGUAAAGUUACCAAUGAACGAAGACGAAAGAGGGGAUGCCUUCCGGGGCAUCCCCAAGCUAAGGCUCUUGGUUGUCCUUGCAUAUUACCUUGGGGUGCCAUGGGAAUCCCCAAGCUUAGGCUCUUGCCACUCCUUAUUCCAUAGUCCAUCAAAUCUUUACCCAAAACUUGAAAACUCCACAACACAAAACUCAACAGAAAACUCGUAAGCUCUGUUAGUAUAAGAAAACAAAACCACCACAUUGGUACUGUAAUUAAGUCAUUCUAAAUUCAUAUUGGUGUAAUAUCUACUGUACUCAAACUUACCUAUGGUUCAUACCCUCCGAUACUACUCAUAGAUUCAUCAAAAUAAGCAAACAACACAUAGAAAACAGAAUCUGUCAAAAACAGAACAGUUUGUAGUAAUCUGUAUCAAACGUAUACUUAUGGAACUCCAAAAAUGCUACCAAAUAAGGAAGUCCUAAUAAAUUCGUGUACCAAUCCAUAGCAAAAAGAAUCAGAUUAAUAUCACGUUUCUGUGAAUUAACAAAACUAAUUUACUGGGUGCAAAAGUUUCUGUUUUUCAGCAGGAUCAACACAACUGUCACCGUAAGCCAUCCUAAAGGUCUUACUUGGCACUUUAUUGAAACAAAAUCUAUAAAACAUGAUUACUACAGUAGCAUAAUCAUGUGAACACACAAAAACAGUAAGGAUAAAUAUUGGGUUGUCUCCCAACAAGUGCUUUUCUUUAAUGCCUUUCUAGCUAGGCAUGAUGAUGACAAUGAUGCUCACAUAAAAGAUAAAAAUUGAAACAUAACGGGAGCAUCAUGAAGCAUAUGACUAGCACUUUUAAGUCCAACCCACUUCCUAUGCAUAGGGAUUUUGUGAGAAAACAACUUAUGGGAACGAUAAUCAACUAGCAUAGGAAGGUAAAACAAGCAUAGCUUCAAAACUUGAAGCACAUAGAGAGGAAACUUGAUAUUAUUGCAAUUCCUACAAGCAUAUGUUCCUCCCUCAUAAUAUUUUUUAGUAGGAUCAUGAAUGAAUUCAACAAUGUAACCAGCACCUAAAGCAUCUUUUCAUGAUCUACUAGCAUAGAAAAUUUACUACUCUCCUCAUAAGCAAAAUUCUUCUCAUGAAUAGUAGUGGGAGCAAACUCAACAAAAUAACUAUCAUAUGAUUUAAAAUUAGGAUCAAGAUGACAAGUUUCAUGGUUAUCAUUAUUCUUUAAAGCAUACAUGUCAUCACAAUAAUCAUCAUAGAUAGGAGGCAUGCUUUCAUCAUAGUAAAUUUUCUCAUUAAAGCUUGGGGGACAAAAAUACCAUCUUCAUCAAACAUAGCUUCCCCAAGCUUGUGGCUUUGCAUAUCAUUGGCAUCAUGGAUAUUCAAGGAAUUCAUACUAAAAACAUUGCAAUCAUGCUCAUCAUUCACAUAUUUUAUGCCAAGCAUUCUAUGUAAUUCUUCUUCUAGUACUUGAGCACAAUUUUCCUUUCCAUCAUACUCACAAAAGACAUUAAAAAGAUGAAGCAUAUGAGGCAUCCUUAAUUCCAUUUUUUUAAUUUUCUUUUAUAAACUAAACUAGUGAUAAAACAAGAAACAAAAAUAUUCGAUUGCAAGAUCUAAAGAUACACCUUCAAGCGCUAACCUCCCCGGCAACGGCGCCAAAAAAGAGUUUGAUGUCUACUACACAACCUUCUUCUUGUAGACGUUGUUGGGCCUGCAAGUGCACAGGUUUGUAGGACAGUAGCAAAUUUCCCUUAAGUGGAUGACCUAAGGUUUAUCAGUCCGUACACUACUAGGGAAAAGCCUAGCAGCAGCGCGGGUUGUAGGCCUAUCAGUAGCACGGGUAGGAGCGCUACUGAGAAGGCGCUACAGCUAAUGCUUAGCAAUAGCGCGCCUGGAUCCACGCUACUGCUAAAUUGACUUAGUAGUAGCGCUUCUUCAGAACAACGCUACUGGUAAUUAGUAGUAGCGCUUCUCCUUUCCCGCGCUACUACUAUUAUUUAGUAUUUUAUUUCUUUUUUAUUCCAUGUUGUAUUCAUACACCUUUACACAAGUUUUCAUACAACAGAAAUUUAGAGAUUGUUUUUACAUCAUAAUGAGUUAUUACAUCAUGGGGUGAAAGAACCGUGGACUAGUUUCAAGUGGAUGUCCAUCCACUUGAAACUAAUCCACGGUUCUUUCACCCAAUGAUAUAAUAAUAUCAUCAUCAUCAUCAUCAUAUCAUUAACAACUUAUCAUCAUAAUACAUCAUUGUCAUAUAACACCUCCUCAAGAUCAUCGUUUUCAUCAAUGACAUCACAUAGCAAAUUGGUCACUAGUCAUAAUCACAAGUACUCCUCAUUAUCAACUCUAACACAUUACCACAUAAUAAACAUAUUGUACCUCAUAGGACCUAUUACAUUUGAUUAAGACCUACUACAUUUUCUAAGGUAAAAUAGCAAAAAACAAGAUAGCCCCUGACUCUCCAUUAUGGAGAAUGGAGAUUAGCAUGUCUCCAAUUCUUGCCUUUCGCUGAAUGUUACUUCCAAGAGCCUCCUUGCGAAUGUCCAUACAUUUCUUCCAUUCUUUGAUGAACAUGUGUUCACGGGUUUUAGAAAUCCGAUAUGCACAGGUGAGCUCCGUAGAUUUACCUGGCAGUAUGUUCAGAACUGAGAGGCAACCAUGCAGAGACAUCAGAUGAGGCACACAAUCCAUCGGGAGUUUCUGUUGAAAAACAUAAUAAUAACUUCCUAGUUAGCAAUGAUGUACUAGUUUUAGAAGUAUGCAAAAGAUGCACGGAUGUCGUAAUAGUAAAAAAUCUUACCAGGGUAUCUCCAGAGAAGUUACCGUGGUUCAACACAUGCACUAGUGGCACAUAUUCACCAUAAUUUGGAGGAGUUCGAUAAUAGUUAUUGUAAUUCUCAAGAAGAGUACAAAAUGUGAUCAGAUGAUUUUUCUCCUUAUACGUUAAUUCGGUGCCAUCGGUGUAGUGGGUUUUAUCUACCAUCUUUCGCACAGUCUUUGAAGAAUCAAAAUAAGCUGUCAAUGGAAAUAAGCUAUCAACUAUUUUGAAAUAAACAAUAUAAAUUAGUUAAUAACUAUGUUUGAGAAACUCACAUAGCGGUACAAUCGGAAGCGUAUCAACAAGGACCCAAAUGUCCAUAUUGUCUUGCUCGAUGUCAGGAUCACCAAGAUCCAUGGUGACAAUCAUACCCUCAUAAAAACCAUACAUUUUGCAAAGUGCUUCCGAAUUUUGGCAACCAAAAUGGGUUACGCUCUGAGCAUUGCACAGAUUUACUUCAAAAUCCAUAUCAUGAUGGGUCCUUAGGUGUAUUUUCUUUGUUUCGAAAUUUUCAUGGUCUUCAAAACCCAUCCUCUCCAAGACAUAGCGUCUUGCAUGGCAUGGAAUAAGCUAGUCGAAUUGUAAAAUAUGAAAAUUAGACGUUGAAAUAGUUGAAGUCAUGCUUAAUUACGAAAAAAACACUUGUCGUUGUUGCGUACCGUUUCACAAUCGAAGGUCUCAUCGAGCUUAAUGCUGAAGCGCCGAUCUUCAUCCAGCUGAACGAACCUGUCGCACAUACCUCGAUCGUCGUGGCACCAGCUACACUCCCCCAGGAGACUGUCGUCGUCCAAGUAUGACAUUUCCUACGUUCAUAAUUCGAAGAUUAAACUUGUACAUAUUCUAGCACAAGUCAUGCCAGAAUUCACGAAAAAAAUCCAGCAUGACCUUUGCUAAAAAAGGACAUAUCGAGCGCUUGAAAUUUGCCGGAAUGGAAAUUAAUCAACACUCCGGCAAAACAUAGGCCACUCGGAGAUGUAAACUGAACAUGAACGGCCACUUGGGCAACCACAUAUCCUAUUUGAGCAACAACACAAGAUAUACAAGGAUAUUUGGCUGGUCUCACCUCGAUGUCGGAGGGGGUCGGUGACUGGGACGACGGCGGGGAUGUCAGAGGGGGUCGGUGACGGGGAUGACGGUGGUCACCUGAAACCAUAUAAGUUAUCACUAAUACAUCCCGAAUAAUUGCUUAAACUAAAAAAUAACAACAAAUAUGACAUGUUCAACUAGUUUUAUUAAUUCAACUAGUUCUUACUAAAUAUAAACUUACUAUAAAUAGAAAAAAAACUAGUUCUUUCUAAAAAUAAAGUAGUUCAACUAGUUAUAUUAAUUAUCUUACUAAAAAUACAUUAGUUCUAUUAAUUCAACUAGUUCAACUAGUUUAUUAACUUACUUACUAAACUAGUUCAACUACAACUAAAGUAGUUCAACUACAACUACUAUUAAUCAUACUGCCCUAGUUAACUAGUAAUUAACAUCUACUACUACUAAAAAUCUAGUACUAACUAAGCAACAUCUAGUACUAGCUAUGAACCCUAAAUUAACAUCUACUACUACUAAAUCUAGUACUAACUAGUGGCAGGGGGUGGGGGGCGACGGAGAGGUAGCUAGGGGUGGCGAGGUCGAGGGCGGUGGGAGGAGGGCUGCCGGCGGAGGAGGGAGGAGGGGCGGCCGCAGGCGGAGGGAGCAGGGCGGCGGCAAAGGAGGGAGGGGCGGCCGCAGGUGGAGGGAGGAUGUGCGAGGAGGAGGAAGGAGGGACGGAAGGAGGGGAGUACCUCGGCGGCGGACAGACGAAGGCGGCAGCGGCGGCGGCGACGCACGAUGACGGUUACGCGGGCGAGAGUGAGAGUGUGAGUGAGGGCCGGUCGUGCGCGUGGGGAUAAGGUAGGGAUAGUUGCAGCGCGUUUGCCAAAACGCGCUACAGCUAAUCUGAAUAUCAGUAGCGCUUUGCAUAUAAACCGCUACUGCUAAGUGUAACUAUAGAAAAAAUACGUCCAUGCAAAAAUACAUUGGCCAUCAAUGAUCUUUUUGUGUACAAUCUGAAUUGUCAAUAUGAGUGCUCUCCGGUAGAACCGGAGAGGACUCAUAUUGCGGCCACAAAUUUUACACAUAGAGUUCAGUGAAGACCAACUGGUUGUGGUAGUUUCGGAAAUAACAUAUUUAAGGUGGUAAACACCCUGUUCACGGAGCGAGGUGGGACUAAACUUGUGGGCUGAUCUUAGCAGUAGCGGUUUUCCUAGAAGCGCACUGCUGCUAACUUAUAUAGCAGUAGCGCUGUUCAGUAUAGUGCGCUACUACUAUGACUAGGGGGGGUGAGGUCAUGGCAAUUAUAGCAGUAGCGCGGUUUGCGGUGGAGGCGCUACUGCUAUUUUCCUGUCAGCAGCGCGUUUUGAUAACACGUGCUGCUGCUAAAUAGCAGUAGCGUGGUAUUUUGAGGAGCGCUGCUGGUAAGAUUCUGUGUAUAGGGUUUUCCCUAGUAGUGGUAGGAGGCGUAGGAUGAAGAUGGUCUCUCUCAAGCAACCCUGCAACCAAAUAACAAAGAGUCUCUUGUGUCCCCAACACACCCAACACAAUGGUAAAUUGUAUAGGUGCACUAGUUCGGCGAAGAGAUAGUGAUACAAGUGCAAUAUGGAUGGUAGAUAAAGGUAUUUGUAAUCUGAAAUAAUAAAAACAGCAAGGUAACAAGUGAUAAACGUGAGCGUAAACGGUAUUGCAAUGAUAGGAAACAAGACCUAGGGUUCAUACUUUCACUAGUGCAAGUUCUCUCAACAAUAAUAACAUAGAUAGAUCAUAUAACAAGCCCCUCAACAUGCAACAAAGAGUCACUUCGAAGCCACUAAUAGCGGAGAACAAACAUAGAGAUUAUGGUAGGGUACGAAAUCACCUCAAAGUUAUUCUUUCGGAUCAAUCUAUAAAAGAGUUCGUACUAGAAUAACACCUUAAGACACAAAUCAACCAAAACCCUAAUGUCACCUAGAUACUCCAUUGUCACCUCAAGUAUCCGUGGGCAUGAUUAUACGAUAUGCAUCAGACAAUCUCAGAUUCAUCCAACCAACACAAAGUACUUCAAAGAGUGCCCCAAAGUUUCUACCGGAGAGUCAAGAACGUGUGCCAACCCCUAUGCAUAGGUUCCCAAUGUCACGAAACCCGCAAGUUGAUCACCAAAACAUACAUCAAGUGGCACAUGAUAUCCCAUUGUCACCACAGAUAAUCACGGCAAGACAUACAUCAAGUGUUCUAAUAAAAGACUCAAUCCGAUAAGAUAACUUCAAAGGGGAAACUCAAUUCAUCACAAGAGAGUAGAGGGGGAGAAACAUCAUAAGAUCCAACUACAAUAGGAAAGCUCGGGAUACAUCAAGAUAGUGCCUUAGAGGAACACGAGAUAGAACACGAGAGAGAGAGAUCAAACACAUAGCUACUGGUACAUACCCUCAGCCCCGAGGGUGAACUACUCCCUCCUCGUCAUGGAUAGCGUUGGGAUGAUGAAGAUGGCCACCAGUGAUGGGAUCCCCCUCCGGCAGGGUGCCGGAACAGGGUCCCGAUUGGUUUUUGGUGGCUACAGAGGCUUGCGGCGGCGGAACUCCCGAUCUAUCUUCUGUUCUGGAAGUUUUAGGGUACGUACGUAUAUAUGGGUGAAAGAAGUACGUCGGUGGAGCUAUGGGGGCCCCACGAGGUAGGGGCAUGCCCGGGGGGGGUGGGCGCGCCCCACACCCUCGUGGGAAGCCCGUAUCUCCCCUGACGUGCACUCCAAGUUCCCUGGGUUGCUUUCCUUCCAAAAAUAACUUCUCCAGUUGAUUUCGUUUCGUUUUGACUUCGUCUGAUAUCCCUUUUCUUUGAAACACUGAAAUAGGCAUAAAACAGCAAAUCUGGGCUGGACCUCCGGUUAAUAGGUUAGUCCGAAAAAUAAUAUAAAAGUGGAUAAUAAAGCCCAAUAUUGCCUAAAAUAGUAGAUAAAGUAGCAUGGAGCAAUCAAAAAUUACAGAUACGUUGGAGACGUAUCACGCGCCCACCCCUACAGGGCGCACCCCCCCUGUCUCGUGGGCCCCUCGGGCGGCCACUGACAUACUUCUUCCUCCUAUAUAUACCCACGUACCCCGAAAACAUCCACGGAGCCAACGAAAAACAAUUUCCACUGCCGUAACCUUCUGUAUCCGCGAGAUCCCAUCUUGGAGCCUUCGUCGGCACUCCGCCGGAGGGGGAAUCGACCACGGAGGGCUUCUACAUCAACACCAUAGCCCCUCCAAUGAGUUGUGAGUAGCUUACACAGACCUUCGGGUCCAUAGUUAUUAGCUAGAUGGCUUCUUCUCUCUUUUUGGAUCUCAAUACCAUGUUCUCCCCCUCUCUUGUGGAGAUCUAUUCGAUGUAAACUCUUUUUGCGGUGUGUUUGUUUAGAUCCGAUGAAUUGUGGGUUUAUGAUCAAGUUUAUCUAUGAGAAAUAUUUGAAUCUCCUCUGAAUUCUUUUAUGUAUGAUUGAGUUAUCUUUGCAAGUCUCUUCGAAUUAUCAGUUUGGUUUGGCCUACUAGAUUGAUCUUUCUUGCCAUGGGAGAAGUGCUUAGCUUUGGGUUCAAUCUUGCGGUGUCCUUACCCAGUGACAACAGGGGUUGCAAGGCACGUAUUGUAUUGUUGCCAUCGAGGAUAAAAAGAUGGGGUUUAUAUCGUACUACUUGAGUUUAUCCCUCUACAUCAUGUCAUCUUUCUUAAUGCAUUACUCUGUUCUUAUGAACUUAAUACUCUAGAUGCAUGCUGGAUAGUGGUCGAUGUGUGGAGUAAUAGUCGAUGCAGGCAGGAGUCGGUCUACUUGUCACAGAGGUGAUGCCUAUAUACAUGAUCAUGCCUAGAUAAUCUCAUAAUUAUUUGCUUUUCUAUCAAUGGCUCGACAGUAAUUUGUUCACCCACCAUAAUACUUAUGUUAUCUUGAGAGAAGCCACUAGUGAAACCUAUGGCCCCCGGGUCUAUCUUUUAUCAUAUAAGCUUUCAAUCUACUUUUAUUUUGCAUCUUUACUUUUCCAAUCUAUAUUAUAAAAUACCAAAAAUAUAUUUAUCUUAUUAUACUAUCUCUAUCAGAUCUCACUUUCGCAAGUGGCCGUGAAGGGAUUGACAACCCCUUUAUUGCGUUGGUUGCGAGUUCUUUGUUUGUUUGUGUAGGUGCGUGGGACUUUUGAGGAGCCUCCUACUGGAUUGAUACCUUGGUUCUCAAAAACUGAGGGAAAUACUUACGCUACUAUUGCUGCAUCACCCUUUCCUCUUCAAGGAAAACCAACACAAGCUCAAGAGGUAGCAAGGGCCUACAGCAUCUUCAUCGAGGAACUACUAUUCUCAUGCAGCUUCUUCCAGCCGGUGUUCUUGUCCUUCUACAGGUCGAUCUCGUGGCAGAGCUUCGCCUUGUCCUCCUGAAGUCGCAGGAUUUCGCCGGUCGCCUUCUUCUUCGAGGCAAUGCUCUUCUUCAGCAGCAUCACCAAGUCGGCGGUCAACUCCCCCUGCUUAUUGAGCUCAGCGGGCAUGUCGUCGAGGCUCUCCUUCAGCAGCUCCACCAAGCCUUGGAUGAACUCCUUCUGCUUAUUGAGGUGCUUAUUGAGCUGAUCGGGCAUGCCGUCGUGUCACGACCGGUUUUCCGGGUAUUAAUUUCCAGAAAAUGGCCGUUGUGCUCACCAGCCCCAGGAUUACUGUUAGUUGAUGAGGCACCAAAUUGAUACAGAAUUUCCAAGCAAAAUACAAAAUAUGUAGUACAAGACCAUUCUGGCCUAUGAGUACAACAAGUGAUUUCUAGAGGUUGAUGGCGGAAGCGGUUUGUGAAUCAUCAGUGUCUAUGGAACUCCAUUUCCCACAGGAAUAGCUGACCAGGUUAACUCCUAUCUUCGCGAGGCUGCUACCACCACCGCUUGGGUUCCGGGGCUGUCAUCGCGUCGCUCCUCUCCGUGCAAGAAAUCUGGCCAAGACAAUAGCCAGGGACAAGCCAGUGAGUACUUUGAAUGUACUCACAAACAUUAUGAACACUGGGAUGAUAUAAAUGAUAAUCAUGCACUGAACUAUUCUAUGAUCAUAUCGUCAGUCAUAAAUAAAAUCUCUUAUGCAUGCAAACAGGUUUUUUAUAUGCAACAUGAAUGAGCAAUAAUGGAGUGGAAAUAAAAUGCCGCAGUCGGGCGUCUGUGCGACACCACGUAAAGGGCUUAUAAAGUAAAUGAAUAACAAGCAAUGCCGCAGUCGGGCGUCUCAGCGACACCACAUAAAGGGCUUAUAAGGUAAAUAAAUAACAAGCAAUGCCACAGUCGGGCGUCUCAGCGACACCACAUAAAGGGCUUAUAAAGAAAAUAAAUAACAGACAAUGCCACAGUCGGACGUCUCAGCGACACCACAUAAAGGGCUUAUAAAAUAAAUAACAAACAAUGCCAUAGUCGGCGUCUCAGCGACACCACAUAAGGGGCUUAUAAAGUAAAUAAAUAACAAGCAAUGCCACAGUCGGGCGUCUCAGCGACACCGCAUAAAGGGCUUAUAAAACAAAUAAUCACAAUGAAUAUCCAGGGGGUAGAACCGUCCCAGGGAUACCCAAUAAUUCAGAUAAUAAAAUGGGUUAGUCCAUAAUAAACAUAAACAUAUUUAUCACAAGUCAUCAGUCAUGAUCCACGUUUUGGUUUAGUAGUUUUUCCUCCGAAGACCGACACUAAGACCGACACUUGACCCAUCCCAGACUAUAGUCCUUAACCAUGGACAGGGCUAUUCGAAUAGGUUUAUUCUCUACAGAGGGUGUACUCUUUACCCACGAGUAACGGAUUCCUUUAGUCCAUUGGGACUAAUUCCGUCUACGGUCUUUUAAUUGAAAACACACCUGACUUGCACACACCAGCUUAACUCACCGGUGCCUGGAAUCACCCACGACACCUGUCAAGCAAAACUCUAAGUGGGGAGGCUACAACCUCGCGUAGCAUGGGAUCAAAUCUAUACCGCGCGCUCUAAGGGGUGCCCCCCUCUCGGUCCCAACCGGAAACACCCAUGCCCCCGGACCAGGUGGCCUGCCUACCGGCUACAACCGGUAUCUUCCACCAUGGCCUCUCUGUAUGGUGUGUGCUUUAAAGGGGUUGAUGACUUACUGAACCGUACCCUACCUGUUGUAGGGACAAGUGGUAGUACGAAACAAGUAUGGGGGUUACUGGAACAAGACUCGAUCUACGGUCGACUCAGGAGGUUUAUGAAUUCCCUUCAUGAUAUGUAUAACAAAAAUAUUUCAACCAACAGAAUCACCACUCAUUAUACCUUACUGUGCCAUACCGGACAUAACCGUCCCAACGGAGACCGGCGACAAGCUCACGCCUACCCAAGGCAGAGGCUUUCCCGGAUUUCUUCUGGCAUGCAUGCAAGGCACAUGAGGAUGAUUACCAUCACAAGUGUGUUUAUUUCCAACAGCAUGGAAAUCACUAAUAUGCAUCCAUGCAAAUGAUCAUAUCACAUGAAAUAAUAAGUUCUCCGAAAUGAGGUGGUGCUAUAAAUGUGUCAACAAACACACCAAAAAUAUUAUGCCAGGGUUCAGAAUGCUUGCCUUCAAGGUGUGGAGAGGUGGGGGUGCUCUCCAAAACUUUUGAAAGCUUUCUGCCUCUCUCCAAAAUCCUAUUUUGAAAAUAUUGGAAUUAAAACACAAUUUCAAAACAGCACAAAAAAGGUGUUUGAAAUUUUUUCAAAUAAAUCUUAAAAUAAACUAGGCAGAAUUUGAGAGAUGUAGGAAAAAGAAUCAAUUCAUUUGGAGUUAUAUUUUAAAAGUUAUAGCCAGUCAAAGUUUAGUCAAAUAUGUUUUAAAAAACAGAAAAAAAAACGUUUCGGGCGGAAUACGCCUUCGAAGAAGGGGAGACAUACUCGUGGUUUUGCGCUUCCACUUAAACACGUGGAGGCGGGGCUGGGUCUCUGACAGCGGGUCCAGGGGGUCCACUGGUCAGGUUUAACCAGUCCAUCUCUUCCCCCUCUUCCUCUGCCCGAAUAGAGGCGGGGCAACGGCGAUCAACGCCGGCGAACAGCGGCUCCCCGUGGGCUCCAGAGGGUCGGGAUGGAUCCGCAAGACCAGGGCGGUCCUCCCGGUGGUCGUUGGGUCGGCAGGGACGGAAUGAGCUGCCGACGGCGAGCUUCGCGGCGGAGGAGGCAUUCGGGAGCAAUGUAGGUUUGGGGCUACGGUGGCUCCCGAUCAAAAUCGAGCAGGGGGACGGGCUCACGGGAGGAAGAGAGAGCUUCUGGUGGAGAGAGUGGAGAGGGGGAGGCCCUGGUGGUGCCGGAGUGGCUGGGGCAAUGGCGGUGGCAGGAGUUGCCAGAGAGGAAGAAGACGAUCCCUCUGGUCUUUCUACUACCACGGGAGGGUCAGUGAGGGAGUGAGGGAAGUUUCUUGAAGGCUUGACGAGCUCGGGGCUUCCUUUUAUAGCGCGACGAGGUCGGUUCUGCGGCGGUGGGGAUAAGAUCGCCGGCGACCGACGUUCUGUAGCAGCAGGGGGACGUGGCGGGGCUGAGGAUGGCGGCAGGAGCUAGCGGAUGAGCGGAGCACUGCUCCAGGGCGAGCUGGCGAGCGGGAGUGGCUCGGGUGGCGCCGACACGGCCGGGGCCUGCAUGCGGCCGUCAGAUAGCCGCCACGGCCGUCCGGACGGUGGCGCUGUGGGGUGCCAGGGGUGGUCGGGGUGGUGUGGCGGUGCAGGGGGAUACGUGGCGUGCUAGCUGCUGUUGGCCAAGGGCCAGAAUGGGUGCGGGGUGAGACGCGGCGGCUCGGGCGCACGUGCGUGCCAAACGCACGCUCUGGGCGUGCCCAGAGCACGCCCGGGACGUGUUCGAUGAAAUGCUAGUGCAUGCUAGAGGUCACAGGUGAGGCUGGCAAGAGAUAGGGCUAGGGUAGGGUUAGUCAUAAGGUAAAUGGACAUGGUGGUUAGGUCAGGUGGCCAAGUUCACAAUGCAAACAAACACUCAUGCCAAUUCUGUCCAUGCACUCUAGGUGUUUGACAAAAUGCCACAGGCACCUAGGAUUUUCUUGGAGUGGCCAAAUUCUCCAUGCUAGUGUCUCUUUGGAUGGACAAGAGGGUGGUGAGGUUAGUUUGUCAAAAGAAGAAACUUGUUAGUGCAAGUUUUGCAAAACCUCAGUUUUGGACAGAAAGAAAAGGGCAUGAUUGCAAGCACUUAGAAUCAUCCAAUGGGUCCACUCUCCUGGACUUAAGGGUUUGGCAAGGUGCACUACAAGCAGGAGAAAGCCCAGGGGUAAAGGAGCAAGUUAGCAGAUGGUGGCAGUACAAAUCACCAAGUUGCACCAGAAUGAAGAUGAGGAUGAUUCACUCAAAUCUUUCAAAGAACAUCACUGGGUUUUUGCAUAAAGUUGAAUCAUAAGCUACUACCAGCAUCCCAUAAUUUUGGUGGAGGCUAGAAAGAAGUAUUUAAAUGAGUUGUAGUGCAAAAUUGCCCACUGGACCAGAGAAGAAAAUUGGGUGUAGAGCUCAAAAUAUUUCAUGAAUAAAAGAUAUUUUUGCAUAAAAGUGAUUUAAAAACAUCAACUGACAUCUCCAAAUUUUGGUUGGAAUUUUAAGUGAAUUUAUCAAAUGGUUGUAGUUCAAAUAUGGCCAUAUAACCUUGGGAAAACCAUUUUUCAAGAAAAUAAAGAUCAAGCAAAUUAAUUAUGUAAUUAGUUCUACUAAUAAAAGAAAAGUUUUUCUUGAGAGGUUAAACAAGUCCAAUAACAUAUUUGAAAAGUUUUCACUUAGGGGAAAACUCCAUAAUAGCAAGGGAGAAAAAGGUUCAAAAAUCAAAAGGGAGCCCAAAAAAUAAAAGUUUUAAUUUCCUGGCAAAAUUUUAAUUAAUAAAACAAGGUCAAAAUUUUGGGGUGUCACAACACUACCCCCCUUAAAAUAAAAUCUCGUCCUCGAGAUUUGUUAAGAGUUGUUUUGAAAAUAUCUUUCCUGUGAGCUGGAACCAAAAGAUUUAUUCAUAGCACAAACUUGCGUCGUCGAGGUUGGCAGCUACGCCCGGGAUAAAAAAAAUGCAAUCGUACACCAACAUACUCAUGCAUGGCCAUUAUUAAAAACAGGGGCGCACAAUGAAACAGCAUUUAAUAAUGGCGGUACAGGAUCACACAGUUACAAGACGAGGAUAUUCUAAGACUCGGUAUCAUUCGAGCGAUUUUAAUCUACCUCGUACAUAUCUAAGCGGGCUUGCCUCGCGGACGUCGAGGUUUCACCACGGUUUUCACCGUCAGGAUUAGCUGGAUGGGGUUGAGGAACUGCAGGGUCGGGGUAGUGAUGAUGACCAUCUCGGGGAUUGUUGGCCACAAUCCCGUUGGAGUGCGUUCCCAAAAGGCGACGAAGCACUUCUGGGGUCAUCAAGGCACCUUGGUUGAUGGACGGGGCUGACCUCAAGGUCUCGAUUGGUUGUCCGAACAGCACGACUAGGUUGUCGGCAUCGGGCUCAUCUUCUCCUCUUGCUGGGGCUCGGCGGAUCAGUUCUCCACGAGCUGCGAUCAGAUCAAGGGUGAUUUCAUCGAACAAAUCCUCUAGCAUACUUACAUAGCGCACUAGAUGCAAUAAAGCAGGAUCCGUCUCGUGAUCUUCGUUGGCAACUUGGGGUGGUCUACCAUAUCUGUCACGGCUAGGGUAGUAGUAGAACGAGCGACAGUUAACUCUGGGCGACAAAUGCCGGAGUUGGACUAUAGCUUCUCAAGCAGCUAGUUGGAUGGCUUGUGGAUCGAAGGAAGUUGUCCUUCCAGUGAACCUGUAGGGGCGUUCUGGCGACAGACCCCUACCAUAGAUGUGCACUGUGGCCCAGAAUUGACGGCUCUCACCGCUCAUGGACCCUUGGUACACAACAUAUUCUGGGGGCUCUUCUAAUGCAAAGGCACGGCGUGUGAGGUUCGCGAGCACGGUCACAAAACCUUCAUGGGUGGUUGAUGUGGUCUCAUUGUGCACGACGGGGCCAGGCAUUAUAACUUGGUUUGAGGAAGAGGCCGGGUUGUGCUGUGUUGAGGCUAGCGUGCCCUUUUUUAUAGAAAAACGGAACGGAGUCUUCCUUCGCACGCUUGCGAAUGGGACAAUAUAGGUGUCGGUCUCUAGCGCGUGAUCGACGGGCUAGGCUGAUAGGUUGGGCACCGACUGCCAAGAGUGUCGGGGUCACUGUGUGGCUUUCUUGCACGGGAAGCUUGGCUGGGGUUUUGGUUAGGGUCUGGUGGGUUGGUUUUUCCUAGGUUUUUCGACCUGGCUAAGAUAGGAUUAGCCAAUGGUCAGCCUGGCUCUGAUACCAAGUUUGUCACGACCGGUUUUCCGGGUAUUAAUUUCCAGAAAAUGGCCGUUGUGCUCACCAGCCCCAGGAUUACUGUUAGCUGAUGAGGCACCAAAUUGAUACAGAAUUUCCAAGCAAAAUACAAAAUAUGUAGCACAAGACCAUUCUGGCCUAUGAGUACAACAAGUGAUUUCUAGAGGUUGAUGGCGGAAGCGGUUUGUGAAUCAUCAGUGUCUAUGGAACUCCAUUUCCCACAGGAACAGCUGACCAGGUUAACUCCUAUCUUCGCAAGGCUGCUACCACCACUGCUUGGGUUCCGGGGCUGUUAUCGCGUCGCUCCUCUCCGUGCAAGAAAUCUGGCCAAGAUAAUAGCCAGGGACAAGCCAGUGAGUAUUUUGAAUGUACUCGCAAACAUUAUGAACACUGGGAUAAUAUAAAUGAUAAUCAUGCACUGAACUAUUCUAUGAUCAUAUCGUCAGUCAUAAAUAAAAUCUCUUAUGCGUGCAAACAGGUUUUUUAUAUGCAACAUGAAUGAGCAAUAAUGGAGUGGAAUAAAAUGCCGCAGUCGGGCAUCUGUGCGACACCACGUAAAGGGUUUAUAAAGUAAAUCAAUAACAAGCAAUGCCGCAGUCGGGCGUCUCAGCGACACCACAUAAAGGGCUUAUAAGGUAAAUAAAUAACAAGCAAUGCCACAGUCGGGCGUCUCAGCGACACCACAUAAAGGGCUUAUAAAAAAAUAAAUAACAGACAAUGCCACAGUCGGGCGUCUCAGCGACACCACAUAAAGGGCUUAUAAAAUAAAUAACAAACAAUGCCACAGUCGGGCGUCUCAGCGACACCACAUAAGGGGCUUAUAAAGUAAAUAAAUAACAAGCAAUGCCACAGUCAGGCGUCUCAGCGACACCGCAUAAAGGGCUUAUAAAACAAAUAAUCACAAUGAAUAUCCAGGGGGUAGAACCGUCCCAGGGAUACCCAAUAAUUCAGAUAAUAAAAUGGGUUAGUCCAUAAUAAAGAUAAACAUAUUUAUCACAAGUCAUCAGUCAUGAUCCACGUUCUGGUUUAGUAGUUUUUCCUCCAAAGACCGACACUAAGACCGACACUUGACCCAUCCCAGACUGUAGUCCUUAACCAUGGACACGGCUAUUCGAAUAGGUUUAAUCUCUGCAGAGGGUGUACUCUUUACCCACUAGUAACGGAUUCCUUUAGUCCAUCGGGACUAAUUCCAUCUACGGUCUUUUAAUUGAAAACACACCUGACUUACACACACCAGCUUAACUCACCGGUGCCUGGAAUCACCCACGACACCUGUCAAGCAAAACUCUAAGUGGGAAGGCUACAACCUCGCGUAGCAUGGGAUCAAAUUUAUACCGCGCGCUCUAAGGGGUGCCCCCCUCUCGGUCCCAACCGGAAACACCCAUGCCCCCGGACCAGGUGGCCUACCUACCGGCUACAACCGGUAUCUUCCACCAUGGCCUCUCUGUACGGUGUGUGCUUGAAAGGGGUUGACGACUUACUGAACCGUACCCUACCUAUUGUAGGGACAAGUGGUAGUACGAAAUAAGUAUGGGGGUUACUGGAACAAGACUCGAUCUACGGUCGACUCAAGAGGUUUAUGAAUUCCCUUCAUGAUAUGUAUAACAAAAAUAUUUCAACCAACAGAAUCACCGCUCAUUAUACCUUACUGUGCCAUACCGGACAUAACCGUCCCGACGGAGACCGGCGACAAGCUCACGCCUACCCAAGGCAGAGGCUUUCCCGGAUUUCUUCCGGCAUGCAUGCAAGGCACAUGAGGAUGAUUACCAUCACAAGUGUGUUUAUUUCCAACAUCAUGGAAAUCACUAAUAUGCAUCCAUGCAAAUGAUCAUAUCACAUGAAAUAACAAGUUCUCCGAAAUGAGGUGGUGUUAUAAAUGUGUCAAUGAACACACCAAAAAUAUUAUGCCGGGGUUCAGAAUGCUUGCCUUCAAGGUGUGGAGAGGUGGGGGUGCUCUCCAAAACUUUUGAAAGCUUUCUGCCUCUCUCCAAAAUCCUAUUUUCAAAAUGUUGGAAUUAACACACAAUUUCAAAACAGCACAAAAAAGUUGUUUGAAAUUUUUGCAAAUAAAUCUUAAAAUAAACUAGGCAGAAUUUGAGAUAUGUAGGAAAAAGAAUCAAUUCAUUUGGAGUUAUAUUUUAAAAGUUAUAGCCAGUCAAAGUUUAGUCAAAUCUGUUUUUAAAAUAAAACAGAAAAAAAGAAAAACGUUUCGGGCAGAAUACGCCUUCGAAGAAGGGGAGACGUACUCGCGGUUUUGCGCUUCCACUUAAACACGUGGAGGCGGGGCUGGGUCUCUGACAGUGGGUCCAGGGGGCCCACUGGUCAGGUUUGACCAGUCCAUCUCUUCCCCCUCUUCCUCUGCCCGAACGGAGGCGGGGCAACGGCGAUCAACGCCGGCGAACGGCGGCUCCCCGCGGGCUCCAGAGGGUCCGGAUGGAUCCGCAAGACCGGGACGGUCCUCCCGGUGGUCGUUGGGUCGGCGGGGACGGAGUGAGCUGCCGGCGGCGAGCUUCGCGGCGGAGGAGGCAUUCGGGAGCAAUGUGGGUUUGGGGCUACGGUGGCUCCCGAUCAAAAUCGAGCAGGGGGGCGGGCUCACGGGAGGAAGAGAGAGCUUCUGGUGGAGAGAGUGGAGAGGGGGAGGCCCUGGUGGUGCCGGAGUGGCUGGGGCAGUGGCGGCGGCAGGAGUUGCCGGAGAGGAAGAAGAUGAUCCCUUUGUUCUUUCUACUACCACGGGAGGGUCAGUGAGGGAGUGAGGGAAGUUUCUUGAGGGCUUGACGAGCUCGAGGCUUCCUUUUAUAGCACGACGAGGUCGGUUCUGCGGCGGUGGGGAUAAGAUCACCGGCGACCGACGUUCUGUAGCAGCAGGGGGACGUGGCGGGGCUGAGGAUGGCGGCAGGAGCUAGCGGACGAGCGGAGCACUGCUCCAGGGCGAGCUGGCAAGAGGGAGUGGCUCGGGCGGCGCCGACACGGCCGGGGCCUGCAUGCGGCCGUCAGCUAGCCGCCACGACCGUCCGGACGGUGGCGCUGUGGGGUGCCAGGGGUGGUCGGGGUGGCGUGGCGGUGCAGGGGGAUACGUGGCGUGCUAGCUGAUGUUGGCCAAGGGCCGGAACGGGUGCGGGGCGAGACGCGGCGGCUCGGGCGCACGUGUGUGCCAAACGCACGCUCUAUGCGCGCCCGGAGCACGCCCGGGACGUGUUCGAUGAAAUGCCAGUGCAUGCUAGAGGUCGUGGGUGAGGCUGGCAAGAGACAGGGCUAGGGUAGGGUUAGUCAUAAGGUAAAUGGACAUGGUGGUUAGGUCAGGUGGCCAAGUUCACAAUGCAAACAAACACUCAUGCCAAUUCUGUCCAUGCACUCCAGGUGUUUGACAAAAUGCCACAGGCACCUAGGCUUUUCUUGGAGUGGCCAAAUUCUCCAGGCUAGUGUCUCUUUGGAUGGACAAGAGGGUGGUGAGGUUAGUUUGUCAAAAGAAGAAACUUGUUAGUGCAAGUUUUGCAAAACCUCAGUUUUGGACAGAAAGAAAAGGGCAUGAUUGCAAGCACUUAGAAUCAUCCAAUGGGUCCACUCUCCUGGACUUAAGGGUUUGGCAAGGUGCACUACAAGCAGGAGAAAGCCCAUGGGUAAAGGAGCAAGUUAGCAGAUGGUGGCAAUACAAAUCACCAAGUUGCACCAGAAUGAAGAUGAGGAUGAUUCACUCAAAUCUUUCAAAGAACAUCACUGGGUUUUUGCAUAAAGUUGAAUCAUAAGCUACUACCCGCAUCCCAUAAUUUUGGUGGAGGCUAGAAAGAAGUAUUUAAAUGAGUUGUAGUGCAAAAUUGCCCACUGGACCAGAGAAGAAAAUUGGGUGUAGAGCUCAAAAUAUUUCAUGAAUAAAAGAUAUUUUUGCAUAAAAGUGAUUUAAAAACAUCACCUGACAUCUCAAAAUUUUGGUUGGAAUUUCAAGUGAAUUUAUCAAAUGGUUGUAGUUCAAAUAUGGCCAUAUAACCUUGGGAAAACCAUUUUUCAAGAAAAUAAAGAUCAAGCAAAUUAAUUAUGUAAUUAGUUCUACUAAUAAAAGAAAAGUUUUUCUUGAGAGGUUAAACAAGUCCAAUAACAUAUUUGAAAAGUUUUCACUUAGGGGAAAACUCCAUAAUAGCAAGGGAGAAAAAGGUUCAAAAAUCAAAAGGGAGCCCAGAAAAUAAAAGUUUUAAUUUCCUGGCAAAAUUUUAAUUAAUAAAACAAGGUCAAAAUUUUGGGGUGUCACACAUCGAGGGAUAACAACUCCAGCGCCGCCGGCUCGGCAUGUUCGCCUCUGUGACUAGGGCGCUCCUUGGAGCCAUCGCCUGCACAUGAGAGAUCUUUCGAGGUCUCUGUGUGGCGGCGAGCCCUCUUUUUUUCCGCAGCCUUGGUUGCCGCUCCCUUGUUACGAGUAGUUCUCGACCUAGAGCUCUGCUUACCGGCCAUGGCAAGGACGGACGAAGAAGAAGCACUUAUGAGGAGGAAAGGUAGAGUAAUUUUCGGUUAGGUAGUUCCCCUUUUUAUAACCUAAGUACUAGGACUAGUACUAGUACCUGCAUAGUGGGAACACGUUCAGGUUUGGUACGUACUAGUAGUAGGUGUGAGCAGGCUUUCGAAUGUGAUGGGAACAAGGUAAAGAUUAAUUGAUGGUUUUGGUUUCGUGGCCCGAAACGGCUCCCGAUGAGUUUAGCGGAACAUAAAUUUCAAGUAGACUACACUGCUCAAAUGCGUAAAUAUUAUGUUACUGUCAAAAAUUGGCACAAAAUACGAAGGAGACCAAUGGAAGUACUACUAGCAACCCAUGAUUUAACUACUCGCAUGCACGCAGUGGAGUAAUAAUGUCUUCCUUCCGCCCUCACGUCCACUUAAUUUGCAUGCGCUCUAUUAAUUGACCAUCAAUGAAAUGAACGACUUUACAUACGUCAAAAUUAUCACAUGGGAUGGAUCUUGGUACAAAAUUGCGUCCGUCCGUGUAACAGCAUGUGCGUGCGAGGGAAUGAGUGCGUGCGUGGUGUGCGUGCACAUAUUCGCUUCAUGCAUGUACCGCCAGUAUGGCUCAGGGAGGACGAGUACAUUCUUCUGGAACCAGCAGCAUGUCACUGUGAUCAAUCCACGCAAGGAGGUCGCGAUAACGCCUCCACAUGUGCCACGUGGCUUCAUGAACUGUAAGAGCGACACUGUGUAGCGUGCCAUUGGAAUUCUAAUUUACGUGUUUUGCAUACUCGAAGUACUAGUAAGGUACAUGUGCAUUGCACGCAUCAGAUUUUGCAACCAAAUUAUGAAUAAAUACCACACUAUAGCAUGUAAGCUCUCAGUCAUAUAUGCCUGAUGUAGACCUUCAUUUAAUUCUUAUAGUUCAUCUCAUUCAAAAUCAAUUAGUUUUUAUAAAAAAGCUAGGGCCUCUUGGAUUCGUAGGAUUUCCAAAACACGGGAAUAGGAAAAACAUGGGAUUAUAGUGGAAUGUCAUCUUGAAUCCUACAGGAUUGUAUGAGUGUUUGAUUGUGCAUUAAAAACGCAGAAUUCUUUCAAAGAGGCUUGAGUGGAUGGGAUGUUUCCUAUGAAAUCUAGUGCAAAUGAAUCAUAUGGAAAAAAUUCCUAUGGUUUACAAUCCUACGAAUCAAACAACCAAGAUAGGAAAAAAUCCUAAUGAUUAGAAUCCUCCAAAAUUCCUUUGAGAAUCCUUUGAAUCAAAGAAGCCCUUAAUAUAUUUUAUGAUUCAUGGAAUUGUGCAUUGUAAAGCAUAAAGUAAAAAACAAAUAAUGGCAAUUCAACUAGAAAAAAAGUUUGGGCAGUUAUGAUAUGGAAGAUUCUAGAACAAAAGAGAACCACUACUGUUUUGAGGUUUGUGCAUUAUGCUUAAGUUCAACCAUGGAGUCUGCUAGAUUGUACAUGUGGCAAAAUCCGGUGGGGGGCUAGACGAUGGUGCGAGGGGCCGAGUGGAGGGAGAUUAUGAAGGAAUGCACAAGUGCGGGAUCGAUAUUUAGAGAGAGGGGGCGAGAACGUGCGCUAUUGCGUGCAGUGGCGGAGCCAUGAAAAAUAAAUGAGCUAGGGGGCCAAGCAUUGCUAAUCCUUUACAAGGAGGGUCAAUUCAUGAACUUAAACCAUUUUUAGCAGCAAUUGUCUAAUGAUCACAUUCAUAUUAGCCUCGAUAUACAGUGAUGUUAGGGGGGGGGCAGGGCCCUUACUACCCCCUGUCUUCGCCAUUGUGCGCGCGUCUGAGAGAUGAAGCGGAAGGCAUGGAUGAUGAGAGGGGGACGUUGGAUAUAUAAUUAAUGUGGGUGUAUUAGCUAUAUAUGUUAAUCCUAUAUAGAGAGGUAUAGAUUGAUCGAUGUGGAUGUGGAAAAGGGGGUGAGAUCUCACUAGAUAUAUCGAUUGAUCGGUUUGUGUGGAAAACUAUGAAAGACCUAGCUAUAUACACACAUACAUAGAGGAACAUCGAUCGUUGCGCAUGCAUGCGUGGGAGAUAAAGAAUGCCCGAUAUGAUGUAGAGGGGGAUGUGUGUGGGUGUGUGCCUUCAUUGGAGACCGACCUGAAGAAAAAGAUUGCAUGUGUGCGAUGGAUAAUGCCGACUGGUAGUGUGUGUGCAUGCAUGCAUGAGAGAAAGUUAGUGGUACAAUUAUAAAGAGAAGACGACUGUGUGGGUGUAAAAGACUAGGUGAGGUCAUAAUCAAUGUAAAGUUGAAUUCAAAUAUUUGAAUAAGAGAUCCUGAUGUUUGAAACCCAUGCAUGCAUGAAUAUAACGGAGAUCUACGCGGUGUGGUUUGGAAACGAGCAUGUUGCAAUGUAUACACAUUGAACAAGAUCAGACUCAUUUGAAUUUGAGAUACCGAUGGCAGACAUCAUUUGGCCACGUCGCAUCCGUGCAUGGACACACUAUUCUAAUUGGAGAUGAUGGGUGGCUUUCGCAUCACAUAUCUAUAUCUAUACCCCUAUAUAUAUUAUAUUUUAUAAUUUUUUAUAUUGUGUGCGGGUAACUUUAACUUUGAAAGAUGAUCAUUGGAUGAGGCGAAUCCGAUGGGCCAAAGAUGACACAUUUGAGCACUACUAGCCGUUGGAUAUCAUCUAGAUUCCACCAGAUUUCGCCACAUGUAUAAUCUAGAAGACUACAUGGUUGAACUUAAGCAUAAUGCACAAACAUCAAAACACAAGCACUUCUUCUUUGUUCUAGAAUCUUCCGUAUUAGAAUUGCCCAAAUGUUUUUCUACAUGAUUUGCCAUUAUUUGUUUUUAUUUUAUGUCUUACAACGCACAAUUCCAUGAAUCUUAAAAUAGAUUAGCUUUCUUAUAAAAACUAGAUGAUUUUGAGUGAAAUGAACUAUAAGAAUUAAAUGAACAUCUACAUGAUGCAUAUAUGACUUAAAGGUUACAUGCUAUAAUGUGGUAUUUAUUCAUAAUUUGGUUGCCAAAUCUCAUGCGUGCAAUGCACGUGUACCUUACUCUAGUCUAAAUGGUGUUUGUGUGUGUGUUGUGCGUGUUGAGGUGCAAGUUGUCUUUUUUUUGGUACAUGUUAAGCUUGUUCUUCCGAAAUUUCAAGCCGCGCCUUGUUAUGCCGAAAAUUCAAGCUAGCGUCUCUGUCUACCGUGCUGCGAAACUCCCGCCUUGUUAGCCCGAAAUAUUUAAGAUAUAUCUUUGUCUCGUUGUGCUCCGACAACUCCCUCCAUCUCAACAUGCGCCUUGCUAUUCCGAAACUACAACGCGCACGAAAACUCCCACCUCCUGUGAAAUCCCGACAUGCGAAAUGCCCGUGGUACCCCUGAACCGAAAGAACCUCCUCAAAUUGGUGGGUGUACUUUCGUAACUUACCCCACAUUUCGGACAAGCGCGUCCCUAAGCCAUGGUUCCCCACUUCCAUCCCAUCCACCCACCCAUUCGUACACCGAGGCCGCGAAAACCCGCGACGAAACCCCAAACCCUGCUCCGUCUGCCACCCAGCCGGAGCCUCUUCCCCGACAACGUCGUCCACAACAACACCUCGACGUCCCUCAUCCAACGUACCGGAUGAGGAUCCGUCGUGGAUCUCGUCGUCCCGCCGGUUCAGCCACCCCGUCCUCCACCUCCAAGGAGUUGCCCCGAUGUUCCACUCGUCUUUCGUGCCACCUCCAUUCCUACACCGCCGUCUUUAGUUGCACCACGGAAGAGCAUCAUCAUCACCGUUUCCUCAGAUGAAGUUGCGGCCUAAUCGGCGCCACCAAAGAGGUUGUACACUAAUCGCCGCAUUUUCUUCUUGAUUCGAUCCCACGGUGCUGCCGGCGCUCGGUCGCGAGCCGACACGGUGCGGCUCCAUCCAUGGCGGUGUCGUCGGCCACUUCCUCCACGGCGUCGCUCCCUCGGUGGUGACGUCCACAUCAGUAGGAACUGCUGCUGCUUUAGCUCUCGCUCGCGCUGUUGCUCUGCUCUUGCGGCACGGUCAUGGAAAAAUCUAGAGUGGAAACAAGGUCUUCAGAGCAGACAAUGCUAUCUGACGAAGCGCAUGUCUUGCUGGUUACUGAUACCUCCUCAGAGGAGGAUUCAGAGACAGAUGACCAGUCAUAUUCCCCCCCCCCCGAGGUGCAUGCUCUAACUUGGCAGGGUUAUGUUGCUCAUAUCGUGCGUAUGGUAUCUUGCAUUGCUAUGUCAUUUGCUUAGUUUAGACAUGCUUUGUGUGAAUGCCACCUGUUUAGUGUCUAAUUACCAUAUAUGUGAAUUAUGCAAUGUCAUCUUGUUGCAAGACAUUAUAUAUGUGAAUUAUGCAAUGUUAUCUUGUUGCAAGGCAUUAUGUAUGUGAAUUAUGCAAUGCCAUGUUGUUUAGGCAAGCGUCAUAUAUGUGAAUUAUAUCAUGCCGUCUUUUUGUAUUUCUCAUUGCUUUUGUCGACAAUGUUUGUAUAUUCAACUGCUCUUCAUGUGCAUAACCAUUUGAAUUGGUGAUGGAGAAAUCUGGAGUGAAAACAAGGUCUUCAGAGCAGACAAUGCUACCUGCUGAAGCAGAUAUCUUGCUGGUUACACAUAGCUCUUCAAAGGAGGAUUCAGAGGCAGAUGACCAGUCCUAUUAUCCCCCUGAGGUGUAUGCUCAAACUUGGCAGGGUUAUAUUACUCAUAUCAUGCAUAUGUUGUAUUGCAAUGCUUAGUUUUUACAUCAUAUACACAAUAUUGAAUGCCAUCUCCUUAGUUGACACAUCAUAUAUGCGAUUGCCCUCUGCUCACUUCCUUAGUAUAUAAAUCAUAUAUUUGAAUUAUGUCAUGCCAUGAUGUUUACAUAGAAAGCAUGUAUCUGAAUUAUGGCAUGCCAACCCAUUUUCUAAAGACAUAAUAUAGUUAUAUCAUCUCAUCCUGUUUACAUAGUCAUCAUAUUUUAAAUUAUGUCAUUCUAUCCGUGAAUUAUAUCAUGCCAUCAUGUUUGCAUCGACGACAUGUUUGUGAUUUAUGGCAUGCGAACCACUUUAAUAGACACAUCAUAUAGUUAUAUCAUGUCAUCCUGUUUACAUAGUCAUCAUAUUUUGAAGUAUGUCAUUCUAUCCUGUUUAGUUAGCCAUCAUACAUGUGAAAUUGUGUCAUGCUAUCCUGUUUAAUUAGCCAUCAUAUAUGUGAAAUUAUGUCCUGCUAUUCUGUUUGGUUAGACAACAUAAAUGUGAAUUAUUUCAUGCCCUGUUUUCUUCCCUACUAUCCAUUGCACCUGUCUAUCUUACAAUGUCUGUACAUUCAAUUACUUUUCUUGUUUAUCAGCCAUUUCAAUUGGAGGGAGUGAUGGCAGUAUCUGUGGGAGUAAAAACAUAGUCUUCAGAAAAGAUCGUGCUACCUGUCGAUGCAGAUAGAACCACGAUUGUACUUGCCCAAGAACCAGCCCCACCACACAUAACCCACACACAUGAAGAUUGUAUCCCUACCCAGUUGGACAGAGAACCAGCUACAUCCCUUCUAACCCCAACCCCAGCAGAUAGACGCCCAGUUCCCGUUGACACAACACCGUCUCCACCACAUAGCACCCAAACACGAGCAGUUAGUAAGGAAACUGCAGUUCCCAAAGCACGAGGACCACCACUCUGAGCCCAAAGUCAACGCUUAAAGCAGAAGAAGAAUUGUUCUCAGGUUAGGUUCCGUAGCUAUGGUUCAUACUACUUUGCUCUUGCAUCACUGUAUUUACUCAUACCAACUAAUUUCAAAUUUGAAGGAUGCAACUGAAACUCCAAUGGCGCAACAGGUAUGUUUUAAACCUGUUUCUUCAACGUGUUUGGCUGUUUGCUCUUGUAACUUGCUCUAUGUUGAUUUCAGUUUCAAUUGAAUAAACAGUUAUGUUCUCAUGCCAUGCACAUUACAAGUGUUGUUAUCACUGUGUAGUUUCCCACACUUAUAUUCUGUCUAUGCUGCCUUGUCUUAAAUAGAUAUGAUUCGAAUUGUAUCUAUCUUGAUUUGGCAACAUAAUCUAGAAUGAUAUAGACCAUACAGUGACCAUACUACAUAGAUAUAUGUUUGUUUCAUGUUGUUAUCCUGUCCACCUUACUACUGAACUGGUUUACCAAAAUGAGUUUCAUAUACUACAUUGUAAACAUGUGAUGUGUUUGUUUGUUUCUCUUUUAGAACGCGGAUAAAAUAUUGAAGAAGAGUACCCUGUUAUGCAAUGGUAAAGGAAGUAAUGCAGAUAAGGUUCAAGAUAGUGAGACAUCCCUGUUGGUCUCCAAGAAAGCUGAUAAAAACUAUAUUGAAGACACUGAGACAACCCCAAAGUCCUGUCUUGAUGUAGUGUUCGAGUUACUGGCUACUACUGCUGGCACCAGCUCUUCGAACUCGUUGCCUGAAUCAAUUCGGCUUCUUGAGUCUCAACUUCAAGUUGAAAGACAUCGAUCAGAUGUUAUGCGACAGGAAGCCGAAGGACUAAGGAAGUCCCUGCAGAAUUCAAAUGCAUACUUUCUGGUGCAACAGCAAGUGCUGGAGGACUUAAGCGCCAAACAAGAGAAAGUUAAUAAGCUUGCUAAGCAUCUUGCCGGCAUUAUGGGUACCCAGGAUAUUGUUUCUUGAGCUCUUCUGAAGUGGUUUCAGUUCUGGAUUUGUUUUGUUGCGGCGUUUCUAUGCUGCUGUGUUCCCUAUAUUUGCACUGGUGGCGAACUUUGAUGCCCAGUGGAUGUAAUAUGUGUGAUAGCCGUGAUAGCCUAGCGUAAGUUGCUUUCUUAUUUAUUUUCUCAUUGUCUUGUUUAUUUCUUUUCUUGUAGUCAGUGCAGUUCUUUUUCCGCGGUUUGCUAGUGACCGCAAUAACCUAUUUUUUAAAACUAGGCCACAAUAACCAUGGGCUCAUAUUUACUGUAGUUACCAUUUCCCUCCUACGGGCCGUAGAAACAAUGGGCCUUCUAUGUGUUGUAUACACAAUGGGCCUUCUACGGGUCGUAUCAUCAAUGGGCCUUGUACGGGUCGUAUGAUCGGUUGGCCAAACAUGGGCCAAUAACAGACGCAUUAUGGCCGUAAACGGGCUAGAGUUGGAAUUGUCUGUUCAUGGGCCGACCAUAACGGGCCGUCGUUAAUUGGUCAUAUUUGAUGAUGCUAUGAAAACGGCCCAACAUAUUAACAGGCCACAAACGGGCCGACUAUAACCUCGGGCUGAAUUUAGCCCACAAGCAGAAAAUGACAGUAACGGGCCAUAAGUAAAAGAAUGCUGGAAAUGAGCCCAAGAGUAAAUGGGCUCUGAUAAGGCCGAAAGAUAACAUGGGCUGGAAACGGCCCAACGGAAUAACGGGCCGUUAAUGGGUAUAAAGUGAUACACUGUUCAUUACGGGCCAGUUUCACCACGGGCCGUUAAUGGGUAUAAAGUGAUACACUGUUCACUGCGGGCCAGUUUCACCACGGGCCGUUAAUGGGCCAAGAGUUACAAAGGGCCUCAUAUGGGCCGAAAGACGUCAUGGGCCAUACAUGGGCCAGAAGUGAAAACAGGCUGGAAUCAUAUUGGAUGGCCCAGAUGACGCUACUGUGCCUAAUUCGGAUAGGGCGUAACGGGCCUUGGAUUAGGGGGCUGUAAAUGGGCUAUAUGCGAACAGACCAUUAACAAGCUUUCCAUGGGCCGGGCCGCCACCUUUUGACCAAGUCAAACAGGCCGGCCUUUUCACAAGAAUGGGCCUCUAUUGGGGCCGUGCCAUGUGUCGACGUAUCAUAUGCGCCUUCCAUCCAAUGAGUGGAUGACAUCUGUCCCAACGAUGAGCCGACAUGUGUUUCUUCCAGCCAAUGAUGAUUUUACACGUGGAAAGCCCCCAUUGGUCAGGGCUGUUAACGGGUUAUCGGAUCCAAAACCCGAUCCGAUAGCUUAACGGCGUUCCGUUAUGCUGGAUGCCACGUGUCGGUCACCCUUGACAAAAGCACUUCUGUGACGCGCGAUUUAUCGUCAUGGAAGUGAACACUUUCAUGAUGAUAAUUUUGGUAAUGUCAUGGAACACUUUUAUGACAACACAGGUAUGACUAUCUUGAUUAUGUCAUAAAAUCGUCAUGGAUGUACAUGCAUGACAAAAAACGCGACCUACUGUGACAAACGCGUAUCAUCACAGAAGUGUAUUUUUUUUGUAGUGUAACUACUUGUCACAUAUGGUCAAACAAUAGUUGCCAUGUGUGUUUACCUAGUUGCCACGUGUGGUUAAUCACAGUUGCCAUGUAUGUUUACCUGAUUUCCACGUACGUGCAACUGCAGUUGCCGUCUAGCAAACGAAUCAUAGUUGCCAUGUGUGUUUACCUAGUUGCCAUGUACGCGUAACUGCAGUUGCCAUCCAACAACUUACGAUGGUCGUGUGGGUGAAAAGCAGUUCGCCCACACGCACAUAGACUAGGUGGUGGCUGUGUGGGCAGAAACUAGUUCGCCCACAUAGCGCAGCUGGCAACCACGUGCUGUGGGACAUGUGGGCAACCUCUCCAACGCCCACACACCGGCCUUGUCCUACGUGGCAAGCGAAAACUGCCUCGAUGUGUCAAGAUUCAUGCAAACUUAACUGGAUGGUGAUCCAGGCGUGUGGGCGAGUUGCAAUGUUGCCACACGUGUGGGCAUUACUGUUUUCAUAGGGGAAAAGGAAGUUGGGGACAGAUCUCAGCUUAUAUAUCUCUAAUCCAAAUGGGGCGUUGGGAUGAGGAGCAUUGGGAUCUAUCCACACACAACGCUCGGCGAACAUCUCUUAUCCUCACCUCACCUUCAUUCUCGUCCAUGGCCGGAGGAGGCUGCCGAUCCAUCCGCUCACCCAUCUGCGUCUGCAGAAGAAGCAACACAAGUAGCAAAGAAACGGGGAUGUAGGGGAUUCCAAAUGGAUGGGGACAGAUGGGAGAGGAGGGGAGGAGAGGUCUAACUGCGCAACAGUGAGGAGGCGCGUCGGCGACAUGCAUAGAGGCGACGGGGCAGCGAGAUCUAGUGCCGCACGAGAUAGGAGAGAAGCAAGGAGAGCAGCGCAAAUGAGAGGGUGUGAGCCGAUUGGGAGAGAGACCAUAGCCGAUUGGAUGCUGUGCAGAUGCAGGCUCAGGGAAACGGCCGAAACUUGCAUUUCCCCUCAGCCUGACUGGGAGCCUCAUUUUGCAUUAGUCGGGCUAGGCCCAAUUCAUCAUGCAUGAUACCAAACAUUCAUAAAUUGCAUGGUGGGUGUGAGACAGGUGCAAUCGAGGAAACUAAACACACCCAUAGUGUAUACUAUGUGGGAACAAACCAAUCUAAUAGGUGAAGCUGAAUUUAAUUUGGCUGGUGGUCUCUCACUGAUUGCCAUACAUUUGAAAUAUAUGUUUUUUAACACAGUACAAUCAGAGAUGCUUACAAACACUCAUCCUUAUAUAUGAACAUACACACACAUUUCUAUCCUAUGAGCACCUUCGAGAUGCUAAGCCGAUACAUCAUCUUGAGGUUGUCAAAGUCACCACAGGCGCCUCGUAGUCAAUCGAAAUGUCUCCCCUCGCUGAACGAACAUUGCUGGAAAUCCUGAAAUAAAUGCAGGAAAAUAUGAGCACCAGUGCUAGGUGUAGGAUUGACACCCUGGUAGGUUGGUUCCACCACAAGGAACCUAACCAUCUGGGCUAGGCUCAAUUUGCACAACAAAAUAUAUGUUAACUACAUUUCUAUGUUUAAAUUCAUUCACAAUUUUUUAUUUGAGAAACUAGUGGAGGUUCUUGUACACAUCAAACUAAACCAUAACAUUCCAAAUGAGCAUAUAAAGUAUCAAAUCAUAUGUGUGCAAAAGUAGUCUGCAAUUUCUUAUGUUGUUUGAUGGUUACAAUAUUUGUGCUAUUCGAAGUACAAGUACAAAUCAUGCACAUGUUGUUAAUUUAUUAAUGAACGCAAAUUGCAAGACACAUUUGACAUACCCUAGAAGUUUAUAUAAGGUUACCUAAUAAUACACUAGGGACCACUAUAAUAUUUUUGUUGGAUUGUAUGCUUUAUAAAUCUCUUUCAUGAUAUUUAAUGAUAUCAAUAUAUAUGAAACACACAUACACACACACACAUAGUUAAUACAAUUUUGGAAAAUUGAUUCAUUGUAUUUUUUGUUAUAUCAUAUAAUUUAAAUUUAAGAAAGGUAAAUUGAUUGACAUAUGUUAAAACUGCAUAACAAAUAGAGAAUGAUAUUAGUAUUAUUAAGCAAAAAUUAUGUUGUUAACUAUACUAGCCAAGUAAUAGAAAAUUGUACGAAUUAAAUUUAUAGCACCAUACAACUAGUUUAAAUAACUAUAAAAUUUUAUUAUAAAAAUAUGCAUUUUACUACGCCUUGUGUCCACAACUAGUUUAAAAUGGCCCUGGACGGAGACGGGCCUGCAAGGAAACGAGCGCCCCCAUCUGCAAUGCAGUAUUGUCACCAACCAAGCCUCCUUUAGCUAUAGAGCCAUCCCCUCAAGUACCGAAAACUCCAAGAAUGCGGUCAAUGGUUGUGGAGAGUGCAAGGAAAGGGGCAGGGUAUUUAGCAAUCAAAAUGCAGACAAAGGUAAGAAUCAAUAUGUUAGAAAAAAAUACAGAUGCAUGUAUUGGAAGGAGGUAUGAGGUCCAUAUGCCACAUAGGAGUGGAGUUGCUGGUGAAAUGCAAGAUGCUGGUGGUGGAAUGUCACAAUGCAGUAGAAGUGUAAAACCUAAUAGAGAAGGGGAUGAAAGCAUGUUCAUUCAUGUUGAAAAAGGGAGUGUUGCUUGUGGUGGAAUGUCACGAUGCAGGAAAAGUGUGCAACCUGCCAGCGAAGGGGAUGAAAGAACAUACAUUCAUUUUGGAUAAGGGCAUGUGGCUUGUGGUGGAAUGUAAGAAGGUUGAGAAGACGUACAUGUUGGCUGAGAAGGGGAAUCUGAUCUAUGCAAAGGUAAAAGCAUACAACUUCAGAGAGAAGGUUGAAGGGGCGGGAAAUUUGGCAGAGAAGAUGUCCAUUACAUUGGAAAGAUGGAGAAGGUGUGCAUCAUCUUCAAGAAGUUGGUCAGGUACUUUUUCUGACCGCAGCAAGGUCAAGAAACUUGGAAUACAGGUCGGCACUAAAACUAAAAUGAACAAUGUUCAUGUAUAUUCAUGUGGCCGGAUUGUAGAAGUAUGUGGGGGCAUGUUCCGAUUGCUGUGUGGGACAUAUUUUGGUAACUUUUUUAAUUGCUUUCAUUAAGAGUUUCUCGAUUAACUUUUCUAAUGAAAAUGAGAGGUGGACCAAAAGGAGUAUUCAUGAUUGUGUGGUAUCCUAUAUAUCAAACACAAUAAGUUGCGGGGCAAUGGCACCUCCUCGCCUAUGCCACGUCGGCAGAUGCACUGUUCGAUCACCCAUUUUUGAUUGGGUCGUAGUCCCUCCAUGCUAUUGGUCCAUGUCAUUGCUAACUAAAACCAGCGAGCUCGAGCAAAUUUCCAGGAAGCUUCGUACUUGCCUCUCCCCACAUGAAACCAUUCGUUUUCCUCGUCAAAUAGGUAUCUUCAUUCUCUCUCUCUAUCUAUCUAUCUCUCUCUCAUAGAGGUAACCGCUUGAGGAGAGAUGCGGCCACAGGAGGAGCAGUGGUGGUCGACGAGCUCAUGGAGGAGCAGGCGACAACCAGCGGCGGAACAGAUCGGUGCAUCACGGGAGAAGAUGGGGCGGCCUUUGCGGGCAGAGCAGAUUGGACCUAAUGGGCCAUGAUGUAACCAGGGUGACACAAUUGUGGGCAGAGAGGGCGAGGCUGAGUCACGGCCGGCGGUGGAGCGCGACUUGCAUGAGUAGCACGACUAACGAGGUACAUGUUUUGAUAACCCACAAGUAUAGGGGAUUGUGACAGUCUUCAAGGGUAGUAUUUGACCCAAUUUAUUGAUUCGACACAAGAGGAGCCCAAGAAUAUUUAUAAGUUUUAGCGGUUGAGUUGUCAAUUCAACCACACCUGGAAAGUUGUUUCUCCGCCGCAAAGUGUUUAGUAGUGUAGUAGUUUGAUAGUUUUGGCAGUAACAGUAACAGUAACAGUAGCAGUUUUGUAGUGAUUUUAACAUCAUCAGCAACAGUAGUAACUUACCAAAGAUCAAUAUGAGCAAAGUGUAGGCAUUGGAUCAGCGAUGGAUAUUUGUGUUGGAUGGCAUUUGAUGACCCACAAGUAUAGGGAAUCAAUCAUAGUCCUGUCGAUAAAUAAGAGUGUCUAACCCAACAAGGAGCAGCAGGAAAUGACGAGUGGUUUUCAGCAAGGUAUUUUCUGCAAGUACUAAAAGUGGCGGUGACAGAUAGUUUUGUAGUAAGAUAAUUUGUAACACGUAGCAUGUAGCAAUGGUAACAAGGUAUAGCAGGGUGGCCCAAUCCUUUUUAUAGCAAAGACAAGUCAGAACAUUCUCUUAUAGCAAGCAAAUUGUUCUCGAGGACACAUGGGAAUUGUCGUCUAGUCACGUUCAUCAUGUUUAGUUGAUUUGUGUUUGCUAUUUUGAUAAUUUCGUAUGUGGGUGGACGGGUGCUAGGGUGCGUGUGGCUCUCUGGUGGCCCCCUCUGGUAGAUAUUUUUGCCGGUAUUUUUUAUAUAUUCCAAAAAAAAUUCUUCGUAUGCAGCCAAAAUCGAGAACUUUUAUUUCUGCAUAAAAAUAACACCAAGGUAGUUCAACUCAAAAGAACGCCCGUCUGGGUUACUUCCAUUCAAAUCAUGCAAAUUAGAGUCCAAAAGAAGAGCAUAAGUGUUUGGAAAAGUAGAUAUGUUUGAGACGUAUCAACUCCCCCGAGCUUAACUCAUUGCUUGUCCUCAAACAAUUCAAUUGAUAAACUGAAAGUGACAAAGAAAAACUUUUACAAACUAUUUUGUUCUGUUGUAUAUAUAUGCUUAACUAGUAUUCAUGUUUUCAGCAAAGAUUAUGAACUAACCAUGUGAAUGAUAACACUUAGGUCUCACAUUUACUAAUGACAAUAACAUAAUCAACUAGCGAGCAAUAAUAAUACAUCUCGGAUGCCAACAAUUUUUCAAAACAAUCAUGAUAUAAUAUGAUAACAUGGUAUCUCGCUAGCCCUUCCUAAGACCGCAAAACAUAAAUGCAGAGCACCUCCAAAGUUCAAGCAACGACUAAACAAUGUAAUUCAGGGUAGAAGAUAUCUAGUCAUGCUCAUAUCCAACAUUAACUAGACUCAAUGCAUGUUAAACUAAGAAUGACAAUAGCGCUCUCCAAAUUGGUGCUUUGAAUGAGAAGGCAAUGACUCAACAAUAAAAGUAGAUAACUUGAAAGUAAAUAGAAAGGCCCUUUGCAGAGGGAAGCAGAGAUUAGUAGAAGUGCUAGAGCUCAAAGCUUAAAACAGAGAUGGAUACAUUUAGAAAGCUUUGCUCUUCCUAUCAACGUCACGACAAAGGAUUCCAAUAUCUUCCAUGCUAAACACAUCAUUGGUGGUUCCCGUGCAGAAAUGAAAAGUUUACUCCCCCUCAACCAUACAAACACAAGCCAUGGCUAGCCGAAUUCACGGCUGCCCUCCAAACAAACAUCUUUCCCAGGGGAGUUUGCUUUAUUAAAUUUUUCUUUAUUUUUGUUUAGCGGGAUUGGACAUCCCAACUACCAGCCUCUCUCAUGGAAUGACAAGUGAAUAAACACCCAUCAUCAGAAUUACCCGCUUAGCAUGGAAGAUAUUGACUGCCUUAUCGCUCCAUGAGCGGUACAGGAACAUAAAACAUAUGCUUAUUUGAAUGAUUAGAGAUGGCACAUACACAUUUACUUGGAACGGCAGGGUAAUACCUUAUACACGUAGGUAUGGUGAACUCUUCAACAUAAUUUUGGGGAUUCAAGAUUUUGGAUGCACAAACAAUAUUCUUGCUUAGUACAGGCGAAGGCUAGCAAAUAGGUUGAGAAUCCACCAACUAGAGAGCUACAAUGAUCAUAAUCAUGCAUUGCCAAUAUUUAACAUUGACUAUGAGCAUGAGUAGGAUAUAAACACCCUGAACAUAAAAUCAUGAAGGCUGGAUUGGUUUUGAAUCAACUACAUGUGUGAACAUGUGCCAGGUCAAGCCACUUGAAUUACAAAGGAGGAUACCAUCCUAACAUACUACAUCACAAUCAUUUUAAUGCAUGUUGACACUCAAGAUAAAUCAUUAUCAACUCCUAGCUACUUAAGCAUGCAUGAGGAACUAUAAUAUAUCUAAUUGUCAUCACAAACAUGUUUACCCAUAAUAUGUAGAAUCAGGCCUACUAAGUUAAACAUUAUUUAUAAAAACGAAAAACAAGAAGAGUUCAUACCAGCUUUUCUUCACCACAAUCACUUCAUGAAAUAAUCGCAAUAUUUUGUUUCACUUGCAUGACUGAAUGAGUGGAAAUAAUAAUAGUGCGGGUGUGUCAUGGACUAAGCUGAAAUCUGCAAACACUUUAUUCAAAGGAGAAGACAAGGUAAUAUUGGCUCUUCGUUAGAUUAACAACAAAGCAUAUGAGAGCCACUCAAGAAUUCUAGCAUAGUCUUCUCCUUAUGAUGACUCAAAGAAAAGAAAAAAAAUCAAAGAAACACACUGAAAUAUUUUUGGAGUUUUUAGUUAUUUUUUAAGAAAGAGGACGAAAGAAGAAAAACGAAAAGCGAGAAAAACUACUUACACCAAAGAACUCCCAACAAACAACAAAAGAAGAAACGGGAAAUCUUUUUGCGUUUUCUUUUAAUAGUACCAACUAACUAAACAAGAAAGAAAAACCAAAAAGAAGCGAGAAAUAUUUUUGGAUUUUCAAAGUUUUUAAACACACAAAAGAAAGAAAAAUAAAAUGAAACAUGGAUAUACAAUGAAAAUGAUGAACACCUACAACUGGAAUGAAUGUGUGAUACAUGAAUGUACUAUCGGUGAGAAUACGUACUUCCCCAAGCUUAGGCUUUUAGCCUAACUUGGUCUAUGGCCACGGCUGGCGUGAGUAGAAAUCAUAGCGAUAGUUUGGGUCAUGCUCAAGUACAGCUGCCACCGCCUGAUGGGCGGCCUCACUUUGACGAACAGUCUCCUCUGCUGCCCUGUACGCCUCAGCCUCCUCCUCAUGUAUAUAGUAUCUCAGUUUUCCUGAAAGUUAAAGAAGGCUGGGGCAGGCAAAGUAAUACUGAUAACACGAUUCAUAUCAAAUAUUAGCAUGUACCAGAAUGGCGGGUCCUCCCUUUCGAGAAACUGAUGGUGGACCAUAGCAUCAUAAUCAAGAUAACUAGUAGCCAACUGAGGAUCAUUUUCCUUAAUAGGUAUAUCAAGAUAAGCCGCCAACUGGGUGGCGUAAAUCCCACCAUAAAGAUCACCAUCAGAAGAGUUUUUAUUUAUGCAACAUGCAAUGAUGGCCCCAAGAUUAAAUUUUCUAUCUCUCAUUACAACACUUUUAAGAAUACUUAGGUCAGGAGCACAUGUAGUACAGAGGUCAUGUUUACCAGUUAUGCAUCUUCCUAUGAAUAGAGCAAAAUAAUGAAUAGAAGGAAAAUGAAUGCUUCCAACUCUAGCUUGGGUUACUACUCUAGUUUUGCCUCGCAUGAUGCUCAUGAGAAAUUCAUUACAAUGAAAUUUAUGUGGUUCGAGGCAAGUACCCCAAAAGGGAAUUCUACAAGCAAUGCAAAUUUCUCGAACACUUGUGUGGUAGGAUUUUUAUGAAGACUGAAAAUGACAUCAUGAGAAGAGCAGUGAGAUACAUACUUGAAUUUCCGCACAAAGGAAUCAGUGAGAUCAUGGUAUUGCGGACACUUAUUUGAUAAGAAAUCCGUCAACUUGACAUUUUGUAUGUACAUAUCAAAUUCUUCCUUGAUGCCAACAUUAAUCAUGAAGGCAUUGGAUGGCCAUCCGCAAGAUUUCACAAUGGCAUCCCGAGGGGGCUCGAGAUCGGGAUCGCAGAUAGUAGGUCUUGGGGAACUCUUGCUUGAAGAACCCUCGGAGAACACUCUCCUCAACAUUUUCUUUCUCUGAAAUUUUCUAAAUAUUUUAGUCCCCAAAUAAGAAGUGAAUAAAACUCAACAAAAUUGAUAGCAACUAGUCCCACAAGUAUCUAGAGGUUAUAUCAUGCAUCAAAACUACUUAGAAAUAAACUAAUUUAACAUGCAAGAUCAUAUACAUGGUCACCAAUUGUAGAAAAAUAUGCAAAACAUAAUCCACUAGAACAAAAACUAAUUGGAUCAUCAGAAAAUUCACAUGCCAAGGAGCAAUUCCUCCGAACAAUUUCGGAAAUGGAGCUAUGAGCAACGCGAUAAAAUAUUUCACGAAAAAUGAGCAAGGACACGGGAUAGGAAGCCAUGAUGAUUUUUUUCUUGAGGUGGAAGAAGGCUGUGAGCCUGGGCACUAAGUGAGUGGGUCCAUGUGGUGCCCACAAGCCUGCAUGGUGUGCCCAGGGGGUGGGUGUCGGUGUCAAAACCGGCGGAUCUCGGGUAGAGGGUCCCAAUCUGUGCGUCUAAGGCUAAUGGUAACAGGAGGCAAGGGACACGAUGUUUUACCCAGGUUUGGGCCCUCUCGAUGGAGGUAAAACCCUACUUCCUGCUUGAUUGAUAUUGAUGAUAUGAGUGUUACAAGAGUUGAUCUACCACGAGAUCAUAGAGGCUAAACCCUAGAAGCUAGCCUAUGAUGAUUAUGAUUCCGUCUCUAAGGACUAAACCCUCCGGUUUAUAUAGACACUGGAGGGGGCUAGGGUUUACAUGGAGUCGGCUACAAAGAAGGAAAUAUAAUAUCUGGAUUGCCAAGCUUGUCUUCCAUGCAAAGGAGAGUCCCAUUCGGACACGAGACGAGGUCUUGAGCCUUGUAUCUUCACGGUCCAACAGCCCGGCCAAAGUAUAUAGUCCGGCUGUCCGGAUACCCCCUAAUCCAGGACUCCCUCAGUAGCCCCUGAACCAGGCUUCAAUGACGAUGAGUCCGGCAUGCAGUCUUGUCUUCGACAUUGCAAGGCGGGUUCCAUCUUUGAAUACUCCAAAGUAAUUACCGAACACUUAAAACGUGUCUGGAUCUGCAAGACGAUCUUCACAUACCACCAUAGAGAGAAUGAUAUUUCACAAAUGUAAUCUGCGGGCAACUUUAGACAACAUGACAUAACACCACGGUCAGGUCAUCUUUCGAACCAUCUUCCCACAACCAGCCACAGCGCAUAUUGCGAGGUGGUCUCCUCUGCACGUCUUGCCGAAGCAGAGAUCACGUCCCCUUAUUACGGGAUUCUCAUCAAUACGGGUGUGGGUAGCCCAACCGCACCGCUAAUUGGGGCGAGUGGGGAACGAGCGGGUUCCACCAGGCAAGUGGGAAGGCGCAAAAACUUUUACCGCCUCUAUAAAGAGAUAAGGUCUCUUCCUUUUUACCCACGCCUUCCGCUAUUUCAUUCCCCUCUGUUUGAGCCCUAGAGCCCAAGCACUCUUCUUCUCCACCGAAGAGAGGUCCUCCAAAGAUGUCCGGAUCUGGAGUAGGAGGUAAAUGGAUGGCCUCUACCGUUCGGGAGAGGGACAUCAAAAAUCUCCGAGAGGCCAGGUACCUGGCCAAUAAAAUCGGCCACCGUCUUCCGCCGGCGGGACAGAUCGUCCCCACUCCGGGGCCCCACGAGAGGGUCGUGUUUCUUCCUCAUUUUGUCCGUGGUCUUGAGUUUCCCCUUCACCCAUUUGUUCGCGGCGUCAUGCAUUAUUACGGGAUUGAUUUUCAUGAUCUUUCCCCAAUUCUUUCCUUAACAUCUCGACAUUCAUCAUCGCAUGUGAGGCCUUUCUCCGUAUUUCGCCCCACUUUGGCUUAUGGCUGAAAAUCUUCAACAUAAAGCCCAAGGUGGUGAAAGGAGAGCACGCUGAAUGCAGCGGCGCCAUGGUGAGAAAGAUGCCCAAGGUCAUAUGGUCGAUGGGCGCCUUCAAUGAUUCCGUCAAGGAGUGGCAGCAGCAGUGGUUCUAUAUCACCAAACCGCACGGCAAAAAGUGGGCCGCUGCUCCCGAAUUCAGAUACGGAGCCCCACUGCGGCCCACGUUCUGGCCCGAGAAGGGCCUGAACUGGUCCUAAUCCGGCAAGCUGUCGAUGCUCCAAACGCGCGUCCAGAGCGUGGUCUACAAGGAUGUCAAACUCGUCAACGUAGUCCAGGUGAUGUUAGUUCGCCUGGUUCUCCCUUGCUAGAGUCGAGCCUACAAUUUGUGGGAAUAUGACCCGACCGAACACCAGACCCUACGAGAGCUCUAUGGAUCCUCCCACAAGGACAUCUGGAAGGUGCUCUUCAAGUCCGGCAAACCGUGGCCGGACUCCGCAGAGGACCGUGGGUAUCAACUAUCCCGCUCUCCAAGUCCGGUAAGUCAUUGCCAUGCUCUGUCCAUCCAUGUUUUAGCUGGCAUGUCCUGAGGGAGACGCUUUUAUCAUGCUUUACAAUAAUCCCAGGGGUGGAUGAAAAAGGUGGAGCGGAUACACUGUCCUGCCCUGCUGCCGGAGGAACCGACCGGACCUCUUGUGACGAAGAUGCUGGUCCCAGCGCCUUACGGGGCGCCAAAGAAAGAGGCCCCCAAGAAGGUCAAGAAGACCCAGAGUGGCCUCCGUCAUCGUGAUGCUUCAGACGCAAAAUCCAAAGACUCCAACGACCAUCCCUCCUCCGAAGACGAAGAGGAGGAGGAAGAAGACGAGUCCCCCGCAGGGGGAGGGAAGAGGACGGCUUCCUCAUCCCUGGAGGCCAAAUCGCCAAAGAGGGGCAAAGGUUCCCUUCCUGAGGGAUCCUCCACGGCUGCUGAUAGCAGCCCGGAGUGGGAUCCCAGGGUCCAGCCCCUGGCAAAGUCGUAAGUAUACAAAAUCCAAACACGCAUACGCGCCCGGGGUUAUUAGGAUGUAGUAGUUUUGACUGUCACCAUUCUUUUGUGCAGCCCAGCAAGGUCUCGCGCCGAACAGUCCUCCUCGGAGGAUUCGCUGAGCUCAAAUGCCCUGGAGAGCGAGACGCCUCAAGAGGCCCCUUCCCCGAAGCCUAUGCACGACACCGAGGUGUCGUCUCAGCGUGGCCUGGACCAGGGAGGACAUAUCUCUGGGGCCGGAUACAUGGGAGCAGCGGUUCCUAUGAAUGUCAACGGCGGGGGCGAUCUUGGAUUCGACCCGCAGCCGGACACAGUCCUGGAGGCCUUUAAAGCUCUAGGAUUGGGCGAGAAGCCCCCCUUGACGGAGGGAGGCCAGCCCGCUCCACCAGCAACCUCUUUCCAAGUAGAAUUGCCGGGCGGUCUAUCGACAACACUAGAAAGUGCAUCCAUCGUCGAUGAACAUCGCGCCCUCAUGGGUGUGGUUAUUGAGAAGAUUCAGUCUGCUGAGAGCGGGCUGAAUGAAUCCUGCCUUAGCCUUAUAAAAGGCUUUGAGGUAUGUUUUUAGGAACCUCUGGAAGAUUGUCAUAGUAUGAGUAGUAGCCCCUGAUGCAUUGUCCGGAGAAGAGAUAGAGAGAGCCGGACAGGGGAUCAAAUUUCCGUUUUGCAGGAGACUCAGUUAGUGACGUAUAUCCCUUUGUUUGAAAACAGGCGUCUGCAGGGACGACCGCCGCUCAUAGUGCGGAGGCGUCCAGACUAAAGCAGCGUCUGGAAGGCGCCGAAGAGGAACUUCGCCGCGUGAAGAAGCAGUUGGAGGACAAGCAAGGUAUGUCGAAACCUGUUUGCUAAGUUGAGCAUGAAUUAGAAGUUGUGCCUGAUGAAAAUAUUUGUAUUGUAUGUUCCAGGGGCGAAUGCCGAAAUGGAGGCACUGAAGAAGGAUGUGGCCAAAGCCAACGAGAAGGCCACCGCCGAGCAGGCUCUUCGUGAUAAACACGAGGCUAGGGUCAUUGAAGCUCAGCGAGAGCUCCAGGAGGCUGUGAAGAAAAGUGAGGCCUUGGAGCAGAGUUUAGCAGGGAAAGAAUCCAAACUCGCCCAAGCUCUCCAAGCCGCGGAGGAUGCACGGGAAGAAGCCUGAGGUGCUCUGAAGGACAUUCAGGAGGCACAGAAGGUUGCGGCUGGUAAGGCCUUUUGUACUCAGGGCCAUUUUUUCAUAGUAAUGGGGGCUCUAAGCGACAAGCUGAAUUCUUGUUUCUCCAGGUGUGUUUGCGGACCUGCUGAUGCUGCCCAAUUCUACCGGAGUGAGGAGAAGAAGUCUGCGGAGAAGGAUUUCUGGUCGCAGUAUUUGGCGCCGAACUAUCCGGUGCCCUUUAUCGAUCAGCUGAAGCAGCUGGUCAAACUGCACCAGGCGUCCGAACUAGCCAUGAAGGACUUGGUUGUUCGGCUAUGGCCCGCGGAGCCAAUUCCAAGCAGUUACUUUGGACUCGUGAAGCGGAUUGUUGGUGAUUGCCCUCGGCUCGAUGUCAUUAAGUGAUCGGUUUGCAUAGAGGGUGCGCUCAUGGCAUUUGCCCAUGCGAAGGUGCACUGGGGGAAGCUUGAUGCUGAGAAGCUGAUGACUGAGGGACCACCGGAGGGUAAGGAUCGCAAGCCCGAGUUAUACUAUGAAGGUGCCCUGAAAGGAGCCGGCCUUGUGGCGAAUUAGUGUAGACACUAUAUUUCCCUGAAGGUUGUCGUGCCAUUCUUUGUAAUGUGGGAUAAUGGCAAUUUUAUUAUUUAUUGCCUGUUUAUUUGUUCUUCCUGUGCAGCCGUUUAGUGUAUAUAAAACCUGAGGGUUGGCCAGUCGUCGGCUUCUGCCCCCACGUGAAAAGUAUGGGGGUGUUCGGGAUAUACCUGAACACUCUUUAUCCCAUUGUUGGGUCCUUUUAAGGAGGUGUUCCACACCACGAACCAGGCAAUCAGACUAUAGGGCUUUAUCACUCUCACUUAGCCAUAGGAAUUCGAGUAUGGUGGGCGCAACCCCUGGUGUUCAGAAGACCGUACUAGGGGCUCUAUCGGCGCCUGAUAGGAAAACCGAUCCGUCACACUUUGCAUUUAUAAUGGCAAUAUGCGGAAUAAAUCUUUAAAGAUUUUACAACCUCUCGAACAGCUGACCAGCUCUCGCCGUAUCAUGAUAGUCAGUUUUUGGCUUUCUCUACUAAGGUGCUUGUCCGGCAGAACCGGGACACAAUCGCAGUAAUUCUCCCGACGCUACCUUAGCCGAUAGAGCGGAACGUAAGGUACCAAAACAUGGGAGCCGGGCAAACCCAACUAAUGACCCAAGACAUGAUUCGGAGCUGGUGCAUAUAAUGCUAUAAGUUCGGGGUGCCGAGCGACCGAAAAGGUGGCUGGACUUUGUUGCCGUAUUAUGAGUAUUAUGAAGCCCCUGGCAUAGUGGGGCAUAAUACAAUGUACGGGUGCCGUUUAUGGAAAAAAUGGCGUCAAUGAAGAAUGACAACCGGUAAGUGUUAUUUAAGUCUACGCACUGUAGUAGGAUGACAUGUCUAUGCAUAUGAGUACGGUUUAUGAUUAUGAAAAGAGGUGUUUUUGGCGGAACCUGUCAUGGCCGGACUGGAGGAGGCUGUGUGUGGAUCUGAAGUGUAUCCGGACUGCCUCCUUUGGGGGGGGUACUUAUGCGUUCCUGCCCUUGUGCGUCCGAGCUGAUUCCACGUCGCCAGUCCUUUUCUACGCCAAAGUUAAUCUGUAAAGACAAAUGCUUGAAGGCAGCUGCAUGUCCUCUUGUGGUUGAACUGUGGGUGCCUCAUCGGAGCCUGGCUGAACCAGGCUGUCAUGCCGUAAAAUAGCGCGGACUCCUCAGUUGGUGUCCGGGUAGUUGGCUGCCGAAUCAAAAUUUGAUAAACAGGCACGCCUUGCUAUUCCAGCAGCGGUAUGAUUUCCCCUCUAAGGGUGGGGUUCAGCCCUGCCCAUAAUUGUGACUAUGUCACGCGGGACUAGCCUAAUGUUGUACCCCGCGGCUUGUCCCGGUAGUAUGUUGUAAUUACUGUAUAAGGGGACAAUGCCGAAGACUUAGUCUUCAGCGUGGUAUUUGCUUGGUGAUCCGAAGACAACCAUUAAUGUGGUGGGCCAGUAAAACUUGGCCUUUGCACCUGGCAUCUUUUAGAAGCUGUUAUUAAUAGUUUAUGACCGCGGGGGCUCGUAUGGGAUGGAGCCCCCAAACUAUUGGGUCGAUAGUGAGUGCAAUUAAAUUGCUAUGGUUGAUGUUGUCCGGACGGUCAAUGUGAUCGGAGAAGAUCGGCCGUUUGUGCUGUGGAGGAUCUUCUUUUGAUUUCGCCAUGUUUGGUUGGUCUUUCAUUGUUUGAAAACCUCCUUUCAUUGUUUCCGGCGCACGACUGGCCGUUUUGCAUUGAGGAUCCGGCAUUCUCUAUUGGUGUGCUUGGCCGCCCUUCUAGGGGUACCACGAAUUUCACAUGGUUGAUCGAGUAUGUUGCUUGGGCCGGAUGGGCUUGAGCUAUCUCUUGGGGCUCUUGUCUGAUAUGGGAAACACGGUUUUAGUCUGGGUGCAUGGGUGUAGCUGAAUCUGGAUUCUGAUCCGAUCUAAUGCCCAGGGGCAGAGGAGCUUCCGGGCUUGAUAGCUCGGGAUUCGGGGUGCCGCCCGAUUUUUAUGGCCUGAUACCCGAUUCUAAGUCCGGGGUCUGGGUCAUGUCCUCCCGUGAGCGGGUAUCUGGCUCAGGGAGCUCGGUAAUCCAGACAUAAUUCAUCCUCAAAAUAGAGGGACCAUCCGUACGUGGCUCCUCCACCACCGCUAUCUCGUGGGUGACCAGCGAGGAUUUAAUAUCCCUUUGGUCGGGUUUAAGCCCAAUUCGGUCAUAGUCUGUGGCGACUCCCAAAGCAGCGAUGCGAUCCAAGAGCUCAUUAAGGGAGGAGAGUUCCCUUGGAUCCAUCUGUUCGGCAAGUUCCGAAUUGACGUGGGGGCUAUUCGUGAUGACCCGAGAGAUCAUCGUCGACGCGACAGUCGAUUGGGCGACCAUGAAGAAGCCGCCUAGUCGGAGAGUUUGGCCUACAGCCAGUGCUCCCCCAGAGGUGAUGUUUUCCUUGACAACGAGGUGGGCCAUCAAGCCUUGCAGCGACGACACAGAGGAACUCUCAAUGAAAGCACCAAUGUCGGUGUCAAAACCGGUGGAUCUCGGGUAGGGGGUCCCGAUCUGUGCGUCUAAGGCUAAUGGUAACAUGAGGCAAGGGACACGAUGUUUUACCCAGGUUCGGGCCUUCUCGAUGGAGGUCAAACCCUACUUCCUGCUUCAUUGAUAUUGAUGAUAUGAGUGUUACAAGAGUUGAUCUACCACGAGAUCGUAGAGGCUAAACCCUAGAAGCUAGCCUAUGAUGAUUAUGAUUCCGUCUCUAAGGACUAAACCCUCCAGUUUAUAUAGACAUCGAAGGGGGCUAGGGUUUACAUGGAGUCGGUUACAAAGAAGGAAAUAUAAUAUCCGGAUCGCCAAGCUUGUCUUCCAUGCAAAGGAGAGUCCCAUCCGGACACGGGACGAAGUCUUGAGUCUUGUAUCUUCACGGUCCAACAGUCCGGCCAAAGUAUAUAGUCCGGCUGUCCGGAUACCCCCUAAUCCAGGACUCCCUCAAUGGGUGCGCCAUGUGAGCUUGUGGCUCACAGGUGCAUGAUUACCCACAAGUAUAGGGGAUCUAUCGUAGUCCUUUUGAUAAGUAAGAGUGUCGAACCCAACGAGGAGGAGAAGGAAAUGAUAAGCAGUUUUCAGUAAGGUAUUCUCUGCGAGCACUGAAAUUAUCGGUAAUAGAUAGUUUUGUGAUAAGGUAAUUCAUAACGGGUAACAAGUAACAAAAGUAAGCAAGGUGGCCCAAUCCUUUUUGUAGCAAAGGACAAGCCUGGACAAACCCUUAUAUAAGAAAAGCGCUCCCAAGGACAUAUGGGAAUUAUCGUCAAGCUAGUUUUCAUCAUGCUCAUAUGAUUCGCGUUCGUUACUUUGAUAAUUGGAUAUGUGGGUGGACCGGUGCUUGGGUACUGCCCUUCCUUGGACAAGCAUCCCACUUAUGAUUAAUCCCUCUCACAAGCAUCCGCAACUACAAAAUAAUAAUUAAGGUAAACCUAACCAUAGCAUGAAACAUAUGCAUCCAAAUCAGCCCCUUACGAAGCAACGCAUAAACUAGGGUUUAAGCUUCUGUCACUCUAGCAACCCAUCAUCUACUUAUUACUUCCCAAUGCCCUAGGCCCAAACAAUGGUGAAGUGCCAUGUAGUCGAUGUUCACAUAACGCCACUAGAGGAAAGAUAACAUACAUCUCAUCAAAAUAUCAAACAAAUACCAAAUUCACAUGACUACUUAUAAUAAGACUUCUCCCAAGUCCUCAGGAACAAAUGUGACUACUCACAAAUCAUAUUCAUAUUCAUAAUCAGAGGGAUAUUAAUGUGCAUAAAGGACUGAACAUAUAAUCUUCCACCGAAUAAACCAACUAGCAUCAACUACAAGGAGUAAUGAACACUACUAGCAACCCACGGGUGCCAAUCUGAGGUUUUGAGACAAAGAUCGGAUACAAGCUAGGGUUUGAGAUGAGACGGUGCUGGUGAAGAUGUUGAUGGAUAUUGACCCCCUCCUGAUGAGAGGAUCGAUGGUGACGAUUUCCCCCUCCCGGAGGGAUGUUUCCCCGGCAGAACAGCUCUACCAGAACCCUAGAUUGGUUCCGCCAAGGUUCCGCCUCGAGACGGCGACGCUUCAUCUCGAAAGCUUCCUUAUGAUUUUUUUCCAGGGCAAAAGACACCUUAUACCAGAAGAUGGGCAUCGGGGGGCUUCCAGGUGGCCCACGAGGCAGGGGGCGUGCCCAGGGGGUAGGGCACGCCCUCCACCCUCGUGGACAGUGGGUGGCCCCCCUCUGGUGCUUUCUUCGCCCAAUAUUUUUAAUAUAUUCCAAACUGACUUUCGUGGAGUUUCAGGACUUUUGGAGUUGUACAGAAUAGGUCUCUAAUGUUUGCUCCUUUUCCAGCCCGGAAUUCCAGCUGCCGGCAUUCUCCCUCUUCAUGUAAACCUUGUAAAAUAAGAGAGAAAAGGCAUAAGUAUUAUGACAUAAUGUGUAAUAACAUCCCAUAAUGCAAUAAAUAUCGAUAUAAAAGCAUCAUGCAAAAUGGACGUAUCGACUCCCCCAAUCUUAGACCUUGCUUGUCCUCAAGCGGAAGCCGAUAUCGAAAAAUAUGUCCACAUGUUUAGAGAUAGAGGUGUCGAUAAAAUAAAAUACGGACAUGAGGGCAUCAUGAUCAUUCUUAGAAUAGCAACACACACACACACACAAAUAUAUAUAUAUAUAUAUAUAUAUAUAUAUAUUGUCAUAUGAUUUCUUAUGCUGAAGUAACAACCUAUUCACAAUGUAAAGUAUGAAUCAGAAACUUCAUUAAAAACUAGCAAACUAUGAUCUCAGUCAUUGAAGCAAUUGCAAUUUAUCAUAACAUCAGAAAGAGUCAAUAUAAGAGCUUUUCAGCAAGUCCACAUACUCAACUAUCAUUUAGUCUUUCACAAUUGCCAACACUCACGCAAUACUUAUGGGUAUGAAGUUUUAAUAAGACACAGAGAAAGAUAGGGGCUUAUAGUUUUGCCUCCCAACCUUUUACCUCAAGGGUAACGUCAACAAUAAUGCUUUAUGAAAACCCACAUCCAAUUAGAUAUAUAUAUAUAUAUCAGGAUCUUUCCAACACAUAGUGCUUGCCAAAGGAUAAAGUGUAAAAAGGAAAGGUGAAGAUCACCAUGACUCUUGUAUAAGGUGUAAGACAAAAAAAAGAUAGGCCCUUCGCAGAGAGAAGCAGAGGUUGUCAUGUGUUUUUAUGGUUGGAUGCACAAAAUCUUAAUGCAAAAGAACGUCACUUUAUAUUGCCACUUGUGAUAGGGACCUUUAUUAUGCAGUCUGUCGCUUUUAUUUCUUCCAUAUCACAAGCUUGUAUAAAUCUUCUUUUCUCCACACUAAUAGAUCAUACAUAUUUAGAGAGCAAUUUUUAUUGCUUACAACAAUGACAACUUACUUGAAGGAUCUUACGCAAUCCAUAGGUAUAUAUGGUGAACUCUCAUGGCAAAAGUGGCUUUAAGGAUAUUUGGAAGCACAAGUAGUAUCUCUACUUGGUGCAAAGAACUUGGCUAGCAUGAGGGGGAAAGGCAAGCUCAACAUGUUGGAUGAUCCAUGAAAAUAUAAUUUAUUUCGGUAUAAGAAAACAUAACCCAUUAUGUUGUCUUCCUUGUCCAACACCAACUUUUUAGCAUGCCAUAUUUUAAUGAGUGCUCACAAUCAGAAAAGAUGUCCAAAACCAAGAUAGUAUAUUUUAAUGAGUGCUCACAAUCAACUUUUUAGCAAACCAAGAUAGUAUAUUUAUAUGUGAAAACCUCUCUUUCUUUAUUACUUCCUAUUAAUUGCACGAUGACCAAAACUAUGUUUGUCAACUCUCAAAACUUUUAUUCAUCAUACUCUUUAUAUGUGAAGUCAUUACUCUCCAUAAGAUCAAUAUGAUCUCUUUAUUUCUUUUUAUUCUUUCUUUUUCUUUUAUUCCCUCAAGAUCAUAGCAAGAUAGCAAAGCCCUCGACUGAAGACUAAUCUUUAUUAUAUAUAGCCCACGGACUCUAUUACAUAGAUAAGGAUCAACACAAAAACUCAAAGCUAGAUCAUACUAAACUUUAUCUACUAGAUCAAUAUAUAACCAAAAUGAAAUGCCUUGUAACAGAUGAGUGUCCGUCCGAAACCCUGAUACUUCGAAAGAGAUUGUCCAUUUUGUACACGAAGUGCAUCCAAAUUUUGCCAUAACCCUCUCUAUUUUUUGCAUAUGCUAUGUGGGUGAAAUGAUGAUACCAAGCCAACUUUUAACUUUUUCAGAGUUCAUUUGAAGUGUUUUUCAAUUUCAGGGUCAUUUAGCUAAAAAACAGUAAAUGCAUGAAAAAUAGCAAAUGAAGUCAGAAAGGGUUGAAAAUUGAUGACGUGGCUUUGAAUGGUGCAUACUGAACGGACAAAAAGUCUGGAGUUGUAAUAGUUAAAAAAUGAAAUGUCUUUGUAACAGAUGAGUUUUCAUUCGAAACCCUGAUACUUCGAAAGAGAUUGUCCCUUUUGUACACGAAGUGCAUCCAGUUUUUGUCGCAACCCUCUCUACUUUUUUGCACAUCCUAUAUGGGUGAAAUGAUGAUACCAUGACAACUUUCAACCUUUUUAGAAUUCAUUUGAAGUGUUUUUCAAUUUCAGGGUCAUUUAGCUAAAAAAAUCAGUAAAUGCAUGAAAAAUAGCAAACGAAGUCAGAAAGGGUUGAAAAUUGAUGACGUGGCUUUGAAUGGUGCAUACUGAACGCACAAAAAGUCUGGAGUUGUAAUAAUUUAAAAAAUGAAAUGACUUUGUAACAGAUGAGUUUUCGUCCGAAUCCCUGAUACUUCAAAAGAGAUUGUCCCUUUUGUACGCGAAGUGCAUCCAGUUUUUGCCAUAACCCUUCCUACUUUUUUGCACAUGCUACGUGGGUGAAAUUAUGAUACCAUGCCAACUUUCAACCAUUUCAGAGUUCAUUUGAAAUGCUUUUCAAUUUAAGGGUCAUUUAGCUCAAAAAAAUAGCAAAUGAAGUCCUACAUAAUGCAUGAAAGAAUUUGUUUGAACAUAAUAUAUCUUCGUGUUUCAAAUGCCAAAACACAUAAGUACCCUAACUAUUACAAAGAUUCCCUCCGAUUUGUUCGAAGUGGGACUUUCCAGAUAUAUAAGUCCGUAAACUCACUAGAGAAGAAAGUGAUGACAGUGAAGCCGAUCACAUCCCAGAGUGGGAUCUUUGGGUGUGAAACUUUUUCUUCGCGUGUGUCCCUUUGCGCCAUAACCAUGGACAAUCUUCAUCAUUUUACUAGAUGCUCGGGUCAAUAUUCACUGUGAAUGGAGCAAUUUCAUCAAACUUUCAUAAUCUUCUGACAUGUCUGUCUUGUCAUCCACUCCCACGACGUUUCUUUUUCCUGAAAGAACUAUGUGGUGCUUUAGCUUAUCGUAUGAUGUAUUUGCUUCCUUAUCUUUUCUUUUUCUCGGCUUGGUAGACAUGUCCUUUACAUAGAAAACCUGCGCCACAUCAUUGGCUAGGACGAAUGGUUCGUCUGCAUACGCAAGAUUGUUGAGAUCCACUAUUGUCAUUCCGUACUGCGGGUCUUCCAUUACUAGCCUCGUGUCAUAUUGACCCAUUUGCACCGAAACAAAGGGACCUUCAAACCACGUCCAUAGUCAAGUUCCCAUAUGUCCUCUAUGUAACCAUAAUAUGUGUCCUUUCCUGUCUUGGUUGCUGCAGCAUAGCGGACACCACUGUUUUGGUUGGUGCUCUUCUUAUCUUGGGCGAUCGUGUAAAAUGUAUUCACAUUUAUCUCGUACCCUUUGAAAGUCAUUAUAUUCGAAUAUGGUAACUGGGAUAAUAAGUACAGGUCAUCUUCAAUAGCGGCGUCAUGCAUGGCACAUGUCUGCAACCAACCGGUGAAAGUCCCCAUUUGUUCACGUUUAAUCCAGUUGUCAGACUGCUCCGGGUGUUUGGAGCGUAGAAAAUUCUUGUGUUCCUCCAUAUACGGAGCCACCAAGGCGGAAUUCUGUAGAACUAUGUAGUGUGCUUGAGUGAGACAAGGCAUAAAACCAUCCGCCCACUUGUUUGCCUCAGCCGUAAGCAGAAAAGUAUGCACGCCAUCAACGAACUGGGGAGGGUAUCGGUCAUCGUACAUCCAUUGUUGGCUCAUCUUCAUCACACAACACCGAAUAGACCAAAUUAAUACAAGUUCAUACAACACUUAUUCUCAUAAAACUAACAUACAAAUAACUCUCUAGCAAAAGCAUUUAAAUGCAACAACAAAUGCGAUCAACAUCGCAACUAAGGUAACAAUUGAUCCAACAACAUAAUGAUACCAAGCCUCACUAUCAAUGGCAUAUUUUCUAAUCUUUCUAUUCUUCAAGCACAUUUUCUCCAUCUUAAUCUUGUGAUCAUUGACGACAUCGACAACAUGCAACUCCAAUUCCAUCUUCUCCCCCUCAAUUCUUUUUAUUUUUUCUUUCAAAUACUCGUUUUCUCUUUCAACUAAAUUUAACCUCUCGACAAUAGGGUCAAUUGGAAUUUCCGGUUCACAUACCUCCUAGAUAAAAAUAUCUAUGUCAACUUGAUGGGCAUACUUUGUCAUAAACACGAGAUGCAACAAAUAGUUUUAAAAGAGAAUAUACCACAUCCAAAUCAUAACCCGGACGAGGGUCGGAGGGUACGGAUAUCAAAACCAUGGCACUAUAUAUAACAAACAACGUACGGGUAAGAUAGUUAUACAAGUAACUAUAUAUCUAAAUCACACAAACAUGAUUUUUUAUAUAUAAAAAAGAUAAGAACAAGAGGCUCACCACAAGGUGGUGCCGGCGACGGGUCGGUGGGACGAUCGAUGGUGGUUAGGACGGAGACGGAAAGGCACUAAGUAAACCACACCUAUAUAUGCAAACUAGGAGUUAUUUUGAGCUCAGAUUGCAUAUAAAUCAAAUAAACUACCACAUAUAAUUCCUCCCAAAUUACUAAAACCCACAAAUUAAUCACUAUAUAAAGUAUUGCAAGAGCUAAUCUAGCAAUGAAAGAUGAAAGGACAAAGUUGCUAACCUUUGUGAUCACUUGAAUGGAUGAGGGCCUUCAAAUCUUGACAAAAUUUGGGCAAAAUGUGUGAUGAGCUCGAGGAAGAGGGGAAGAACAGAGAGGAGAGGGGAAAGGGGAAGAACAGAGCGAGAUUGAUCGCGGGUGGACGAAGGAUUUAUAUAGGAACACCUUUAGUCCGGUUCAGGGCACAAAUCGGGACUAAAGCUCAGCCUCUAGUACCGGUCCGUACCACGAACCGGGACUAAAGGUGUUGGUGGGGCCGCAGCCUGACACCAUCCUGCCACCACCCCUUUAGUACUGGUUUGUGGCACGAACCAGUACUAAAGGUUCGCUACGAACCGGUACUAAUGAUCGCCGCCCGCCUAGCCAUUGGAACCGGCACUAAUGAUCACAUUAAUGCCGGUUCAGUUACAAAUCGGGACUAAUGUGCUUCACAUUAGGCCCUUCUUCUACUAGUGAUUGCAUUUGAUUUGCUGUAAUUGAUCCUUAAUCCCGAGGUUUCACCAAAGAUGUCAAAGGUCGCUUUCAUGAAUGUGAUAUCUUGUAGAGAUGGUCUCAAGAAAAACGCCAUGUCAUCAGCUUAUAAAGACAAUCUUUGGGUGACCGAGACUCCUCUAAACGAGCUGAGCACUCCUUCCUACUGCAUCGUAUCGUAUGCAGUCUCUGUCUUUCAGCACGGCGUCGGUGUUCGCCGCCACGGCCGGCUGCUUUGCUCGAUGCACACAACAUGCUUGUUCAAAUGCCAGAGAGAAAGAGAGGAGGAAGGGGGAGGAGGUUGAUGCUGACGUGUGGGCCCCACCUAUAAUAACCGUCAAAAUAAACGACGUUGACUUUUCUGCCACGUCGGUCCUGCCGGUUGGUCCCGCUUGUCAUAAACGUAUCUAAAUCCAAUAACGCGGUCACCACCCGAAAGUUGUAGUUUUUAGGGACGAAUUAUGAAAAAAGUGGUAGUCUUUUUAUUAAAAAUUUAGAAGUUGUAGUACUGUGGGAUGCAAAUCACAAUAGUGAUAGCUUUUUGUCAAAUACUCAUCAUACAGAGCUUUUUGUUACAAUGAAAAGGCACACACAUCACAUGCCUAGUAGAAAUACAUUGAUGUUAAAUUCACAUCAUCACGAGUUUAAACUGUGAAGUUCCGCACCCAUGAUCUUCUUUGAAAGGACAAAUUUCUUCAAUGUGGCGCUUUUACUCUUAAUUUGAAGAUCUAUAGAUACGCUCCAAUAUCCAAAAAACUCAACGGGAAAUGAUACAGGAAACAUUUAGUUUACACUCAUCUACUCCUUUCAUUCCUACAUAUAAGUCUUUUUAGAGAUUUCAAAUGGACUACAAUAUACGUGUAUAUAGACAUAUUUUAGAGUGUAGAUUCACUCAUUUUGCUUCGUAUGUAGUUCCUUUUUGAAAUCUUUAAAAAGAUUUAUAUUUGGAAACGGGGAGAGUAGAACUUUUUUUUCUUCUGAAAUGACAGGAUUCCUGUAUUCAGAAAAGAGUUACUCAAUUAAUUUGAAAAAACCGAGCGAAAACAAGGUUGCCUAGUUAAUUGUGAAGAAACAAGCGCAAACCAUCACAACCGUUGAGCGGCACACAAAAGAUACUCCACGCACAACACUCCAAAGAGGGCAUCGCCGAGACACCCAGGCGUCAUCAUCCUCACUCCUCCCUUGGAGCCGUCAUCAUCAUCCUAAGAACCCUGAGCAAACGACUCCGACUUCACUGUAGGCCAUCAUGGACCCGACCCAUCCAACCCACGUUGUAGAGGCCGUGUGGAGAUGUAUGAAGAUCCGCCGUAGUAGAUCAUCGACUGGACCCCACAGAAGAUUAAUUAUCAAGGUUUCAAAGAAACUAAAAAAAUGCUAGAACAGUGAUAGACAUGUGGAAUUUCAAGUUCGAGCUCAUGCUCAUUUGUGAGGUAUGUACAAAAACCAACCGAGUAUGAGUAUGAAUUUGGACACAUGCUUACGGAACAUCAUCCUCCCAAUAUAUUACAUUUUGUUUCAUCUUUUGAUUUCGAGAUAUUCAACCUCUCCUGUCGCUUUCACUCGUUUGCACCGUAUUGUCGUUGCCAUGGGAUGCUUUGCCAUCUCGAGGGCCAUAGGGAGAAUCAUUCUCGCGUAUUUCUUCAAACCCCGCACGUCCCAAAACACCGAAGUAACAUAGAUGACCAAGAUUGCUAGCCUGCGUCACAGUUGAUAGGAUGCAUGCAUGUUAGCCAAACCUUCAAUCAAUUGCACAAUCACUGACAUGUCAACGAUCCUAUAAUGCACACAAACCUGACAUAAUUGCCAAGGGCCGCAGUGCUUUUCCUAUGAUAUUUGACAAGCAGAGCGAUGAUUAUACCUGCACAGAUAACACGUAUAAUUGUAGAGGUCAGUAAAAAGAUAGGGUAUGUCUAGGGCAUAUCUAGAUGUGACGUAGUUAUGUCACAUCUAACUUGAUGUCCACUAUGUUUGUGGUUUAUUUUUUUUGUCCCAGUUUUUUUUUUAUUUCUUGUUGCUGCGUUAUUUAUGGGAGCUUAGAUGUGACAUUCUUAAAAAAUAUCUAGAUGUAAAUUAGACAAACAGAAAAAGAUACUACUUCAAAAUGUGGAAUCCUGCGGUGAAGUACUUUAAAACUGUAAGGUAAAAUAAUGCAAUUAGUUACGGAGAUCCUCCGGAAACUACCUUAGUUUAGACCGAUCCUAAACCCUAACAGUAUCGCUAAGGCUCAGUUUAUGCUAUAUUCGUGAGAUCUUACAUUGAGAUUCAUAUUUUUUCCCCUCUCCUGCAUGCUAUGUCACUUGAGUGAGAAUUGGUUAAAUCUCAGUCGACUGAAACCUAGCCACACCCAAACCCUAAACCCUAAGAAAGAAAGCAUCAAGGUGGGGGAGAUGGACUCACCAAGUUUAAUCCGGAUUAUCCAGUCAGGGGAGAAGCCACACCGCCGGACGUCGGCCGCGAUGGUGCUGAGCUUGUAGAAGGCGUAGUACAUGGCGACCUCGAUGCACGUGGAGGGACUAAGCUUCCACAGUUGGUACAUCCCCAUACACGUCAUGAUGGCGCCGAAGGGCAUGCCGAUCUGGAACUCCUGGGUGUCGAAGACGCUCUUGAGACUCCGCAGGUCGUCGAGGAGUUCCCGGAGUGGGCGGACCACGCCGGUGACAGCGCCUAUGACGGAGGCCUUUGCCUCCUUGGACUCACGCCGGAACCGCUCGUUGAUGGCGGCCUGGCUGAAGUCCGCGGUUUCGAACUCUUGGAUCUCCCUGACGGUCAGCCCCGCGGGAUACACGACGUCGUCGAGGUCGCCCCAGUCGUCGACGUCGUCGUGCGAGCACUCGCCAAGGCCUGUGGUGGGCGCGAGCUCGCGGGGAUCCUCGACGGCCGGGCCGCUCAGAACCAAGGCGUCGGUGCCAUCGCUGACCGUGGUGGGCGCGAGCUCGUGGGGAUCCUCGACGGAGGGGCCGCUCAGAACCAAGGCGUCGGUGCCAUCGCUGAGGACCAUGGCCACGGCAUCGUGUAAGACAAUAGGCUUUGGGGGGAACCGGCACAACCCUCUAGAGGUGGCCUAUCACAUAUAUAUAUAUAUAAUGAGGUGGUAUACAACGUUACAAUAUACACAUGUAAAUACAGUCUAACACCCUCCCUCAAUCUUAGCCACUUUCUAAUGAAUCUAGAAGGGUAAGAUUGCGCCUGCAAGUCUCAAACUGUGGCAAAGGCAAUGGCUUGGUGAAGAUGUCAGCAAGUUGAUCCUUGGAAGAAAUAAACUUGAUCUGUAGUUGCUUCUGAGAGACACGUUCACGCACAAAGUGAUAGUCAACUUCAAUGUGUUUCGUUCGGGCAUGGAAUACCGGAUUUGCAGAAAGGUAUGUAGCACCGAUGUUAUCACACCAAAGAACAGGAGGCUGUGAUUGGGGUAUACUUAACUCCUGAAGCAAGGACUGUACCCAGAUGAUCUCUGACGUGGCAUUGGCCACAUCCUUAUACUCAGCCUCAGUACUGCUACGCGAGACAGUAGCCUGUUUCCGAGCACUCCAGGCAAUCAGGUUAGAGCCAAAGAAGACAGCAUAACCCCCCGUGGAUCGUCUGUCAUCCGGAUUGCCAGCCCAGUCUGCAUCAGAAUAUGCUGAAAGACAACCAGAGUCAGACGGCCGAAUAUGCAAACCAUGAUCCACCGUGAAACGAAUAUAGCGCAAAAUCCGCUUAACAGCAGACCAAUGAGUGUCACGGGGUGACUGCAGAUACUGGCAGACUCGGUUAACAGCAUAGGAAAUGUCUGGUCGCGUGAUCGUCAAGUACUGGAGCCCACCAACAAUACUCCUGUACUCUGUCGCAUCAGAAGAAGAAAGAAGCACACCAUCAACAGCAUUGAGCUUAUCAGUGGUAGACAUGGGUGUAGUCGUCGGUUUGCACUUAAGCAUCCCAGCUCGCUGCAACAAAUCCAGAGAGUACUUCUUCUGCGUCAUAACAAGGCCAGCAUCACGAGAAGUAACCUCCACACCAAGAAAGUAAUGAAGCUUCCCAAGGUCCUUGACCGCAAAAUCAGCACCAAGUGAGCGAACAAGCGCAGUAGCAGCCGACUGAGAGGAGCUGACCAAAAUGAUAUCAUCUACAUAGACCAACAAGUACAUAGUAACCUCAGGCCUUUGAAGAAGAAACAAUGAGGAGUCAGCAGUUGAUGAUGCAAAACCAUGAGCACGAAGAGCCAUUGCAAGACGAGCAUGCCAAGCACGAGGAGCCUGCUUCAGACCAUAAAUUGCCUUGGAUAGACGACAGAGAUGAUCAGGGCGAUCCGGAUCAGAGAAACCCGGAGGCUGGCGCAUGUAAACCUCCUCCGCCAAGACACCAUGAAGAAAAGCAUUUUGAACAUCAAGCUGACGAAGAAACCAACCUCGAGUAACAGCCAGAGAGAGAAGAAGUCUGAUGGUAGUAGGCUUGACCACUGGACUGAAGGUGUCUUCAUAGUCAAGUCCAAAACGCUGUCGAAAACCACGAGCAACCAGACGAGCCUUAUAGCGCUCAAUGGACCCAUCAGAAUGCCUCUUCACUUUGAAAACCCAUUUGGAAUCAAUGACAUUUACCCGUGAUUGUGGAGGAAUAAGAGUCCAUGUCUGAUUGCGAAGAAGCGCUUGAUACUCCUGCUCCAUGGCCUCUCUCCAAUGAGGAAUGUGCAUAGCACCUUGAUACGUGCGUGGCUCAGAGGAUGGAUCUGCGAGAGCAGCAGACAUGCACGCCGCUAACCAAACAACUGUGCCAUCGUGACGUUGCUUAGGCUGAAAAAUGCCACUCCGACUGCGCGUAUGUGGACGUAGAGCAGCAGCAGGAGCCGGCGGAGGCGAAGGUGACGGAGACGUGACGGUCACUGGAGAUGCAGGAAUCACCUCAGGCGAGCUCGGGACAGACGACUCCGGGCUGCAUGGCGAAGACUGGCCCGACGACAGGGACUCAGAGGCCAUGGGCGAACCGAGAGUGGGCGAGGCCAGCUCCGGUGACACCGGCCCAGACGGCCUUGGCGAGGCGAGAGCAGGCGAGGCCGACCCUGGUGAGAAGGGCCCAGACACCCUGGGCGAGGCAGGGGCGGGCGAGGCCAGGCCUGGUGAUGACUGCCCCGACGCCCUGGGCGAGACGGGGACCGAGGAGGCUGGCCCAGUCGGCGGGGUUGCAGGGCGCGACGAUGGCGAAGGCAGCCCAGAAGCUAGAGGCGACCGGGCCAGGACGUCGAUCGGCCGUGCAUGAGCACGGAAACCGAGGCCAUGCAGGGGCGCCAUGUGCUCCCAUGCACAACAGAAGGUGCCGAGGAUGAAGGCGAUGGCGACGAAGAGGAAGAUGGCACUUCCAGAAUCUCCAAACGAGCCCCACGACCAGUGCCUGCACCAUGGUUAGGCAAUAAUAGAGGAGAAUAUGCAACAUCAUCAAAUUGGUCAGAAGCAACAGAGGAUGAAUGCAUGACAGGUGGCUCGGUAGUGGACACACGAAGUUUGGCAAAGGGAAAAACAUGCUCGUCAAACACAACAUCCUGAGAGAUGUAGACACGAUUAGUGGGCACAUGAAGACAUUUAUAUCCUUUAUGAAGAGAGCUAUAACCAAGAAAAAGACACUUCUUGGAACGAAACUCGAGCUUACGCUUGUUAUAUGGACGGAGAUGGGGCCAGCAAGCACACCCAAACACCUUGAGAAAGGUGUAGUCCGGUUGUUCAUUAAGGAGAACUUCAAUGGGAGUCUUCAUAUUCAAAACACGAGUGGGAGUACGAUUGAUGAGAAAACAUGCAGUGGUGAAAGCAUCACUCCAAAAACGAAACGAAACAGAUGCAUGGGCCAAAAGAGUCAGACCAGCUUCAACAAUGUGACGAUGCUUACGUUCUACUGAACCAUUCUGCUGAUGUGUAUGUGGACAUGCUAAACGGUGAGUGAUCCCAAGCGACUGGAAGAAGGAGUUGAGGUUGCGAUACUCGCCACCCCAGUCCGACUGAACAUGAACAAUUUUGUGCUUGAGAAGGCGUUCAACAUGUUUUUGGAACUGAACAAAAAUGUCAAACACAUCAGAUUUACGUUUGAUAAGAUAAAGCCAAGUAAAGCGGCUGUAAGCAUCAACAAAACUGAUAUAGUAAUUAUGACCACUAACAGAAGUCUGAGCAGGACCCCAUACAUCUGAAAACACAAGUUCUAAAGGAUGUUUCACCUCACGACUGGACUCCGAAAAAGGAAGUUGAUGACUCUUCCCCUGCUGACAAGCAUCACACACUGCUACAUCUUUAUUACUAGACACACUAGGAAGCUCAUGACGACGCAAAACAUGCCGGACAAUAGGUGUGGCCGGGUGACCAAGACGAGCAUGCCACUGUGACGGAGAUACCCAAACUCCACUGAAGACGCGAGCGACGCCAGGAUGCUCCAGACGAUAGAGACCUUGGCAGAGCCGCCCACUAAGAAGAAUGUCCCUCGUGCCCCGAUCCUUAAUAAAAAGAUCAAAAGGAUGAAAUUCACAAAGCACAUUAUUAUCACGAGUGAGUUUAGGAACUGAAAGAAGAUUACGUGUCACAGAUGGAACUCGAAGAACAUUGCGAAGUUGAAGACUCCUAUUGGCAUGUCUAGUGAGAAGUGAUGCUUGACCAAUAUGAGAGAUGUGCAUACCUGCUCCAUUGGCGGUGUGGAUCUUGUCGGAGCCAUGGUAGGGUUCACGAGUGUGAAGCUUCCCCAUCUCACUGGUCAGGUGCUCUGUCGCCCCAGAGUCCAUGUACCAGUGGGGAUCAAUGGAGUAGGACUGAGUGUGUCCCUGUGGCUUCUGCGGCGGCGGACGAUCAGCCAUGGCGACCUGACGAGCAAAGUUGCGUGUAUCCUUCUCGUCAUUGUCGAGACCAAGAAAACCCCGCUGGAAGCGCUUGUGACACUUCGAGGCCCAGUGCCCAUCGCGACCACAAAGCUGGCACACACGUGGACCGCCAGCCCCUGGUAGCGUCGCAGUAGGAGGAGGGGCCGAGGCGGGUGGUGGUGACUGCCCCGAAGGAGCCCUGGAUGAAGCAGAGGAGCGACCACCCUUGGUGGCGGCGUUUGCCGAGAGGGCACCGUUGCCCCUGGAUCGGCGCGUCUCGACUCGUUGCUCAGUAAGCAGGAGGCGUGAAAAGACCUCGUGUGCUGGCAUGGGCGUGGAGUUGCCCCUCUCAUUGAUGAUCUCGACUAGGGCGUCAUACUCCUCAUCAAGACCAUUGACAAUAAACGAGUUGAACUCGGAGUCGGUGAGGGGCUGUCCAAUGGAGGCCAGCGUGUCGGCGAGACUCUUGACUUUGUUGUAGAACUCAGUGGCGGUGGAGUCAAGCUUCUGACACUCCCCAAGUUGGCGACGGAGCCCAGAUACACGAGCCUGCGACUGUGCCGCAAACGAGCGCUCAAGAAUAGUCCAUGCCUCGUGGGACGUCUUGGAGAAGACAACAAGCCCAGCAACGGCCGGAGAGAGCGACCCCUGGAUGGAGGAGAGGUUCGCCUGAUCCUGCCCUGUCCAGACACGGUGAGCCGGGAUUAUAGACCGGACCGUGCACGCUGUCAACCAGCGCAGGAGGGCAAGGGAGAGAGCCGUCGACAUAGCCAAGCAGAUAGUGACUCCCAAGAAGCGGAAGAACCUGCGCGCGCCAGAAGAUGUAAUUGUCCGACGACAACUUGAUGGUGAUGAGAUGGCCGAAGUGAAACGGCGGCGGCGGCUGCGAUCCCAUCGAGGAGACUGGCUGAGGUGAGACCACCGUGGAGACAGUCAGAGGGGCAGCCGGCGCGGUGACAGAGGGCGCGAUGGCCGCGGUUGACGCCGCGAAGCCUGCCAGCGCGACGUCCUCCGCCACCAGCGGCGCAGUGGCCGAGGGCGCGACAGCCGCGGUUGACGGGGCGGUGGCGGUGUGGGCCACAAGCGCCUGCCCGGGCGAAGUAGCAGCCGGCGGGAGCGCGAAGAGGGAGCCGACGCUCCGUGUCCCGAUCGGCGCCUGAAGGGAGGCGGCAUCCAGCGGCCUCGAGAGAAGUGCCGCGAGGAAGGCCGGCAGAAAACCGGUGGCGGUGGAGCCGGACGCAGCGGCAGAACGUCAUAGCAGUCGGGCGACGGCGACGGCAGGCGCGGCGGUGGCGGCGGCGGCGGCGGCGGCGGCGGUUUAGGGUUUUUAGGCGGAAGCGGACGUAACCUAGCGUGAUACCAUGUAAGACAAUAGGCUUUGGGGGGAACCGGCACAACCCUCUAGAGGUGGCCUAUCACAUAUAUAUAUAUAAUGAGGUGGUAUACAACGUUACAAUAUACACAUGUAAAUACAGUCUAACACAUCGUGAUGGUCUUCGUCGUCCUCGCCGAUGCCCGUGGUGGCCGCGAGUUUGCGGAGCUCCUCGACGGCCGAGCCGUCCAGAACUAAGUCGUCUGUGCCAUCGCUGAGGACCAUGGCCACGACAUCGUGAUGAUCUUCGUCGUCCACGUCCUCGCCGAUGUCCGUGGUGCCCGCGCGCUCGCGGGGCUCCUCGACGGCCGGGCCGCCCAGAACCAAACCGGCAUCGGUUUCGUCGCUGUGGUCCAUGUCCACGACAUCGCAGUGGUCGUCGACGGCCGGAUCGCUCCAAGGCGCGCUCUCGGGAUCAGAAUAGCAGCGGUGCACGCGCGGGCGCAGCGCCGACAGUGACAUGGACAGGGAGCGCGGCGCCGUUUGCGGUAGACGUACGCGAGCAGGGGCGGCGGGCGGGGAGAAUGGGGAGGCCGGAUGCCGCCGUGGCGCGGUGUAAACCCUCGCGGCCGGCCCAAGACACGACGCCAUCACGUACCUGUCGACCGACUCGAUCUGUCGACGGGCUUAUUCGGUGCUUUGUCGGUUGAACCCAGGACCCGUACGUAUAUGGCGAGGAGAGCCUUGUCCUCGCCGUUUUAUCCCCAAAUCGUUUCCUAUACUGAGGCAACCCAGAUCCUGAUUCUAAUCCCGAGUCGCUCAUGGGUUGGCCGAGCAAAACACUGACCGCCACCGCCCCGUCUGCUCUCCUUCUUGCCUGUAUCUUCACCGAAGGAGGAAGCUAGUGGACAAAGCCUGUCUGAUGAACGGUGGCGUUGGGCUCGUCUCCUUCCGCCCUACGAGUCCUCGCGGUCGCGGUUGGAGUGUGCCUCGCAGCGGAUGUCGGCCGCGGCCCAUCUCGCCGGUGGUCAUGCCGCAGCGGCUUCGGGGAGGGGUAGCGUGGUGGCCUGCUUGUCCGUGCGGCGGCAGGUCCAGCGUGGCUGACCUUGGGGCGGCAUGCGAGGGAUUCGGAACCAAGUGACUUGAUCUGACGGUCGCAAAGGCGGUUGCCGUUGUAUGGGCGACAACGGGGGCUUGCGUGAGGGUGGGUGCUCCCUGUAGCUCCUGGAAUCGGGGCGGUGGCCCCUCUUCUUCGACAGCGCGGCAGACUCUAUGGUGAUAUGGUCGUGUGUGUGACUCAGAGUCUAGAUCUGGAGGUGGUGACGGCCUUUCUGAGGCUGGUGGCAGUACAGGAUGUCCCCUCCAUCAACAGACCGUGUUCGAUGUGGCUCGGCAGAUGACACAUGCGUCUUUUUUGGAGUCAUCGGGCAAUGCCUGUCGCCGGCAGGUGAAGCCACCGGCAGAUGCUACGCACGACACGUCCCAUGUGGGGACGUCAAAUCAUGCCUGCUAUUGGCACGUGUUGCACGGUGACUCUAGCGGAGGUCUCAUCUCUAACUUGUUGCUACUGGAUCGAAGGUGAUGCAACAGUGGUAGGAGGCAGGCGGUAUGGGAUGUUUGUUUUCUGGUGUCUUCUCUAGAUGUAUCUGGGUAUCGAGGUGUCAGUAACCGGAUAAAGGAUGAUUGUACAUAUGGCUUCAAUGACGACUUUAUGCACUCCGAUGGAUACACAAGAUCUCGGAUCAGGCUAUGUCGACGCGCGCGUGCGUCGUAUGCUUGCUAAAGGUGAUGGAUUGAAGCUUGCCUUCGGUGAUGAGAAUCCUGAGUUCGACCUUGUAUUGGACUCGCCAUCAUCGACGCUCGCGCGGUGAUUCCUUCUUGAAGGCGUAGCCUAGGCGUUGUGUAUUUUCCGUUUUGAUGUCGUCUUGUAACACAUGGUUAGUGGUUAUCUGGUGGAGUUACUGUCGCGAGGCAUUGUGGUCUCAGGUUUUCUUUUCGCUUUAUUUCCAUGUUGAUGUUGUUCGAAUGUUGAAUUUUUCAUUCUUAAUAAUAUAUGGUUGUAUGAAUCGUUCUGAUGCAGAGGCCGGGGGCUAUCCUCCUUUUCGAUAAAUUUUUUUGCCAUAAAAACGUUCGAUUUGACAUGGUCAAAUCCCAAACGUCCGGGAUUUAUAAUAUCCGUACAUCUUAACUCCUAAUAUGCCUCUUUAUAUAUUUAACUCCUUAUAUAUAAUUUGAGGAGUUAGACGGUUGUCGGACCUGGACGAAUACCUAUAUUUAUUUUCCUACAGUUUUUUACCAACUCUUUUAGCCUUUUUUUUGUCACAUACACUUCAUACACUUCAAACAAUUGCACGAUGUUUCAUCAAUCAUUUGCAAGAUUCAAAUUCAACAUACACAAUAAAUCAACCAUAAAACAUGCUAUAGUGCUUGCAUGCACUUUUCAUUGCCAACUAGUUCUUUAUAACAAUGGUGCAAUGUAAAUGCCUUGCCGCCAUUCUUCUUGUUACGUUGCUUGUAUAGGCUUAGAUGUAUGACUUGCACCUCACUCUGUGGUACAUGGUUGACUUGAUCAACAUAAUCGGAUCAUCGGUUGCAUUGCUCUUGGAUGGUUCCCAACAGUGUCCAAGAGAGUCAUGUGUGAGGUUUGAAGAUAGGGUCAUCGUGUUGCAAUAGUAGCCUUCAGUAGUACUCCAAAAUCUUUCCUUGGUUUGAUCUGCACUAACAGAUGCAUUAAGCGAGACGUUCGUCCAAGCAUGGCACAAAGCAAUGUCUUUGUCUUGGGAAUUGAUUUGUGUCCUUAAUCUCUGGUUGGUUGUUGACCCGGUCAAAAUCAUGAAUCAAAUUCAAAAUUAAUUAUCUUAAUUGAAUGGGAGAGCUCUUGCGAAAUCGUUGACCCUAUCAAAAUCGUGAACCAAAUCCAAAUAUAACACCUCAAUUGAAUGUGAGGCCCCUAAAAUUAGGAAGCAUUGUGUAUUAGAUGAUGGAUAUUUUUGAAAAUCAUCUGAAUUUGCCCUCGAAUAACCCAAAUAGUGAGGGUUUUCUGCAAAUAGUGAAACAUUUUUCUAGACUCACUUAAUUAUGGACAAUGGUUUGAUAUAAAAAAAAGCAGGAAGCUUUCUGCAAAAGACAAAACGUUUUCCCUCACUCAAAUCUAGACCACGAGUUGAUUUUAAGAGACAGUAAGGGGGCUUCUAAAAAGGUAUGACAGACAGGAAUCAAGGAAUGUAAUGUUAGCGCGUUAAAAAAAAUGUAUCCUAUCAAUCUCUGGGUUGCUUACACUACCCAUAGUGGGAGUAACAUUAGGUGGUAAUAUCACACUUAUCUAGACAAAAUAGAUGACAUGUGAAGAAAUUAAUAACGAAAGAGAGAAAAUAGUAAGCUAAUUACUAUUAUGAGUAACAUCGCAUGUAUCAAGAUAAGAUGAGUCUGUAAUUUAAUAAACAAAAAGUUGCAUAACACCACACAUACUGUACUUUGCACUAUAAAAAUAGUAACAUAGAUUUAAGUAAUACUCCGAGUAGUACUGUUUAUUGCAUGCAAAACCUACUGGUGCGGUGGUUGCAUUGCAUGCAUGACGUUAUUUUCAUGGGGACGUAACGUACAGUACUCGCCGGCUGGCCGGGUUCAAUGGAAACAGAUGGAUUUCCUCUAGGAUAUCGUUCUUCGAAGCAGCGCGGGCAUGUCUCAGGGCAAACUCCAACGCGCUCCCCCAUCUCCUCUUGUGGGCGUCCGUUUGGAGCAGACGGAUAAAAAAGGCUGCCCAACCGUAGAUUCUAUCUCACUUUUUGAUCCGUUUUGUAUCUGUUUCACUUCAUCUCUUGAUCAAAUUUCGUCGUGAUUUGGGUCCAAAGCGGGCAGAAAGCGGAUGCUCCCUGUGUCUCAGCGUCUGUCUAUGUUCGCUGCAUGCAAAUGAUAGCCCAUUUGUCAUCCAAACAAAGGGACCCAUCACCACCCACCGCACCGCUCUCUCUCUCUCCUCUUCACCAACGACGCAAGGCCGGCGGCUGCGGCUCGGCGCGCAGGCGAGUUGUGGGGCGAGGCGCGGCAGACGGGAAGCGGCAGGGCGGGGCGNNNNNNNNNNNNNNNNNNNNNNNNNNNNNNNNNNNNNNNNNNNNNNNNNNNNNNNNNNNNNNNNNNNNNNNNNNNNNNNNNNNNNNNNNNNNNNNNNNNNNNNNNNNNNNNNNNNNNNNNNNNNNNNNNNNNNNNNNNNNNNNNNNNNNNNNNNNNNNNNNNNNNNNNNNNNNNNNNNNNNNNNNNNNNNNNNNNNNNNNNNNNNNNNNNNNNNNNNNNNNNNNNNNNNNNNNNNNNNNNNNNNNNNNNNNNNNNNNNNNNNNNNNNNNNNNNNNNNNNNNNNNNNNNNNNNNNNNNNNNNNNNNNNNNNNNNNNNNNNNNNNNNNNNNNNNNNNNNNNNNNNNNNNNNNNNNNNNNNNNNNNNNNNNNNNNNNNNNNNNNNNNNNGACGAAGCGGGGCGGGGCGCGGGCGGGCGGGCGCCGACGAGGGCGGUCGAGUGUGGGCGCGCCCCCUACGAGGGCGAGCAGGAGAAGCCGGGGCGGGAAGGGGCGCGAGUGAGCGCAGCUGAAGCGCGGCAAUGACGCGGGCAGGGCAGGGAUGGCGCAGGCGAGGGCACGGCCAGGGCGUAGGGUGGCUGGGCGCGACGCGGCGGGGCUGCGAUGGAGUGGGCGAGGGCACGGCCAGGGCGUAGGGUGGCUGGGCGCGACGCGGCGGGGCUGCGAUGGAGUGGGCGAGGGCGGCCGGGACGCGACAAGGGCAGAGAUGGCGCAAGCGGGGCGCGGCCAGGGCGGGGAUGCCGUGAGUGGCAGGCAGGGCUGGCUGCUGGUGGUGGCGGCAAGGGCGGGCAGCAAGCGACGAAGCCAAGCGCGCAGGCGAGCUCGAUGGGGCGCGGACGCAUGCUCUAAAGGCGGCAAGGCGCGUUGCCGAGGCGUGGCGUGGCAGGCGAAGUGCAGCCGGACGUUUUGGGUCGUCUUCUGCGUUGGGCACCUCCAACAAAAACCGAACAUGCAUGCCUGUUUUGGCAUCCAUUGCCAUAUUAAACGGACGAAAUCUAAAUGAACCGAACGUCUAUUUGGGGUUGUGCGUUGGAGUUGGCCUCACAGUAUUAACUUAGAGACGCUCGGUCGCGCGGAACGCUUGCUACACUUGGACGUACGCGUGCGUUGCCGAUAAGCCGUCGACGCGUACGUAUGCCAGCUAACACCAUUAACUGCUGCUGUUUCCUUCAUGACCUUUGCACUUUAAUUCUGUUACUUGCAAUAACUAAUGCAUCUUCAUUAUGACUAAUGAUGUGUAUGCAGCACGUAUUCAUUUUGUUCAGCUGGUAGCGUACGGAAGAAGUUUGUGCUCCCGGAGAGAACUCGCCAUGCGUCUACGGCAUCACCAAGCUGCUGCAGGGAAGCCUAGGGAUGUAGAUGGCGCAAUAAACGGCGCCGCAAAUCCAGUUUAGUUAGCUCGAUUGUUCAUUUUCCCUGAAUUUUUCUUAUUGAACUGUUAGACCGAUAUAAAUGAGCUUAAACAGGACCAGUUUACAUCCGGAAGCCGCCGGGGUAAUACCCACAGCAUCAGCAGCUCCUCUCACCCUCUUGGUAGUGGCCACAAGAUAUAAGAUAUAGGAUAUACGAGGAACGGAUGGCUGUCACAACAAAUUAUGCGGAAGUGCAAAAUCACCUUGGAAACCAGGCCGCAAAUAGGUAGUGGAAGAUGCUUGGAAAACGAAGUAAAUAUGUGCUAGUUGCAACCUAUCCCUGUACUACACAUGUUCACCUGUAGCAAUGCUAAGAAGCAAACCAAGUGCAUAAGCAGCAACAAGGAUAUAACCAAAAUAGGCAGCAUAAUUCACAGUUUGUAAAAAGGAACUCAGCUAACAAAACAUCAUGUUUGCCGGGGGGAAACAGGUACGGUAGAAAAACAUCAUGUUUAUCUUGUACAUCUGACGGGUUGUCUUUCCUAAAGACAAACAUCUGAAUUUGUCACAGAAAACUCAAGUCAUAUUUUUCUUCAACUGUGUAUUUAUCAAGAAUGUCAGCAGGUAACUGAUUAGGCACAACGGAAGCAAACACAUUAGAUCGAAAAAAGGUUGAUCAUAUAUAGCAGUAUCACCGCUAGGUGGAUAUAUCAUCAGUCAAUGGCAAGACCAUAAAUACGUACCAACAUUAGUGAAAAUAAAAGAGGCAAGUAUCCAACCAUCAGAGAUUCAGAGGUCUUACAUGUCUCAUUAAAUUCUGAUAUUUGGAUUUAACAAUCCACAAUGCCACAAUCGAGCUUUUUUCGAAAAGCACUCCACAUGUUUCGUUGUAAUUCGCCUUUUUAUUUUUAUUUUGUGUGAGAGGAUCUUACUUGGUUGUGUGCAUCUUAGUUAUGCAGAGGCCGGGUGUAAUGCCACAAUCGAGCUAACUAUACAAUAAUGCAUCAGACAUAAUAAAGGAGUAAUUAUUUGAAAUUACUCCCUCCAAUCCAUAAUAGGUGUUGUGGUUUUAGUUCGAAUUUUAACUGAAACUACUGCACUUAUUAUGGGUCGGAGGGAGUCCAUCUCAAAUAAUCUUUUGCCAAAUUAAAGGAGGUACAUUUCAUUUGAUCAAAUAGAGAUAAAAUGUGCAAUAAAAACAUAAAAUAGCUGAAAAGAUCAGGGACGGACAGGCUCACAUGUCGUUGUAAAGUGUGACGGGUUGAUGGAACAGAAAGCCACUCAUUCCAAAUUAAUGAUACCAGCUUAAUGACCAUCGCUUCACACAUAAGGCAUACACCAUGUGCUUGGGAUGACAAUCCUAGAGAAAACAAUCAACAAGGUUUAUUUUCCUUAAACUCUGUGUUGUUUUCAUCACAUCAGAGAAAGUAGCAACUUAGAGAAUCAUAAAAUGCAAUCAGGUACAUCAGGUAAUCAUAAGCUCAUAGAACAUAUAACUAUAACCUUUUGGACCAUCCUAUCAUGCUAUCUUCAGGCGAAAUAAAAAUGAAUGUUAAGUGUUUUCAGCAAGCCUACUAUUAAAAAUAAAUGAGGGGAAGCUAAUAGUGCACAUGUAAAAGCAUAGUUGUGAGUAAGAAGUACAUUUACAGUCAGCUUGUGUAAUCUCUUUUCUUAUAACAUAUCAGGGUAAACUGAGACAUAUUUUGGUUAUGCAUCUAGCAAUAGGGGCUGAGGGAAAGGAAAGAACAGCUGGGCAGAAAAAUAAAUACAAGGACGCUUGCGACCAUGCUGCCCAGCCACACGGCAAGCAUCAGCCAUCAAGAACCAAAAUUCAAAUAGCCAACCAUCAUCAAACCAAGUAGAGUCAACAAAUUGCGCUCAGGAACACAAAUGGCUAGCCUCAGAACAUCAUAGCACCAAGAAAACAGAAAUCAAACCACACAAACCAAAAAUAGUACAACCCACAAAAACCAAUGAUGCAUGAACAAACUAAACAAUUUCAGUCCGUGGCCACCAGGACAACAGCUCUAAUCUUCUUCCAGUACCACUAAUGAAUGGACCAUAGUACGGCCGUGAACUCUCGUUUCCCCACUCCUGCCGCGACGACACUUGAAAAGGAAAAUGUUAGUCUCGCAGGUGAGCCACCCAGAGGGGAAACAAUGUCCAGAAGCUGGCAGAGUUGGCCCACACGCUCCCCAAGCCCGACGCAGGAGAGAGCUCCUUUUCCAGGGAGCAUAGUAACUGUAGGGAUGAACCAAACUGGGGUCCUGACUGCUAUUAUCUUUGCUAGCAAAAUCUUGCGCAACUGAUUUGCCCCCUUUUUUGUAGCAUUGCUUGGCAAAUUUGUCUCUCACAGGAAAAAAGCUCACCAUUUCAAUGUGAAGAAUGAUCUUUCAGGGUGACAUAAGAAUUUGCUCAUAACUUCCACUACCAUGACACAUGCACAAAUGCAUAGUUUGGAAGCACCAUCAGGACCACACAUUUAAGCCAAAAGAGCAUGAUCUACAAGCACUUAACUAACAGGCGCAGGUUUUGCAGCACAUAUGGAGGAUUAAUGGUUUGACAUCUGUAAAAGCUAAGCCUCAUGUGGCACAUCUCACAGGCAGUAAUGCAUGAUCAGCAGCAUAGAUACAAGAGAUUAAGGGACACAUUUUUUUUCCUAUUUAAUUAGCGCUUAAGUACUCCAACCAAAUCCAUGAACCAAGGAUCAAAAUAAUUGCCGCACACACAAGGAUCUCAUUUGCAUCGUCAAAAAGAAGUGCAGAUCACUAAAGCAUCAACCGAUUAAACCCAGAUUACACUUAUCAGCCCAAUUUGUUUUCCUUUUUAGGGAUCGGUAAGAUUGAUUAAAUUUAACAAUGCUCAUGUCUAAAAAAAAUUAUGCACCACAACAGAACUCUAAACAGAUAAUUUGCAGUAAUCCAAAUAUCUAUAAACAGAACAAAGGAACAAUAAUCUGUACAAUAGUAGAUCCUUUGUGAGCUUUCUCGGUGGUAUUUCGGUACAGUAUGGCCCACCUGCUGAUGUAUUCUCCUCUGUAUGCUAAGUCGUAUCUGCGGCAAAAAGUUAAUCGACACACAUCAGAAGCCAACCUGUACCGUCCAGAUUCAAAGAGCACCUGAGCUCGGGAGUCAUUUCGCUGCUCCCCUGUCAUUUGACUGAUUUCUAAUUCAGUCCCAGUCGAAUUUUGCAAGUACAUAGGAUGACGCAUGACACUGUCAGCUCUGCCAACUCGCUGAACCCCGCUACACAAACUUAAGGCUCUGUUCACCUAGGGGAACUAAUCCCUGCAGGGUUUUGGAGGGAACUAAGUAGUAUUUUGUUACCAUGAACAACACAGUGCCUCUUAGCUCUGUCUAUAAUAUUCACUUGAUUUUGUCAUAGAUUUACCAUAUUGAACAAAGAGAGUUGCUCCAGCAAGUGAAUAGGAGUGGACUGCACUGCAUCCAGCUCUGCAUGAAUGGAGUCUAGUUGCUGCUGGAGAGGUCUCUUGGUUCUGCUCCAUCUUUUAAGGGAACCUGCAAGCUUGGAAGUUCUUAAAUGGAAAGGUUUAUUGCAAGAACUGGACCAAGCAGUUUGAACAGUCGCCUGAAAAUCACUUUCAAAUAACAACAAGUUUAGAAGUUUUCUUAGAUUUAACAGUGGCCGGAUGGAAAUGGUAAGAAUGGUAGCAUGGUCACUGUACAUAAUGGGCAGGUUAUAAACAGUACAUAAUGACCAUGGUCACUGUACAUAAUGAGCAGCAACAGGAUAUAACCAAAAAGGGUAGCAUAAUUCACAGUUUGUAAGAAGGAACUCAGCUACAAAAACAUCAUGUUUACCACAAAAAAAAGGUAUGAUACAAACACAUCAUGUUAUCUUGUAGUACAUCUGACGGGUUGUCUCUUUUAAAGACAAGCAGCUGAAUUUGUCACAGAAAACUUAAGUCAUAUCUUUCUUCAACUGUGUAUUUAUAAAGAAUGUCAACAGGUAACCGAUUAGGCACAAAGGAAGCAAACACAUUAGAUAGGAAAAUGGUUGAUCAUAUAUAUCAGUAUCACCGCUAGGUGGAUAUAUUACCGGUCAAUGGCAAGACCAUAAUACUCACCACAAUUAGUAAAAAUAAUAG